GUAAAACUUAGAUGAAUAUUCUCGCGUCGGAACUUUGGGCUCGUAACCCUGUGAAAGAAAACUGUUGUCGUGUGUUGAUGUUAGUGUGAAGUCCAUAUUAUAGAGUGUCGUGGAUGUGUUGGCCCCCGCCUACGGGCUGUUUAUGAAACCUAUACUUGGUUGGUUGGUCCUCUAGUGACUUUGUUUUGCUGUUUCUUCUGUUUGUUUUUCUCUAUAAGCAAGUCUUGUUGUUAGUUGUUGUACCCAGAGUGUAGCCAAUCACCAUAUUUGGGCAUAUUAAACAUGUUGUUUCGGUCUGAAAUUUCAGCAUGGCCUUCUUAUAAGAGUACGACGGCACUUCCACGAGCAGUAGCCGGAGGAGGGGAAAAACAGAGGGGAUGGUCUGUGAGGUCACAUCCAGGGAUCACAAAGCUGUCGGUUCGCGAGACGACGUGAAGAGCAUCUCUGGGCUUGGGUAUGUUUGCAUUGGUAUGAAAAGUCUGGGCUAAUUAAGUCGCCAAUUACAGCUCCAACGAUGAUCGCUGGAACAUCAUACUACUCCUAGUCCACAUAGUUAUUUAGACUACCCUGAAUCACCAACUGGGCAAGAGAACAUGUGGCCAUCUUCGUCUUUGUCAUGUAGUGGCUGAUCUCACCUGUUGCAAACCAUGUUCUGAUGUGAAACUUCGGGUCUUUGAUGGUAGUAGAAACUGGUGUUAUUCAUCACCAUGGCUAGCCGAUGCUCGUACGGCCUCCCUUCCAUGACUGCUAUCGCUUCUCAUGCUGGCUCGCCAACUAGGGUAUGGUUGGUUGAUGAAAGAAAAACUCACACACCAAAUUUAGAUCCCGCUUUCUUAUAUAUGUGCAAAUUUUUUGGUACAACCAUGCUCCACAUCCAACUCUAUCUUAUUUUUCCAGAGUGGAGGAAGGGGACACUUUGCGGGACUUUCAGUAGAAAAUUUUCCAUACAGAUAGAAGCACCUAUUAAAAAGAUACUCCAAAGGCUUCCGGAUCAUAGUCUCAUUAGCUGAAGAACACACAUGCUAAUCUAUAUUAAGUGCAUUCAAAUCAUGCCUUUAUUAACUAGUCCAAGGCCUCAUCAGCCACAACAUCAUAAAUACAAAGAGGAAAAACAUGAAACCAAGUUUUACACAAAUCAUUGGGGCAACCUUCCCUUGCCAUGAUGGAAUUAGCCCUAUUAGUUGUUCUUCUAUUCCACUUCACCCGAUGCUCUUCUAAAGCAGAUAACAAGUCCAUUAUGUCUUCACAGAGAGGCCCCAUCUUGGGGGAGGGGGGGGGGGGUUAGUCUACAGAGUUCAACGUUAUAGCCACACCCUGAUUGUCAUUAAUGAAUACAAUUGUUUGGUCAAAUAUGUUGGUUGAGAGUAGUUCAUGAUGGCCUUUCUAGUUGGAGAGAAUAAUUCUUUCCUUGAUGAUUUCUCUUACAAAGAUCAAGCAUAUAUAUCGAGGGAGAGAGAACCCACUCCCCUGGAACGUAGGCAUGCAAGCCAUGAGAACUAGGAGAUCCUAACAAUGGUGCAUAGACGUCCUGCACAAACGGUUCUCCGUGUUAUGGCAGGUUACAUUCUCAUGUUUUUUUACUUUACAGUGCUUACAAGUUGAGAUUUGAAAAAAUCUAGCCUAGAACAUAAGUCAUCAAAACUCAUGGCAUUUUGAAACUUUAGUCAUAAAAAGAUAUCAAAUAUCAGACACAAAAAGGGACUGCUAGACAAAAACGCAAAAAGAAUGAAAAUAAAGAAGUGGCACAAUAGUUACCGAGCGUUGAUAUGUCUCCAACGUAUCUAUAUUUUUUAUUGUUCCAUAAUAUUAUAGCCCGACAGCCCCAUCCUCUACUCCAUCGAUGCGUCCACUGGGCGAGAUCGGUGGUGUGCCAUCUGAGGGAGUCCCGGAUUAGGGGGUGUCCGGAUGACCUGACUAUGACCUUUGGCCGGACUCCUGGGCUAUGAAGAUACAAGAUUGAAGACUUCGUCCCGUGUCCGGAUGGGACUUUCCUUGGCGUGGAACACAAGCUUGGCGCGGAUAUGUAGAUCUCCUCCCAUUGUAACCGACUCUGUGUAACCCUAGCCCUCUCCAGUGUCUAUAUAAACCGGAGGGUUUUAGUCCGUAGGACGAACAACAAUCAUACCAUAGGCUAGCUUCUAGGGUUUAGCCUCUCUGAUCUCGUGGUAGAUCUACUCUCGUACUACCCAUAUCAUCAAUAUUAAUCAAGCAGGAGUAGGGUUUUACCUCCAUCGAGAGGGCCCGAACCUGGGUAAAAACAUCAUGUCCCUUGUCUUCGUUACCAUCUGCCUAGACGCACAGUUCGGGACCCCCUACCCGAGAUCCGCCGGUUUUGACACCGACAUUGGUGCUUUCAUUGAGAGUUCCUUUGUGUCGUCAUCUUUAGGCCCGAUGGCUCCUCCGAUAAUCAACAACGAAGCGGUCCAGGGUGAGACUUUUCUCCCCGGACAGAUCUUCAUAUUCGGCGGCUUUGUGAUGCGGGUCAAUUCGCUUGGCCAUCUGGAGCAGAUCGAAAGCUACGCCCCUGGCCAUCAGGUCAGAUUUGUAAGUUUGAACUACACGGCCGACAUCCGCGAAGACUUGAUCUUCGGCGGAUUCGAGCCACAGCCGGGCGCGCCGCACUGUCACGAUGGGCAUGUUCUAACUCUGCCACCGAACAGUGUCCAGGAGGCCGCCCUAGCGUCCGAUCCGACCCUUAGCUCGAAGCCGACUGCGCCAAUCGAGGACGGGUGGCUGGACACCGCCUCGGGGGCUGCAAUCCCUACGGCGAUCGAGCCGAAUACCAGCCUUGUCCUUUACGAAGCUCGUGACUCCCAGGUGCCAGACUCCUUUCCAGAAUCCAAACCUUCCACGCCCCUGCCGAUCGAACCCGAUUGGGCGCCGAUCAUGGAGUUCGCUGCCGCGGACAUCUUUCAGCACUCGCCCUUCGGCGACAUUCUGAAUUCACUAAAGUCUCUCUCUUUAUCAGGAGAGCCCUGGCCGGACUAUGGUCAGCGAGGUUGGGAUGCAGACGACAAAGAAAUUCAAAUCCCACCCACCACCCACUUCGUAGCCACUGUCGAUGAUUUAACCGACAUGCUCGACUUCGACUCCGAAGACAUCGACGGUAUGGACGCCGAUGCAGGAGAUGACGAAGAACCAGCGCCUAUAGAGAACUAGAAGGCCACCUCGUCAUAUGACAUAUACAUGGUGGACACCCCCAAAGAAGGGAAUGGCGAUGGAACAACGGAGGUUGACCCCUCCAAGAAGCAGCCUAAGCGCCGGCAUCCGCGGCGCCGCUCUAAAUCCCGCCAAAGAAAAAACGAUGAUUCCGGCAUGGGAGAUAAUAACACCCCGGACAGUGCCGAAGACAACCCCCUCCAGCAGGAUUCAGCACAGGAGGAUGGAGAAGCCAGCCCUCAUGAGAGAGCGGCAGACAGAGAGGUAGAGGACGAUAAUCACAUGCCUCCCUCCGAAGACGAGGCAAGCCUCGACGACGACGAAUUUAUCGUGCCUGAGGAUCCCGUCGAACAAGACCGUUUCAAACGCAGGCUUAUGGCCACGGCGAGCAGCCUCAAGAAAAAACAGCAGCAGCUUAGAGCUGACCAAGACUUGCUAGCCGACAGAUGGACUGAAGUCCUUGCAGCCGAAGAGUACGAACUCAAACGCCCCUCCAAGAGCUACCCAAAGCGUAGGCUGCUAUACCAAUUAGAGGAGGAAGCACCUAAACCUACAUCACCAGCGCACGACGCGGCAGACCGGCCACCUCGUGGCCGCGACAGAGAGGCCUCUCGGCCAUCCACUCAAGCCGCACCCCGACGUCGCUCAAAAAAUACCAAGGCACGGGGAAAGGUGCCAGACCUGCGAGAUAUAUUGGAGGACAAGGCAAGGCAAACAAGAUAGACCUCCGGAUCGCGUGGGCGCCCCACGACACGUAACGAUAACCGUCAUGCCGGAUAUGGCAAAUACGGCCAGGCCAAACACAGCAGACAAAGCUCAUUUGAGCUACGACGUGAUAUAGCCCAGUACAGAGGCGCCGCACACCCACUAUGCUUCACAGAUGAAGUAAUGGAUCAUCAAAUCCCCUAGGGUUUUAAACCCGUAAACAUCGAAUCAUACGAUGGCACAACAGAUCCUACGGUAUGGAUCGAGGACUAUCUCCUUCAUAUCCACAUGGCCCGCGGUGAUGACCUACACGCUAUCAAAUACCUCCCACUCAAGCUUAAAGGACCAGCUCGGCAUUGGCUCAAGAGCUUACCAACAGAGUCAAUUGGUUGCUGGGAGGACCUGGAAGCCGCAUUCCUCGACAAUUUCCAGGGCACCUAUGUGCGACCACCAGACGCCGAUGACCUAAGCCACAUCAUUCAGCAGCCAGAGGAAUCGGCCAGACAAUUCUGGACAUGGUUCUUAACCAAGAAAAAUCAAAUAGUCGACUGUCCAGACGCAGAGGCCCUCGCAACCUUCAAACAUAACAUCCGUGACGAAUGGCUUGCCCGGCACCUAGGACAGGAAAAGCCGAAAUCCAUGGCAACCUUCACAACACUCAUGACCCGCUUUUGCGCGGGAGAAGACAACUGGCUAGCUCGUAGUAAUAACAUGACCAAGAGCCCUGGUAAUUCGGAUACCAAGGACAACAAUGGCAGGUCGCGUCGCAACAAAUACAAGCGCCACAUUAAUGGCGACAAUACUGAGGAUACGACAGUCAAUGCCGGAUUCCGAGGCUCCAAACCCGGUCAGCGGAAAAAGCCAUUCAAAAGAAGUACUCUGGGCCCGUCCAAUUUGGACCGAAUACUCGAUCGCUUGUGCCAGAUACACGACACCCCUGAAAAACCAGCCAAUCACACCAACAGGGAUUGUUGGGUGUUCAAGGAGGCAGGCAAGUUAAGCGCCGAAAACAGAGACAAGGGGCUGCAUAGCGAUGACGAGGAGGAGCCCCGACCACCGAACAAUAGGGGACAGAAGGGCUUUCCCCCACAAGUGCGGACGGUGAACAUGAUAUACGCAACCCACAUCCCCAAAAGGGAACGGAAGCGUGCACUCAGGGACGUAUAUGCCUUGGAGCCAGUCGCCCCAAAGUUCAACCCAUGGUCCUCCUGCCCGAUCACUUUUGAUCGAAGGGACCACCCCACUAGCAUCCGCCACGGCGGAUUCACCACGUUGGUUCUAGACCCAAUCAUUGACGGAUUUCACCUCACUAGAGUCCUUAUGGACGGCGGCAACAGCCUGAACCUACUUUAUCAGGAUACAGUGCGAGAAAUGGGCAUAGAUCCCUCAAGGAUUAAACCCACAAAGACGACCUUUAAAGGCGUCAUACCAGGUGUAGACGCCCACUGUACAGGCUCAGUUACACUCGAAGUGGUCUUCGGAUCCCCGGAUAAUUUCCGAAGCGAGGAGUUAAUCUUCGACAUAGUACCGUUCCGCAACGGCUAUCACGCGCUGCUCGGACGAACCGCAUUUCCAAAGUUCAAUGCGGUGCCGCACGACACAUAGCUCAAGCUCAAGAUGCCAGUCCCUCGAGGAGUCAUUACGGUUAAUGGAAACACCGAACGCUCUCUCCGAACAGAGGAGCAUACGGCGGCCCUCGCGGCGGAAGUACAAAGUAGCCUCUCAAGGCAAUUCUCCAGUCCAGCUAUUAAACGUCCAGACACCGUCAAGCGCGCCCGGAGUAACCUACAACAAGACCGCCUGACACGUUCCGAGCAAGUGUAGCAGUGCGGCCCCAACCCUAGCCCUCGCGAAAUUGCGAAACCAGUACCACGCGUACAUAAUUACGCUCUAGAAAUAUCAUGGGCAUAGGGGGAGGGGCACAACCAUGGCACGCCCAAAAUGCGGCUUAACCGCACUAGGGGCUCCCGAUUUUGUCAUUUCUUUUUUCUUACUUUGAGGACUCCAUUCUCCGGAAGGCCUGUCCGGCAGUACAAUCGCCAAACACACGAUGCAACAGCCAGGGAGGCAGCAAGCUACGUCAAAUAUCGAGGUGGUCUCUAUAACGAGCUAAAUACCUGUCUUACAUAAAGUCUCGCAGCUUGCCCUUGGAGGGGGACAUGUCAAAUAAUCCCAUCUCUUGCUUAUCGCACUAUUUGUAUCGUUCUGCUUUCACAGCAGCCUUUUAAUAAACAAUGCAUAGCUCUUGUCUAUUAUUGCUUUCUUUUUUAUGUAAAUAUGUUCAGUCAUGACAUUAUGCAACCGUACACUUUGGUACGGCCAACACACCAGGGGCUUAAGUACUCCAGAAUAUGGUGUGAGAAGUCCGAACACUCUCACGAGUGCGGCACCCCGAACUUAUAGCAUUAUAUGCAUCGGCUCCGAAUCAUGUCUUGGGUCAAUAGUUGGGUUUGCUCGGCUCCCAUGUUUUGGUACCUUACGUUCCGUUAUAUCGGCUAAGGUAGCGCUGGGAGAACUACUGCGAUUGUGCCCCAGUUGAGCUGGGUUAAGCACCUCAGUAGAGAAAGCUAAAACUGACUGUCAUGAUAGGGCGAGAGCCGGUCGCUGUUCGAGAGGUUUCGAGUCCCUAAAGACUUAUGCCGCUUAGAGCGAGGAGCUGGCUUUGUCCGGCCUAGGCGUGGAUAGCGCCCCGAACUCGGUCUUCCGAAUACUAGGGGCUUUGCCGAAAUUUAAAAUUAUAGAAUUCUAUGGCUAAGUGAGAGUGAUAAAGCAUUAUAGUCCAAUUGCCUUGUUCGUUGUGCUGAGCGCCUCCCUCGAAGCACCCAAUAAUGGGAACAAGAGCGCUCAGGUUUAUCCCAAACACCCCAGCACUCGUGGCAUGGGGGUAGAAGCCGACGACUCGCCAUCUCUCAGAUUUGAUAAAUGGCCGCACAGAAGGUAAUAUUGUAAAUUCAAAAAGCAUUGCUUAGCGCAUAUGAACAAGUCUUCAGCGCACAGGAUAACACGAGCGAGUUUACUCAAAUAUUACAUAUUUGGAACAUUCAUUCGCCACAAGGAGGGCACCCUUCAGGACACCCUCAUAAUACAUCUCGGGCUGCGAUGCUCCUUCCCCUCCGGUGGCCCAUCUGUCACCAGCUUCUCAGCAUCCAGCUUGCCCCAGUGUACUUUAGCACAGGCAAGGGCCCUACGGGCGCCUUCGAUGCAUACGGAGCGCUUGAUGACUUCAAGCCGUGGACAUGUAUCCACCAGCCGCCUCACCAGCCCAAAGUAGCUCCCGGGCAUGAGCCCCCAGGCCAUAGUCGGACUAUUAGGCCCUUCAUGGCCUGUUCGGCUACCUUAUGGAGCUCGACCAACUACUUCAGCUGGUCGCUCAAGGGCACCGGGUGUCCGGCCUCAACAUACUGGGACCAGAACACCUUGUCCGUCGAGCUCCUUUCCUCGGCUCGGUAGAAUGCGGCAGCAUCGGACACACUGCGGGGCACAUCUGCGAAUGCUCCUGGAUCCGGACUCGGGUAAGUAACAAGUAAUUCACUUUCACGUGCUUGCUUUGCAUAAAGAAUGCCUUAGCCGCCGCUAUCUUCUUCAUCGCCUCAAUUUCUUGGAGGGCUUUUUGGGCUUCGGGCUUGGCAGAUUUGGCGCUUUCAAGAGCCGAGGCAAGCUCGGACUCUCGAGUCUUUGAGUCAAGCUCCAAACUCUCGUGUUUUUCACAAGAGCGUGGAGCUCUUGCCGCACCUCCUCCACUUGCGCUCCUCCUUUUCUUGCUCGAUGCGCUCCACGGCCGCAUUGUCUUCGGCCUUGGACAGCGCUUCCUUCAGGGUCGCCACCUCGGUUGUGGCCCCUAUAACACUCACGUUGGUCCUGUCACUAUUUGCAACCAGGUAUUUUUAUAUACUUACAUAAGGUACUACUUACCUUCCUUGUCCUUGAGCUACUUCUUGGCAAGGCCGAGCUCGUUCUCGGACCACUCGAGGCUCUUCUUCAAUGCAUCGACCUCCGCAGUCAGUGCGGCAGAGGUCAGCAGCGCAACCUGCAUUCCCAUCUUGAUAUAUUUAUGUUAGACUCCUGCGUAUAUCUUUUUAGAUCCUCAGUCCGGAUUUUCUUUCCGAACACCAAACUGAGCAUCAGGGGCUACUGUCUAUGCGGUAAUAUUUUUACAUGUCUUAAAUACAUACCUCAAAACCUGUUAGAAGGCUGGCACAGGCUUCUGUCAGCCCGCUCUUGGCGGACUGAACCUUCUGGAUCACCGCACUCAUAAUAGUGAGGUGCUCCUCGUCGAUGGAGGCGCCGUUAAGCACCUCCAGCAAAUUGUCCGGUGCCUCCGGUUGGACGGAGGACACCGGCAUCGUAGGCUUGCCCUUCUUACGAGGGGGCCGCCUGCCGGAAUCCGGAACCACUGAGGGUUCCGGUGCGGUGUCCGGCCCAUGGCCGGACUUAGAUCCCUCUGGGGUUUCAUCCCCUUUGCGCCUGCAGCCCGGGAGGUCGCCUUGCGGCGCCUCCAGGACCACCUCCUCCUGGCUUAGCCCCUUUUGGGACUUCACCUCGGCAUCGUCCGCGGGGCGAGGGGAGGUAGCAGUCGGGAGUGAAAGACUAUUCACAUCCGACGAAUCCAGGGAGCCGCUCGACGAAGCAUCGAGCCGGGCCUUGGGCGGACUACAUGAUUAUAUUUGGCGUGAGAAGAUACUGUGCAAUAAAGGAACGCCAUGAGUUAUUCUGGUACCCGGAUACUGACGAUUUUGCCAGGGGCUUGGCGCUGGACGGCCACUCCUCUCCGCCGUCGUCGGCGCUGGUGGAGUAGUCCGGAAGAAGGGUCUUUCCCUUCUUGGACCCUCCGACCUCCCCAGUUGGGGCGGCCUUCCUUUUCUUUCCUCCCCCCGUUGGAGGGGGAGAGGCUUCUUCUUCCUCCUUCUCGUUUUCGGGGGAGGAGUGCGUUUCGGGGUCGUCAGGCGAUGAAUCUGACACCACCAGGCGCCAGGAACUCUUUCGAGUUCCCGUGGCCUUCUUCUUGGCCUUCUUCUUUGGCACCAUGUGAGGUGUCGGGACCAGAAGCUUCGCCAAGCGUGCAUCUACUGGGCCUUUGGGCAAAGGAGCCGGACAGUCAAUCUGUCUGGACGUCUUCUUCCAGUCCUGUCAAAGGAGCGGGAGCUUAGAUCCCGCGUAGAGUCAAACUAUGAAAAACAAGUAUCCUGUAAAGGGUAAAACAAGCUUACUGCGCUGGCUUGGCGCUUCGCGCAGAAUCCGCGAUCCUCGGUAAUGGGAGGGGAAACCUCGGAGCCCUUGAAUAGCACCUUCCAGGCGUCUUCGUGCAUUGUGUCAAAGAGCCUGGACAAAGUUUGAUGCUGGGCCGGGUCGAACUCCCACAAGUUAAAAGCCCGUCGUUGACACGGGAGGAUCUGGCGGAAGAGCAUGACUUGGACUACGUUGACAAGUUUAACCUUCUUGUCCACCAGGUUUUGGACCCAGGUUUGGAGUCCGGUCACCUCUUUCGGAUUACCCCACGACAGGCCCAUCCCUUUUCAGGAGGUGAGCCGUGUGGGGAUGCCAGAUUGGAAUUCGGGGGCCGCUGCCCAUUCAGGGUCACGCGGCUCGGUUAUGUAGAACCACCCCGAUUGCCACCCUUUGAUGGUUUCCACAAAGGAACCCUCGAGCCAUGUGACGUUGGGCAUCUUGCCCACCAUGGCGCCUCCGCACUCCGCUUGCCGGCCGCCCACAACUUUCGGCUUGACAUUGAAGGUCUUCAGCCAUAAGCCGAAGUGGGGCUUGAUGCGGAGGAAGACCUCUCACACGACGAUAAACGCCGAGAUGUUAAGGAUGAAUUUCAGGACCAGAUCGUGGAAAUCCAGGCCGUAGUAGAACAUGAGCCCCCGAACAAAUGGGUGGAGUGGGAAACCCAGUCCGCGGAGCAAAUGGGGGAGGAACACCACCCUCUCAUGGGGCCUGGGGGUGGGGAUGAGCUGCCCCUCGUCUGGAAGCCGGUGCGCAAUGUCGUUGGACAAGUAUCCAGCCUUCCUCAACUUUUUGAUGUGCCCCUCCGUGACGGAGGAGGCGAUCCACCUGCCUCCCGCUCCGGACAUGGCUGGAGAAGGUCGAGGUGGGAAGUUCGGACAUGGGCGCUGGAGCUCGAGUGCGCGGAAAUGGAUAAGCGAAGGAGGAAGAGGGCGUGGAUGGAAAAGGUGGAUCCUUAUCCCCUUAUAUGAGCGGACGAAACUGUGUGCCCCCACCAGCCUGGUAAAACUCGCUUAUCUCCCAAGUGCCGUGAUUAAUGGCACGGUUGGGUUACCCAUGCCCGUAUUGAUGAGAAUCCCGGAAUAAGAGGACAUGAUCUCUGCUUUGACAAGACGUGCCAAGGAAAUCGCCUCGCUGAACGCGCUGAGGUGGGACAGUAAAAUGAUUCGAAUGAAGGCUUGGCCGUGGGAUGAUGUCACGCUACGGAAUACGUUAGCAGAUUAGAUUUGUACAAACAUUAUUCUCUCUACGGUGGUAUAUAGAACUUAUUUUGCAGAACCGGACACUAUCCUUGUGUUCGAAAUCUUCUAUGAAGUAUUCGGAGGAGGAACCCGCCUUGCAAUGCUGAAGACAAUUUGUGCGCCGGACUCGUUGUCAUUGAAGCCUGGUUCAGGGGCUACUGAGGGAGUCCCGGAUUAGGGGGUGUCCGGAUGACCGGACUAUAACCUUUCGCCGGACUCCUGGGCUAUGAAGAUACAAGAUUGAAGACUUCGUCCCGUGUUCGGAUGGGACUUUCCUUGGUGUGGAAGGCAAGCUUGGCGAUACGGAUAUGUAGAUCUCCUCCCAUUGUAACCGACUCUGUGUAACCCUAGCCCUCUCCGAUGUCUAUAUAAACCGGAGGGUUUUAGUCCGUAGGACGAACAACAAUCAUACCAUAGGCUAGCUUCUAGGGUUUAGCCUCUCUGAUCUCGUGGUAGAUCUACUCUUGUACUACCCAUAUCAUCAAUAUUAAUCAAGCAGGAGUAGGGUUUUACCUCCAUCGAGAGGGCCCGAACCUGGGUAAAAACAUCGUGUCCCUUGUCUGCUGUUACCAUCCGCCUAGAUGCACAGUUCGGGACCCCUACAAGAGAUCCGCAGGUUUUGACACCGACACCAUCCUCACAUUAGGGGGUUCAACCCCCCAUCUCAACUGCGAUUCCUGGAUCAUCAGGGACACCUCCUCUCCACUCCAUCUCCCACAUGAUGGCCCCUCUAGCACUAGAUACUUAAUGAGUGAUGGUGGUUCACAUUUUAUUCAUGGUGCUUUUCGUAAAAUGCUUGCUAAGUAUGAUGUUAAUCAUAAAAUUGCAUCUCCAUACCAUCCACAGUCUAGCGGUCAAGUAGAAUUGAGUAAUAGAGAGAUUAAAUUGAUCUUGCAAAAGAAUGUUAAUAGAUCUAGAAAGAAUUGGUCCAAGAAACUUGAUGAUGCAUUAUAGGCCUAUAGAACUGCAUAUAAAAAUCCUAUGGGUAUGUCUCCGUAUAAAAUGGUUUAUGGAAAGGCAUGUCACUUACCUCUCAAACUAGAACAUAUGGCAUAUUGGGCAAUUAAAGAGCUCAAUUAUGAUUUCAAACUUGCUGGUGAGAAGAGGCUUUUUGACAUUAUCUCACUUGAUGAAUGGGGAACCCAGGCCUAUGAGAACGCCAAACUAUUGAAAGAAAAAGUUAAAAGGUGGCAUGACAAAAGGAUACAAAAGUGGGAGCUUAAUGUAGGUGAUUAUGUUUUGCUAUACAACUCUCGUUUAAGAUUUUUUGCAGGAAAACUUCUCUCUAAAUGGGAAGGUCCUUACGUUAUCGAGGAGGUCUAUCGUUCCGGUGCUAUCAAAAUCAACAACGCUGAAGGCACAAAUCCGAAGGUGGUGAACGGUCAAAGAAUCAAACAUCAUAUCUCAGGUAAUCCCAUAAAUGUUGAAACCAAUGUUAUUGACACCGUAACCCCGGAGGACUACAUAAGGGACACUUCCCAAAAUGUUUUAGACUCCAAAAGGAAUAGGUAUGUGGUACGGUAAGUAAACUGACUCCAAAACAGUUAUAAUAGCAAAUUUUCUCUAUUUUGGAAUAUUUAAAAAAUUAGGAAAAUAAGAAGUAGUCCGAAGGAGACACGAGGCAUCCACGAGGGUGGAGGCAUGCCCUACCCCCUGGGCGCGCCCCCUGCCUCGUGGACACCUCGUGUGCCCUCCGGAUUCCGUGUUCUUGCAUGAUACUUAUUUUUGUUGGUAAAAAUUCAUUAUAUAAUCUCCCAAAGGUUUUGACCAUCGAACCAUGAAAAAAUCAUCUGCUUUUGUUUUGAGCGGUUUUUCUGACAGAUCUAGAUCACCAUGGCGUCUUCAAGCGCCCCCAAGGACAAGUUUUCAAGUGCCAAGGGAUGGUGGAACACGGACUCAACGCCAACCACAUGAUGGUCGCGGAGUUCACCAACAACCACAAGUUGGAUGCCAAGAACAUUGGGGAGACCAUCUUGAAGCUUCAUGAGAAAAUCGAGCACCUCCAAGCCUAGAUCUAUGACUUGCAAAACCAAAACUGUGAGUAUGAAUAUAGAUUCAAGAGGAUGAGUUUGGCUGCAGAUUUGAGGAUCCCGGAGACUCGAUCAUCCUUCUAUGAUGGUGAGCCUAUGCCCUGGAAGAUGGACCACAAGCCUACAUCAUCAACAACUCCAUCAUCACCCCCCCAAGAAAGAGACAUAAACACAUGGGUAUGGGCACUCCCCUUGGCAACUACCAAGCUUGGGGAAGCUGCCCCGGUAUCGUAUCACCAUCACAUUUCUAUCUUUACCGUUUUUCUUAGUUCGAUCCUUUUGGUUAUAUCUUGAUCUAGUAGAAUAAAGUUUUAGUUCGAUCUAGCUUUGAUUUUUGUGUUGAUACCUAUCUAUUUAAUCGAGUCCGUGAGCUAUAUAUAAUAAAGAUUAGUUUUGAGUUGAGGGCUUUGCUAUCUUGCUAUGAUAUUGAGGGAAUAAAAGAAAAAGAAAGAAUAAAAAUAAAUAAAAAGAUCAUAUUGACCUUUUGGAGAGUAAUGACUUUACACAUAAAGAGUAUGAUGAAUAAAAGUUGUUGAGAGUUGACAAACAUAGUUUUGGUCAUCGUGGCAAUUAAUAGGAAGUAAUAAACAAAGAGAGGUUUUCACAUAUAAAUAUACUAUCUUGGACAUCUUUGAUGAUUGUGAGCACUCAUUAAAAUAUGACAUGCUAAAAAGUUGAUGUUGGACAAGGAAGACAACAUAAUGAGUUAUGUUUGCUUAUAUCCUAAAUAAAUUAUAUUGUCAUGGAUCAUCCAACAUGUUGAACUUGCCUUUCCCCCUCAUGUUAGCCAAAUUCUUUGCACCAAGUACAGAUACUACUUGUGCUUACAAACAUCCCUAAACCCAGUUUUGUCAUGAGAUUCCACCAUACCUACCUAUGGAUUGAGUAAGAUCCUUCAAGUAAGUUGUCAUCGGUGCAAGCAAUAAAAAUUUCUCUCUAAAUAUGUAUGAUCUAUUAGUGUGGAGAAAAUAAGCUUUAUACGAGCUUGUGAUACGGAAGAAAUAAAAGCGACAGACUGCAUAAUAAAGGUCCAUAUCACAAGUGGCAACAUAAAGUGACGUUCUUUUGCAUUAAGAUUUUGUGCAUCCAACCAUAAAAGCACAUGACAACCUCUGCUUCCCUCUGCGAAGGGCCUAUCUUUUAUUUUUACCUUCUACCCUUAUACAAGAAUCUUGGUGAUCUUCACCUUUCCUUUUUAUACUUUAUCCUUUGGCAAGCUCUGUGUGUUGGAAAGAUCCUGAUAUAUAUAUAUCCAAUUGGAUGUGGGUUUUCAUAAAGUAUUAUUGUUGAUAUUACCCUUGAGGUAAAAGGUUGGGAGGCGAAAGUAUAAGCCCCUACCUUUCUCUCUGUCCGAUUGAAACUUCAUAUUCAUAAGUAUCGCGUGAGUGUUAGCAAUUGUGAAAGAUUAAAUGAUAAUUGAGUAUUUGGACGUGCUGAAAACCUCUUAUAUUGACUCUUUCCGAUGUGAAGAUAAAAUUGCAAUUGCUUCAAUGACUGAGAUUAUAGUUUGCUAGUUUGCAAUGAAGUUUCUGAUUCAUACUUUACAUUGUGAAUAGAUUGUUACUUUAGCAUAAGAAAUCAUAUGAAAAUAUAUAUGUUGCUGUUCUAAGAAUGAUCAUGAUGCCCUCAUGUCCGUAUUUUAUUUUAUCGUCACCUCUAUCUCUAAACAUGUGGACAUAUUUUUCGAUAUCGGCAUCCGCUUGAGGACAAGCGAGGUCUAAGCUUGGGGGAGUUGAUACGUCCAUUUUGCAUCAUGCUUUUAUAUCAAUAUUUAUUGCAUUAUGGGCUGUUACUACACAUUAUGUCACAAUACUUAUGCCUUUUCUUUCUUAUUUUACGAGGUUUACAUGAAGAGGGAGAAUGCCGGCAGCUAGAAUUCUGGGCUGGAAAAGGAGCAAAUAUUAGAGGCCUAUUCUGCACAACUCGAAAAGUCCUGAAACUCCACGAAAGUCAGUUUUGGAAUAUAUUAAAAAUAUUGGGCGAAGAAAGCACCAGAGGGGGGCCACCCACCGUCCACGAGGGUGGAAGGCGCGCCCUACCCCCUGGUUGCGCCCCCUGCCUCAUGGGCCACCUGGCAGGCCCCCGAUCCCCAUCUUCUACUAUAUGGUGUCUUUUGCCCUGGAAAAAAAUCAUAAGGUAGAUUUCGGGACGAAGCGCCGCCGUCUCGAGGCGGAACCUUGGUGGAACCAAUCUAGGGCUCCGGUGGAGCUGUUCUGCCGGGCAAACAUCCCUGCGGGAGGGGGAAAUCAUCACCAUCGUCAUCACCAUGGAUCCUCUCAUCGAGAGGGGCCAAUCUCCAUCAACAUCAUCACCAACACCAUUUCCUCUCAAAACCUAGUUCAUCUCUUGUAUCCGAUCUUUGUCUCAAAACCUCAGUUGGUACAUGUGGGUUGCUAGUAAUGUUGAUUACUCCUUGUAGUUGAUGCUAGUUGGUUUAUUUGGUGGAAAAAUCAUAUGUUCAGAUCCUUUAUGCAUAUUAAUACCCCUAUGAUUAUGAACAUGAAUAUGAUUUGUGAAUAGUUAUGUUUGUUCCUGAGGACAUGGGAGAAGUCUUGUUAUAAGUAGUCAUGUGAAUUUUGUAUUCUUUGAUAUUUUGAUGAGACGUAUGUUGUCUCUCCUCUAGUGGUGUUAUGUGAACAUCGACUACAUGAUAGUUCACCAUUGUUUGGGCCUAGGGGAAGGCAUUUGGAAGUAAUAAGUAGAUGAUGGGUUGCUAGAGUGAUAGAAGCUUAAACCCUAGUUUAUGCGUUGCUUCGUAAGGGGCUGAUUUGGAUCCAUAUGUUUCAUGCUAUGGUUAGGUUUACCUUAAUUCUUCUUUCAUAGUUGCGGAUGCUUGCGAGAGGGGUUAAUCAUAAGUGGGAUGCUUGUCAAAGGAAGGGCAGUACCCAAGCACCGGUCCAACCACAUAUCAAAUUAUCAAAGUAACGAACGUGAAUCAUAUGAGCAUGAUGAAAACUAGCUUGACGAUGAUUCCCAUGUGUCCUCGGGAGCGCUUUGCUUUAUAUAAGAGUUUGUCCAGGCUUGUACUUUGCUACAAAAAGGAUUGGGCCACCUUGUUGCACCUUGUUACUUUUGUUACUUGUUACCCGUUACGAACUAUCGUAUCACAAAACUAUCUGUUACCAAUAAUUUCAGUGCUUGCAGAGAAUACCUUACUGAAAACUGCCUGCCAUUUCCUUCUAUUCCUCAUUGGGUUCGACACUCUUACUUAUUGAAAGGACUACAAUAGAUCCCCUAUAGUUGUGGGUCAUCAAAUAGUACAUAACAUAACUUGAGCUUUAGAUUUGGCUCAUUAUCACACUGAUGUCAAAUUUGUCAUUUUUGUAUCUUAAAAAUGUUAUAAACUUUAAUACAAAAUUUUUGUGACAUCAUACAUUGAUGUGCGUUAAUGUGCUAGAUUUUUUUGACUUUUUAAAAUGUUCUAUUGCAUCCGGUGCACCGGUAGCACCAUUACUACGGGUGCAUAGGAUACAUCCCCGCGAGCGAUCCGUGGAUGGCUUGGUGCGGACGGGCGCGUGCGGGCCGAUCCAUAUAUUCCUGAACUCGGAUCUAGACACAAGAUCCUCCGUUGCAUGCCACAUCCAUGGCUCUAGUGAGCCAGAUCCGCACAUGUGAUAUGUCUCCAACAUAUUUACUUUUUGUUUUGGCCUCUAAUUUAUAUGAUUUGAAUGAAACUAACCCAAACUAACGUUGUUUUAAGUAGAACUACCUUGAUGUUAUUUUUUGUGUAGAAAUAAAAAUCUCAUAAUUGGACGAAACUUCGUACAGAUUUUUUAUGGAAUAAAUAAAAAAUACCGGAGCCAUCGGCAUCCAUACCAAGAAAAUAAGAGAGAAAGUAAUUUGGGAGCUGCCACCAUCUCUUGUCUUCAUUGGGAGCCCUGAUCUGGAGUCCAUUCCUAGCUCCCGAGAGAGGGAUUCGUCGUGGUUGUAAUCACCAACCCUUCUCCAUCAAUAAUUUCCUGAUUCUCACCACCAAGAGUGUGUAAUCCCUUGCAUGCAUACUAGAGGUAGAGUAAGAUGAAUGAGAUUUCCUAUGUAAUCAUGUCAAUUUGUUAGGGCUUGAUCCCUAGUAUGCACUAUGUUCUGAGAUUGAAGUUGUUAUGACUUUCUUAUACUUAAUGCUUGUCAGUAGGGCCCAAGUGUCAUAAUUUCAGAUCUAAACACUUAUGCUUCUUUGAAUAUAUUUGACAUGCUGAUCUUACCUGCAAGUUGUAUACACCUGUUAUCAUUCCAAAUCUUAGACUUCCAAGUUGACCAUUGAAAGUGCUAGCUAUCGACUAGAGGGGGGGGUGAAUAGGAAAUUUUUAUAAAAGUCUUCAAAACAUGCAAUGUCUUCGAAAACGCAGAAGAAAAACAAUCACUAAACAGGAUACAUCGGAAUAUAAACCACACUAGACAUGUCGGUAUGUCAACAAAAAUUGACGUAAGAUGCGAAGAUAGAAAACAACUAGGUAGUUCAGAACAAUGAGAAGAUAGUGUGAAGACAAAUAUGUAAUCAGAGGAAAUGUCUUCAUACAAUGUCUUCGAAUAGUAUGAGCACACAAAGGCUUCACGAAACUAAACAGAAAGUAAAGGAGUGAAGUGAUAGAACCAGUUGCUCAUAGAAGACAUGUGAUUUGUUUGACCAAUUCCAGCUGUUGUGACAGCUAUAUGUUUGGUUAAGGAGGCUGAGAUUGAAAUCUGAAGACUUAGUCUUCACCUUAUUCCCCGUAAGCUAAUAUCCGCAAAUCUCACCCAAUCACUCGGGGAAGUCUUCUAGGUAAACUUCCAAACCUUCACAGACUUUGUUCACUAGCAAUCCACAAUGACUCUUGGAUGCUCAGAAUUUGACACCUAACCGGUUGGAAGAUCACAGUCUUCAAGUGUAAUAAGUCUUUGGUUCACGCAGAACAGAAAGGCUUCAGUGAUGCUCAAUCACUUUGGGCUCUGGGUGUUUUGGGUUUGUCCUCGCAAGGAAUUUCUCUCAAGGCUUAAGAGGUGGGUUGCUCUCAAACGAUAACAACCAUGUAAUAACUCGAAACAACCACCAACUUAUGCUAGAGGUGGUGGGCUAUUUAUAGCCAGGAGGCAACCCGACAUGAUAUGACCAAAAUGACCCUGGGUCAAUGGGCAACCGACAUGUGUCCAACAACCGUAUUUCAAACACACGCGAUAACUUUACUUGAGCUCCAACUAAAGCUAACUCAACAAACGUUGGAAAAGGUGUUCUCUCACUGUCUUCACUGGAAGACAUCAAGUCAGUUUCUAACUUUGUUUACCUCGACCCCAUUUAACAAUACGGUGGUUCCUAUGGCUCAAGAAAGGCGAAAAUGAAACUAUCAAAAGACUGUCUUCGUGCUCCAUUGUAUUCAAGCGAAAGUCCUCAGUCCCAUUGUCUUCAAAUAAAUGUCUUCCCUUACCACCAUUAUCUUUAAUGUCUUCAUACAUGUUUAGGAGUCAUAUUUGAUUGGUAAGCCAAAUCUCUAGGGACUUCUAUCUGUGUUCUCCUGUGAAUCUCAUAAAUAGAUUAGUCCCUCAACCAAAUUUGUCGUCAAUACUCCAUAACCAAUGAUAUGUCCAUUUUGCAUCAUGUUUUUAUAUUGAUAUUUAUUGCAUUAUGUGUUGUUAUUACGUAUUUACGUACAAUACUUAUGUCUUUUCUCUCUUAUUUUACAAGGUUUACACAAAGAGGGAGAAUGCCGACAGCUGGAAUUCUGGACCGGAAAGGAGCAAAUCAGAGAGACCUAUUCUGCAUAACUCCAAAAAUCCUCAAAAUUUACAGAGAAUUAUUUUGGAAUAUAUAAAAAAUAUUGGGCGAAGAAAAUACCAGAGGGGACCCACCAAGUGGCCACAAGGAUGGGGGCGCGCCCUACCCCCUGGGCGCGCCUCCCUGUCUUCAGGGCCCCUUGGCAAGCCUUUGGUGCCCCUCUUCUACUAUAUGAUGUCUUUUGACCUGGAAAAAAUAAAUCAGAAGAGAGCUUUCAGGAUGAAGUGCCGCCGUCUCGAGGCGAAACUUGGGCAGAACCAAUCUAAGAUUCAGGUGGUUUAGAUUGCAAGGUGGCGUUGCAGAUAUACAUUAGAAGAGCGCAACUACCUAUAGAGCAAUCAUAACUGAGAUCAUAGAUCGGAAGGCUACUUUUACUAAUAGUACAUUAGCCAUGAAUUUAGGAGCUUGAAUGUUGAAGCUCACAAACUCGUGAAGCAUGCUUUAUCCCUAGGGGUUGACCGCCAUGUUUGGUUAGGUAACCCCAUAGCUGAAGUUGUCUCGCCUUGCUUCAAAUCUACUGGGCGUGCGCUGCGAUUUUGACCUAACGGCCUCCAUUUGCUGGAAUUAAUUGGAAUAGUUGAGAAGAAAGUGACAAACGAAUGCGUAAUGCGUGGGAAUCUGCCGAAUAGUUCAGGUCGAAUCCCGAAGAAAGUUGAAAACGCUGUUUGAUGAGCCUACGUAGUAUUAGUUCGUUGGUCAGGUAAAGGUUGGCCAGCCAAUGAUGCUUAGCUGGUCUUUUUGAAUGUUUAGCCACACUGGGACUGAGACAUAGCCCAGACUCCCAUGGGGGGCAGCAGAGGGGAAUCUUGGACAAUGGGUGAAAGCCCGAUCUAGCAAUAUCGCGCGAGUGAAGAAGGUCAAUGCUCCUUUUAAAGCUCUUAUGUUGAGUGCGCGAUCAUGACAUAUCUCGAGGAAGAAGCCCCGGNNNNNNNNNNNNNNNNNNNNNNNNNNNNNNNNNNNNNNNNNNNNNNNNNNNNNNNNNNNNNNNNNNNNNNNNNNNNNNNNNNNNNNNNNNNNNNNNNNNNNNNNNNNNNNNNNNNNNNNNNNNNNNNNNNNNNNNNNNNNNNNNNNNNNNNNNNNNNNNNNNNNNNNNNNNNNNNNNNNNNNNNNNNNNNNNNNNNNNNNNNNNNNNNNNNNNNNNNNNNNNNNNNNNNNNNNNNNNNNNNNNNNNNNNNNNNNNNNNNNNNNNNNNNNNNNNNNNNNNNNNNNNNNNNNNNNNNNNNNNNNNNNNNNNNNNNNNNNNNNNNNNNNNNNNNNNNNNNNNNNNNNNNNNNNNNNNNNNNNNNNNNNNNNNNNNNNNNNNNNNNNNNNUGGAAUGACUGGGUGUAAAGGGCAUGUAGGCGGCGGGUUGAAAAUGAAACUGUGAAAAUCAUAAAAAGUGGCGGAAUGCUCUCGAAACCAAUUCACUUAAGUGAGACAGAGGAGAGUGGGUGAUUUUCUAUUCGUCCCUAUAAACACUACUCAUCAAUCCAUGUAGGUGCACGGGCUAGAUAUACCAUCAUAGAAUCUUGUAAAUAUACUUUGUAAGCCUAUAACUGGAAACAUAAAACAUGGAACAUGCUUUUCAGUUUUUAUUUUAUAGUGGUGUUUAGUCUUCAAAUUUCAGGCAAAAUUAAAAGUGGACACGUAUAAAUUCUCAAGUUCAUUGAUCAAGCGCAUGCAGUUGUUAUGGUAUACAAAAUCGAACAUGUUGAAGACUCACAUGCAUAUUUGUAGGAAAAACUAAAAAAAAUUGUAAUUAUUUCUUACAUCAUUACAUUCAAACCCACACAAAGAAAAUAGUCAAAUAAACAUCAUUUUUCUUUAAACAGAAGGAUCCAACUAACGCCAUAAAAUGUAUCUUUUCCUUAUAUUGGCCAAUUAUUGCUCAUAGCUGUGCAUGUGCUGUGUAAAUAAGAUUUAGAUAUGGUACAUAGAACUGUUGUUAGAUUUAGAUCAUAGCUUCAGUGUGAAUGUUGCUGCAAUGGCACAGAAGUAUGAUCGGUUUGGCAUCAUCUGCUUUGCGAUGAUCCACUCCCGUGCACAGGCUCUAUCCUACGGAUCGUCCUAUCGGACAGCUAGCAGUAUAUGUCAUGCCAAAAGCUUCUUGACCAACAUAUGUGCUAGUAAAUCUAAUUACUCUAAAUUAUGAAAAUAUAGUUAUUCUGAAUUAUGAAAAUAUAAUUACCCUAAACUAUAUAUGUACCUUAGAUCGUAGAGGCCACCAUCGAACAGAACUAUAUAGGGAGUAGUUGUGCGGUAGUAUUGUUGAGAUGUAGAAGUGGAAAAGCAACAAUGCAUAACAAAAUCAUAUUCUAUCACACGCUUAGCUUAUACUAUGUAUAUUGGCACACAUUUUCUUUGCAUAUGCACCUGGUAGAUUAAACAAUGGAAGCAAACACAGUAGGGCAAACCAAUUUCAGAUUUUUAUCUCAAAUCAAAAGCCUAGAAAAGGUGAAUCUGCCGAAUAGUUCGGGCCGAAUCCUGAGGAAAGUUCAAAGCGCUGUUUGACGAGCCUACGUAGUAUUAGUUAGUUGGCCAGGUAAAGGCUGACAAGCCAAUGAUGCUUAGCUAGUAUUUUUGAAUGAUUAGCCACACUAGGACUGAGACAUGGCCCAGACUCCCAUGGAAGGCAGCAGAGGGAAUCCUUGACAAUGGGCGAAAGCCCGAUCCAGCAAUAUCGCGUGAGUGAAGAAGGUCAAUGCUCCUUGUAAAGCUUUUACAUUGAGUGCGCGAUCAUGACAUAUCUCGAGGAAGAAGUAACUCCAUGCCAGCAGCCGCGCUAAGACGGGNNNNNNNNNNNNNNNNNNNNNNNNNNNNNNNNNNNNNNNNNNNNNNNNNNNNNNNNNNNNNNNNNNNNNNNNNNNNNNNNNNNNNNNNNNNNNNNNNNNNNNNNNNNNNNNNNNNNNNNNNNNNNNNNNNNNNNNNNNNNNNNNNNNNCAUGUACUCUUUGGAAUGACUGGGUGUAAAGGGCAUGUAGGCGGCGGGUUGAAAGUGAAGCUAUGAAAAUCAUAAAAAGUGGCGGAAUGCUCUUGAAAUGAAUUCACUUAAGUGAGAUAGAGGAGAGUGGAUGGUUUUCUAUUCGUCCCUAUAAACACUAGUCAUCAACCUGUGCAGCUGCACGGGCUAGCGACUUGAGUCCGAAAACUUUGUGUUUAAUAUACUUUGGAAAAAGAAUAAACAUUGAAUAACAUUCAUAAUUUCUAAUUAUAAGUGUACUUUUUGAAAUCACGGUUACAUUGUUUAGCCUUUCAAGCAAUGCACAACAAUAAUUAGUGGCAAUGCACAACAAUAACAUUCAUAAUUUAUAAUUUCAACCGAGCAUACCACAUCACCUUGGCAGGAAUCUUCUUCCUGGAGCGCUCGCCCUCGACAUCUCCAGGGUCAUCGCGGCUGAUCUUAUAGCGCAAUGCACCACAUACGAGGAACGCGUUCAAAUCCUCAUACUCACCACAGUAGAGGAUGCAGUCAUUAGGGCAUGCAUGUAUCUUCUGCACCUCUAAUCCUAGAGGGCAGACGACCUUCUUUGCUUCGUACGUACUCGGGCAAUUUGUUGUCCUUUGGAAGCAUCUUCUUUAACAUUAUCAGCAACUUUCCAAAUCCCUUGUCAGAUACACCAUUCUCUACCUUCCAUUUGCAACAAUUCUAGUGUGGUGCCCAGCUUUUUCUUGUCAGCUUCACAAUUUGGGUACAACAAUUUCUUGUGAUCCUCUAACAUGCGCUACAACUUCUUCUCCCCCUUUUCACUUGUGCAGUUUCUCUUUGCAUCAGCAAUGGCACGACCUAGAUCAUCAGCGGGCUCAUCUGAUGCCUCUUCUUUAGCUUCUUCCCGCAUUUCCGGCUCAAUUUCUUCCCCCAUUGUUGUACCAUCGUUCAGGGAACCCAUGGCCAGGAUAGCUAUCGUCGUCCUCUUCUUGUUCACUGUCUUCCAUCAUAACCCCUAUUUCUCCGUGCUUAGUCCAAACAUUAUAGUGGGGCAUGAAACCAGACUCAAACAGGUGGACGUGAAUGGUUCUUGACUUAGAGUAAUUCAGAUCAUUCUUACAGUUAGCACAUGGAAAAGGCAUAAAACCAUCCGCCCGCUUGUUUGGCUCAUCUGCAAGCAGAAACGUAUGCACACCAUUAAUGAACUGGGGAGAGCAUCGGUCAUCGUACAUCCACUGCCGGUUCAUCUUCAUUUACACAACACCGAAAAGACCAAAUUAAUACAAGUUCAUACAAAACAACAUACAAAUAACUCUGUAGCUAAAGUAUUUAAAUGCAACAACAAAUGCGAUCAAGAUCGCAACUAAGGUAACAAUUGAUCCAACAACAUAAUGAUACCAAGCCUCACUAUCGAUGGCAUAUUUUUUAAUCUUUCUAAUCUUCAAGCGCAUUUUCUCCAUCUUGAUCUUGUGAUCAUCGACGACAUCGGCAACAUGCAACUCCAAUUCCAUCUUCUCCCCCUCAAUUCUUUUCAAUUUUUCUUUCAAAUACUCGUUUUCUUUUUCAACUAAAUUUAACCUCUCGAGAAUAGGGUCGGUUGGAAUUUCUGGUUCACAUACCUCCCAGAUAAAAAUAUCUGUCAACUUGAUGGGUAUAAUUUGUCAUAAACACGAAAUGCAACAAAUAGUUAUAAAAGGGAAUAUACCACAUCCGAAUCAUGACCCGGACGAGGGCCAACGGGGACGGAUAUCAAAACCAUGGCACUAUGUAUAACAAACAAUAUACAUGUAAGAUAAUUAUACAAGUAACUAUAUAUCUAAAUAACAAAAACAUGAUUUUUCUUAUAUUAAAAAGAUAAGAACAAGAGACUCAUCACAAGGUGGUGCCGGCGACGGGACGGUGCGGGCGGUCGAUGGUGGUUAGGACGGAGACGGGAAGGCACUAAGUAAACCACACCUACAUAUGCAAACUAAGAGUUAUUUUGACCUCAAAUUGCAUAUAAAUCAAAUAAACUACAACAUAUAUAUAAUUCCUCCCAAACUAAAAACCCACAAAUCACUAUACUUAUAGAGCAUUGCAAGAGCUAAUGUAACAAUGAGAGAUGAAAGGACAGUGUUGCUAACCUUUGUGAUCACUUGGACGGAUGGGGUGCCUUCAAAUGUUGGAAAAUUUUGGAAAAAAUGGAGGUGGGAGAUCGAGCAAGAGGGGAAGAAAACAAAAAGGAGGGGAAAAGUAGAGGGCUUCGGCUCGGUUGGUUACACGAACCGGGACUAAAGGUCAACUUGUAGUCUCGGUUCGUGGCAUGAACCGGUACUAUAGGUCAUGGUGCGGCCGCAGCCUGCCGCAAGCCUGCCACCACCUCUUUAGUACCGGUUUGUGGCACGAACCGGUACUAAAGGUUCGCCACGAACUGGUACUAAUGAGAGCAGCCCACCUAGCCGUUGGAACCGGCAGUAAUGGUCACAUUAGUGUCGGUUCUAUUAAAAACCGGGACUAAAUUGUUGAACAUUAGGCCCUUUUUCUACUAGUGGUUACUUGACGGGCACUAUUUUUGUCAGGCAAAUGCCAAAUAAUUGGUCGGUAUUAAAUGUUGGUUGCCUAAACAAAAUAUUGUAAAUUUUUGGUCGGCGAAACAAACUCCCAUCUGACCGUCGGCCGAGAAAUGUCCAUGGCAACCCUAAUUAAUUGUUGGAUGGGAAAAACACUAUUUGAUAGUCGGUCGGGAAAGGACCAUAGUAGCUCAAAUGGACUGUCGGUCGGGAAACGUCCGUGGCAGGCCCAACAGAAUGUUGGUCUCGAAUGAUACACUAUAGCUGACAAGCAGUCGGUUGGGAAUAAAAUGUCGGUCGGGAAAGGGUUUUCCUGUCUGGACUUUCCCCAAGGAUCUUUGCCGUCAGCCAGCUCACGACAAAGAAAGUUUUUGCCAUCAGCUUACAGAAAACUGACGGCAAAGAAAGAGCCAACGACAAAGAGCAUGUUUGCCGUCUAGCAUAGCAGCCGACAAAGAGGGAGGGUGGUCCACUAAGGAGUACCACCUGACGACCACUUUCUUUGGCGUCUGCUAGCGGACGACAAAGAUUGCAGCUAAUGGCUACAUACGGCCCCCCCCACACCUCCCACUCUCCAUUUCUCUUUCUCUCUCACUCCACCGUGCCGACCCCGACCCCAACCGCCGCCGCCGCUCCCGACCCCCACCUCCCUCGCCGCCCCUGACCGCCCUGCCGCCCCGCCGGUCCACGACCCGCCACCCCGCGGUCCGCUNNNNNNNNNNNNNNNNNNNNNNNNNNNNNNNNNNNNNNNNNNNNNNNNNNNNNNNNNNNNNNNNNNNNNNNNNNNNNNNNNNNNNNNNNNNNNNNNNNNNNNNNNNNNNNNNNNNNNNNNNNNNNNNNNNNNNNNNNNNNNNNNNNNNNNNNNNNNNNNNNNNNNNNNNNNNNNNNNNNNNNNNNNNNNNNNNNNNNNNNNNNNNNNNNNNNNNNNNNNNNNNNNNNNNNNNNNNNNNNNNNNNNNNNNNNNNNNNNNNNNNNNNNNNNNNNNNNNNNNNNNNNNNNNNNNNNNNNNNNNNNNNNNNNNNNNNNNNNNNNNNNNNNNNNNNNNNNNNNNNNNNNNNNNNNNNNNNNNNNNNNNNNNNNNNNNNNNNNNNNNNNNNNNNNNNNNNNNNNNNNNNNNNNNNNNNNNNNNNNNNNNNNNNNNNNNNNNNNNNNNNNNNNNNNNNNNNNNGAUCCAGGGGCCACGCCGUCCCGGCACCCUAGCCACCCCGACACCCCGCCGCCCCGGUGCCCCGCCGACCUACUCAGUUGAGCUCCCCCCGUUUUUUCUACUGCUAAUAAUUAGGUUACUUUGUACUAUUGGUUUCUUUUUUUCUACUGCUAGUAAUUAGGUUAGUUAGUAUUUUUAGAGUUGGUUAGGUUAGUUAGGUUAGUUUCUAGGUUAGAUCUUGAAAAAAAUUAUUAGGAGAAGAAAAUAAGAAGAAUUAGAAGAAGAGGAGGGGCAGGAGAAGAAGAAAAAGGGGAGGAGAAGAAGAAGAAGAAGAAGAAGAAGAAGAAGAAAAAAGGAGAAGAAGAAGAAGAAGAAGAAGAAGAAGAAGAAUAGGAGGAGGAGGAGGAGAAGAAGAAGAAUAAAAAGAAUAAGAAAAGGGGCAGGAGAAGAAAAGAAGAAGAAGAAGAAGAAGAAGAGGAGGAGGAGGAGGAGGAGAAGAUCACCGGUCCCCGACACCCCGACCCCGACACAACACCCCGAGACCACCUCGACACCCCAACACGACACCACCGACACCCCGACCCCGAUACCAUCGACACCCUGACACCACUGACACCUCGACACGACANNNNNNNNNNNNNNNNNNNNNNNNNNNNNNNNNNNNNNNNNNNNNNNNNNNNNNNNNNNNNNNNNNNNNNNNNNNNNNNNNNNNNNNNNNNNNNNNNNNNNNNNNNNNNNNNNNNNNNNNNNNNNNNNNNNNNNNNNNNNNNNNNNNNNNNNNNNNNNNNNNNNNNNNNNNNNNNNNNNNNNNNNNNNNNNNNNNNNNNNNNNNNNNNNNNNNNNNNNNNNNNNNNNNNNNNNNNNNNNNNNNNNNNNNNNNNNNNNNNNNNNNNNNNNNNNNNNNNNNNNNNNNNNNNNNNNNNNNNNNNNNNNNNNNNNNNNNNNNNNNNCACCCCGACCCCCGAUACCUCCUCAAAAAGGUGCUCUUCGGCCUUCCAGAGGCCGACGGGGUCAUAUAUUUGUGAAUUAUGAGUUAGGUCAGGUAUUCAAUUAUUAUUAUGUACAUAUACAUAUAUAUUAUUAUUAAUUAGUUCAUCUUAUUAGGUAUUCAAUUUUUUAUUAUGUUCAUGAUGAUGAUACACACUUAAUUUUUUUAUUAUGUUUAUGUUGUACUAAUUUCAUUUACUCUUUGUCAUUGCAGGUGUUGACAGAUGGUGGGCGCGGGUCGAGAGCGCUCCGAGCCUCCUUCUUCGGCGCGUGCUGGGAGGUGUGUUGUUAUUCCACCCCAGCACCUUCGGAGAGCGCAGAUAGACAGCACACAGACACCAGCGAGCGCUUCUUCUUCGACCGAGAGAGGUCGAGGGAAGACGAAGAGGGGUAGAGCUAGAGGUGGACGUGGCGGCGGGAUAGGUAGGAAGGCUGCUACGCCUUCCUCGCCGCCACCCCAGCUGAUUCUUUGGACCAUUGGAGUGCUUCGUCCCAGGUGGACCCGUCUGACUUGGACCCUUCUCGGACUCCGGUCCACAAGCCUCGGGCCAACGAUCCUACAUCCGACGAGACUCGGGUCCUAGAGUCUUCGUCCCAGGAGACUCGGGUCCCAGAGUCUUCGUCCCACGUGACUCCGGAGACUAGUGGCCAUGCUGAUGGUGGCGAGGACACCUUGUCUGACGAUAGCUACAACGAUGGUGAGCUAGUUGAGGGGGGCAAGAAGGUCUACCAGCAUGGUGGUACAGAUCUCCCAUCCGUGUCGGCGACCCGCGACCAGAGGUGGUUGAUUGAGCCUAAAGGGGAGAAGUAAGUGCACUUACUCUUUUUUAACCUUUUGCCUUCAUGUUUCUUCAAAUUAAUAUCUAAUGUGUUGGCCUUGUCAUACUGCAGGGGUUGGAUACACGCCUCUGAUGUCCGCAGGCCCAACCAGGUCCUUGGUGUGAUUUGCCGGCACCACUUCCCGGGAUGGGUCACAUUGCCCAAUGAGGGUGAGGUUCCAUAGCUAGCACUGACCUGGGAGAUGCACAAGGCUGCCCCGGCCCCGCCGAGGGAGAUGGUCGACGGUGUCGUGUGCAAUACGGUGGCCGACAUUGUGAGACGGCGGUUUUGGGUAAUUUCUCCUUUACAGAAUUAAAAAUCAACAAUACUUAGUGAUUGUAAUAAUCAGUGUUGUCUUGUUUGAUUGCAGACCUUCUACAGGUGUCUUGAGGAACACGAGGCGGACACGGCUAUGAUUCUCGAAGCCGAGUGCAAGCGCCUAGUCCAGAACUUAUGGUACGAGGCUCGGGUGCAGGCUGUUCGAGACUACUAUGCCUCGACUAACAUCAGGAGGGCCAAGAAGAAGUGACGCGGCAAGUAUUUGAGUAAGGAGAAGUACAUGAAGGUAAUUACCUAUUCUUAAGGCCUUGUACUUAGUUUCCUUGAUUUGAUUUGGAGGCAUAGCACUGAAAUUUCUCUUUGUCUAACUUUGGUGCCCCCGAGAUGGUGUGCGGAUAGGAUGGACUGUUGGGAGAGGUUGGUGGAUGAGUGGUGCUCUCCCCAAUGGCUAGCCGUCCACAACAAGGCCAGGGAUAAGUGUGCCCAGAUGCAAGGUGUGCCACACCAUCAAGGAAGCUCCAACCUGUUUGAGUACGGGGAUCACUUGGUAUGUGGUUUGAUCCCUUAAUGAUUCAUGCAAUUUCAUUCUUCAUGCUAGCUUGAGCCCUUAACUAAUAUUUUGUUCCUCUCUUUUAGGCGCGACACAACAAGAAGGAGUUGCCACUGCUGUACAACCUCUAUGCCAUGGCCCAUACUACCCCGUACAAGAAGGCCAAGGCAUUCUUGGAGGAUGACCUCGAUCAUCCUGAGAGCUCCACCAACAUAUCCUCCCUUACGAUAAGCUCAUGAGGUACAGAGUCUUUGGGAAGGCGAUGAAAGGGGAGGACUUCAACCCGAGCCAGAGUCCUUUUGAUCCUAAGCUUGUGAUGCUAUCUGAAGGGAGGAAACAUGGCUCAGUAGCCAUUAGGGGUGGACUGAUACGUUGUCCUAGAAGUCUCCCAGAGAAGAAGCGCCAGACGAGGUCUCUUCCUGAGAUGAGGCCUCGAUAACGACCAAUGGAGCUCGCCAUCAAGGCUAGGGCCCAGGAGCUUCUGGCGGAGGCAAACAGGUAGUCGACGCAGAGGGAGAGGGAGUUGGAGGAGAGGACAGCUAGUAUGUUGGAGGCGGAGAGGAACCGGAACGACGCGGGUCACCGGGCCCUAUACGAGCUCCUCGUGGUAAGUUUCUCCUGCAUAUUAGCCAAAUCAUGUACGUAAUGUUCGUUUCAUUACUAACUAAUAUGACUGACUUGUGAAAACAAAAUGUGCAGUCCGUUUGCGAGAAAAACGACCAGACCCCUCAGCCGAUGCACCAGCACUAGUGCAGAACCGGGCUAUAGCACUAGUUCGUAGGGGCCUUUAGUCCUGUUUCGGUAACCGGCACUAAAGGGUGGAGACUAAAGGCCCCCCUUAGUACCGCUUCUGCACGAACCGGGGCCAAAGGCCCACCAUGUGGCACAAUCCCGCGUGGUGAUCUGGGGGAUAUUUAGUACCGGUUGGUAACACCAACUGGUAAUAAAGGAUUUUUUUAUUUUUGAUUUUAUUUUUUUCGAAAAAAUUGAAUAUUUUUUCCGAUUUUCAAAUUUCUGAAUUAUUUGACGAUUUUGUCUCUAAUCACCGCUCAUCAUUGCUGUAAUCACCCCUCAUCAAUCCAAAUCGUCUAACUUCCUGGCCGGUCACCCAUCCUCUCACUACUCCAGCCUGAGCAUGCUUAACUUCCGAGUUCUAAGUCUGCACGUGUUGCUUACCUGACAAUAGUAAGUUGUCAAUCAUAUUAACCCUCAGGAAUUUAGCUUGAACAUGAAGUCACAUGUUUCACCGUUUUAGUUUGAAACUAUUAUUCUAAAAAAUAAUUAUUAUUUAGUAACCAAGAUACUUCUUGAAUAAGUAGUCUGACCACAGUUUGACCAUAGUUUGACCAAAAGUCAAAAAAACUAAAAUAACUAUUUAUUAACACUAAUAUUUCUUGAAUAAUUAGUUUGACCAUAGUUUGACCACAAUUCGACCAGAUUUAACAAUUUUUUUAAAAAAAACUGAAAUUGGAGCAAAUCUUUUUUUCCUUUUAGAAUUUGAGGAUUCUAAAAAAUUGCAAACAAGCAGUAGGCGGUCAAAAUUGGAUGCGGAUUUUCGUGCUGAUUUUUUGAUAUAUUAUGCGUUUUUUGACAUCGUAUGCAAAAGAUAUGGCCGUUUUACAUUUUCAUAACACUUUUUUUUGCAAAACAUGUCCAAAUUUAAGUUUUUUAAUUUUCCUAACUAGUAGAUUUAGUAACAUAACUACAUCUCGAACGAUUUUACUUUUUGAAGUUUUUAUCNNNNNNNNNNNNNNNNNNNNNNNNNNNNNNNNNNNNNNNNNNNNNNNNNNNNNNNNNNNNNNNNNNNNNNNNNNNNNNNNNNNNNNNNNNNNNNNNNNNNNNNNNNNNNNNNNNNNNNNNNNNNNNNNNNNNNNNNNNNNNNNNNNNNNNNNNNNNNNNNNNNNNNNNNNNNNNNNNNNNNNNNNNNNNNNNNNNNNNNNNNNNNNNNNNNNNNNNNNNNNNNNNNNNNNNNNNNNNNNNNNNNNNNNNNNNNNNNNNNNNNNNNNNNNNNNNNNNNNNNNNNNNNNNNNNNNNNNNNNNNNNNNNNNNNNNNNNNNNNNNNNGUUCGUGGCACAAACCGGUACUAAAGGUUAGCCCUGUAGUACCAGUUUGUGCCACGAACCGGGACUAAAGGGGCUCGUGGGGCCCCGCCUGACGCCAGCCUGCCACCACCCCUUUAGUACCGGUUCAACACGAACCGGCAUUAAUGCAUAGCCGUUUGAACCGGGACUAAUGGUACCAUUAGUACUGGGCCAACAUUGAAUCGAGACUAAUGUGUCUCACAUUAGGUCCUUUUUCUACUAGUGCAGAUUGGUAUAGCGGACGCGGUGAGUUUCAUUUGAAUGGUCAUUAGUUACUAGUAUUCACAUUUCAGUUGCAUCAUGCUAACUAGACAUUGCAAAUGAUCUUUGGUGCAGCACGCCUCCCGGCAAGCAUCGACCGAUCCUUCUUCAUCUCAAACUAGCGCAACCCCGACCAGUCCUUCUCCGUCUGGCACUGGCGCAAGCCAAACCGUUCCUUCACCUCCAUGAUGAUGGUAAGUGUUUUGCUUAACAAAUGCAUACUUAGCUUAAGAAAUGACCUACUUAGCUCUAAAAUGACCUAUACUUAUCUUAUUUUCCUCAAAAAUGACAUAAUAACCUUACUUAGCUCCAAACUGACAUAUUCUACCUAGGAUAGCUAUAAAAUGACCUAUACUUAGCAUUUUUUUUCCUCCAAAAUGACUUGAUAUGCUUAGUUAGCUAGAAAAUGGCAUAACUACCUAGGAUAGCUCAAUAAUGAUCUAUGGCUAGCUUAGCUAGUUCAUUUAUGACAUAAUUAGCUCACUUAGGUAAAAAAUGGCAUAACUACCUAGGAUAGCUGAAUAAUGAUCUAUAAUUAGCUUAGCUAGUUCAUUUAUGCCAUAGUUAGCUCACUUAGGUAAAAAAUGGCACAACAACCUUGGUUUAGCUCCCAAAUGACCUAUACUUAGCUUAUUUCCUUGAAAAUGACAUAACAACCUUACUUAGCUCUGAACUGACAUACUUUACCUAGGAUAGCUAUAAAAUGGCCUAUACUUAGCAUUUUUUUACUCCUAAAUGACUUAAUAUGCUUAGUUAGCUAAAAAUGUCACAACUACUUAGGUCAGCUCCAAACUGGCCUACACUUACCAUUUUGUCCUCCAAAAUGAAUAAAUUUGCUUAGUUAGCUCAAAAAUGGCAUAACUACCUAGGUUAGCUCCAAAGUGACCUAUUUACCUAGCUUAGCUCUAAAAUGACCUACACACUUAGCAUUGUUAGCUAGCUAAAGCUAAAAAUGGCAUUUUUACCUACCUUAGUUAGAAUAAGAAGAAGAUAAAGAAGAGGAGAGGAGAAAAAGAAUGAGAAGAUAAAUUCUUAUUUUUCUUCUUCUUCUUCUUCUUUUUCUUCUUCUUUUUCUUCCUUUUCUUCUAGCUAGUCUUCUUCUUCUUCUUCUAACUUUCAUCUUUCCUAAUUUGUAGAUUUGAUUUAGAUGAGGAAGCUUGCAUUGAUGGAGUGUACUCUUCUACUUGUGCUUCCUUUUUGUUUAUGGAAACUUGUUUUGGAUAUGUAUGUAUAUAUGGAUAUGUUGUUGGAAGCCAUUGUAUGGUGGAUAUGUUGUUGGAAACUUGUAUGUUGGAUAUGUUGUUGGAAACUUAUUGUUGGUAUGCUUGUUGAAAUUAUUUUGAAAUGUGUGUAUAUAUAUAUAUCUGUGAAAUUCUGUCAAACUGAAUGAAUUUAAGAAAAAACAGAAAAAACAGGGGCUAUACAGUCUCUUUGUCGUCUGCUGGCAUAUGGCAAAGAGCUUUGCCGUCUGCCGGCAAAGCUGCCACAUGGCAGCUACCUGUGCAACUUGGGGUGCUCUGGGCUGACCUAUUUGGCAGCUUUGCCGUCAGCGGCAGACGGCAAAGACCUUUGCAUAUUUGCCAUCCGCUGGCAGACGGCAAAGAUGCAAAGGCCUUUGUUGUCUGCCAGCUGACGGCAAAGCACACCCUUAACCCCUUAACGGACCUAAGCUGCCACGUGUGGUGUCCAGGCUCUUUGCCGUCUGCCAGUAUACGGCAAAGAGGGCUUUGCCGUAGCUUAUUUAGCCAGACCUGUUGCCAUUUUUUGGCUGACGACAAAGGCCUUUGCCAUACUCCAGGCAUGCCUUUAUCGUCAGCCAUGGAUGACCGCAAAGUGCCUGAUUCCUUUAGUGUUGGCACAACUUGUAUUCCCGACCAAUCUGGCUUUUGGGGAUGUAGUGCAGUGGUGUACUGAAUGCAGUGUCGUGGUGUAGUGCGGGCAAGUUAAGAAAAAAAUGGACACAUUCGAGGCUAGCACCAUGAUGAACAAUACUGAGGUAGAGGACAUGAUGAAGAAGUUGGGGAUCACGGAGGAUGACUUUGAUGAUGUGGUAGUAGAGGAAGAGGAGGAGCUCCCUGCUGAAGCAAUCCAGUGGAUGGCAAUCAUGCGAGUGCACAUAGAGAAAACUUAUGCUCAGUACUGGUUUUCAGAAACAUGAGGGUGGCUUGGGACUUGGCGAAAGAGGUGAAGAUCUGGCCACUCAACAAUAAUAUGUACAUGCUGCAAUUUUCUUGUUUAGGCGACUAGGAGGGAGUCAUGGAUGAUGGGCUCUGGACUUACCGAGGCAACACGGUGCUUUUGGCGUCGUAUGAUGGAUUCACUAAACCAUCAACAAUAGCCUUGGACACAAUUGAGAUGUGGAUCCAAUUCAUGAUCUACGAGAUAGCUACCCCUACCCCCAAUUGAGCCUGGCGCUUGCUAGACCAUCCCAGUUCUCUGAGUUCCAUUGAUCUUAAAAGUUCUAAACUAUCCAAAUAACCCUCUUUCCGAUGCAACCUUGGGACCACAUCCAUCACAUAUAUGGCCGACUAUUUUCCAUGGGAAAGACUUAAUGACUUAGGGUUUGAUAAGGAGAAUAGGAGACGGAGAAUCCCCUGAUAUUUGGAACAAUAAUAGGAUAACUAGAGAGCAUACAAAGAGGCCGAGAACUUCACAAACACCACAGCCGCCGACAAGCUCGCUGAACACAUUGAUCACACUAUGUCAUCAAUGGAUGAACAACUUAUUCAAUCGAUACUUAUUCCCAUUGAUGCCGAGACUAUAUUGAAGAUCCCUCUUUGCACGAGACAAAUAUCUUAUUUUUGGUCUUGGAUUGAGGAUAGAAGGGGCAUGUUAACUGGGCAUUCUGCUUACAAGAUGAUACGGUGAACCAAGAUCAGUAGAGAAUCAUGGCUGUAUGAGCAGGGUGGCCGAUCAAACUCAGAGGCUGAUUGUCAAGGAUGGAUAGACUUAUGGCAUAUAAAAGCCCCCCGAAAAUCAAGGUGUUCAUGUGAAUAUUAGCACAAUACUCACAAUGUCCUUCUUCAUCAUAGAAACAUGUCGAUGACAAGUGCUUGUUGUUUGUGCAGGUCUAACGAUAUGUGCAGGCACGCCCUGCUGAAUUGCUUGGUUUCAAGGAGCACUGAGCACUAUCAUACGAGCAAAUUGUCGAGCUAUUGAGUCUGAAUGUAAAUGAUGACGCCAAACAAUGGCUAUUCACCAUGCAUGAGGUGUUAUCACAUGCGGACGAUUUUAUCAUGUUUACGAUCACUUUUGUGGACGAUAUGGGGAGCUCGGCACAAAGCUAUACAUGAGGAGAUAUAUAAAAGCCCUUUCACUUUUCAGGCUUUUGUGCAGAGUUACUUAACUGAGCUGAGAGCUACCCAAAGCACUCAAAGUCCAGUUCCAGGGGCACACGUGAUUAGGCCAAGUCAAUGUAUCGCUCCUUGGGAUGAUAUGGUGAAGGUCAAUGUGGAUGCGGCGGUUGGACCAGGCGACACUCGAGGCGCAAUGGGAGCUAUAUGCAGAGAUCAAGCAUGUAAUUUUCUGGGUGUGUCGGCCAUUGUGUUCCCACAUAUAUCAGAUCUUGUUACUGUCGAAUCUUCAGCAAUCAGGGUGGCACUUGCACUUGGUGAUAAUCUCUAUGAGAGGAAGAUUCAGGUGGCUUCAGAUUGCAAGGUGGUGUUGCAGAUAUACAUCAGAAGAGCGCAGCUAUCUACAGAGCAAUCAUAACUGAGAUCAUAGAUCAGAAGGCUACUUUUACUAAUUGUACAUUAGCCAUAAAUUUAGGAGCUUGAAUGUUGAAGCUCACAAACUCGUGAAGCAUGCCUUAUCCCUAGGGGUUGACCGCCAUGUUUGGUUAGGUAACCCCAUAGCUAAAGUUGUCUCGCCUUGCUUCAAAACUACUGAGCGUGCGCUGCGGUUUUGACCUAAAGCCUCCGUUUGCUGGAAUUAAUUGGAAUAGUUGAGAAGAAAGUGACCAACGGAUGCGUAAUGCGUGGAAAGCUGCUGGAUAGUUCGGGCCGAAUCCUGAAGAAAGUUCAAAGCGCUGUUUGGUGAGCCUACGUAGUAUUAGUUCGUUGGUUAGGUAAAGGUUGGCAAGCCAAUGAUGCUUAGCUGGUCUUUUUGAAUGUUUAGCCACACUGGAACUGAGACAUGGCCUAGACUCCCAUGGGGGGCAGCAGAGGGGAAUCUUGGACAAUGGGCGAAAGCCCGAUCCAGCAAUAUCGCGUGAGUGAAGAAGGUCAAUGCUCCUUGUAAAGCUCUUACGUUGAGUGCGCGAUCAUGACAUAUCUCGAGGAAGAAGCCCAGGCUAACUCCGUGCCAGCAGCCGCGCUAAGACGGGGGUGGGGGUGGGGGUGGGGGGAAGUACUCUUUGGAAUGACUGGGUGUAAAGGGCAUGUAGGCGGCGGGGUUGAAAAUGAAACUGUGAAAAUCAUAAUAAGUGGCGGAAUGCUCUUGAAACCAAUUCACUUAAGUGAGACAGAGGAGAGUGGGUGGUUUUCUAUUCGUCCCUAUAAACACUAAUCAUCAACCCGUGCACCUACACGGGCUAGAUAUACCAUCAUAGAAUCUUGUAAAUAUACUUUGUAAGCCUAUAACUGGAAACAUAAAACAUGGAACAUGCUUUUCAGUUUUUAUUUUAUAGUGGUGUUUAGUCUUCAAAUUUCAGGCAGAAUUAAAAGUGGACACGUAUGAAUUCUCAAGUUCAUUGAUCAAGCGCAUGCAGUUGUUAUGGUAUACAAAAUCGAACAUGUUGAGGACUCACAUGCAUAUUUGUAGGAAAAACUAAAAAAAAAUUGUAAUUAUUUCUUACAUCAUUACAUUCAAACCCACACAAAGAAAAUACUCAAAUAAACAUCAUUUUUCUUUAAACAGAAGGAUCCAACUGACGCCAUAAAAUGUAUCUUUUCCUUAUAUUCGCCAAUUAUUGCUCAAAUAGCUGUGCAUGUGCUGUGUAAAUAAGAUUUAGAUAUGGUACAUAGAACUUUGUUAGAUUUAGACCAUAGCUUCAGUGUGAAUGUUGCUGCAAUGGCACAGAAGUAUGAUCGGUUUGGCAUUGUCUGCUUUGCGAUGAUCCACUCCCGUGCACAGGCUCUAUCCUACGGAUCGCCCUAUCGGACAGCUAGCAGUAUAUGUCAUGCCAAAAGCUUCUUGACCAACAUAUGCGCUAGUAAAUCUAAUUACUCUAAAUUAUGAAAAUAUAGUUAUUCUGAAUUAUGAAAAUAUAAUUACCCUAAACUAUAUAUGUACCUUAGAUCGUAGAGGCCACCAUCGAACAGAACUAUAUAGGGAGUAGUUGUGCGGUAGUACUGUUGAGAUGUAGAAGUGGAAAAGCAAUAAUGCAUAACAAAAUCAUAUUCUAUCACACGCUUAGCUUAUACUAUAUAUAUUGGCACACAUUUUCUUUGCAUAUGCACCUGGUAGAUUAAACAAUGGAAGCAAACACAGUAGGGCAAACCAAUUUCAGAUUUUUAUCUCAAAUCAAAAGCCUAGAAAGGGUGAUCCAGGAAAAACAUUAAUCGCUGCAUUGUUGAGAGUCUCAUGUUUCAAUUUCACCAUCCAAUCUCAUAGAAAAAUGUAGGCAGCCGGUGAGGAAUCAGCAGAUGGUUGCCAUGUGCUUCUCGAUAUUUCUUUUCCCUAAUCACCAAAGAACACAUAGGCGAGCCCAGCAGUAACUUGAUAUACAGGAGGCUUCUUUGGUUUGCACCAGUGUAACACGAAAGAACAGAUACGCAGCCGUGAAAGUCGCUGGCUGCAUGAUGGAAGACGCCAACCACAUAUCGUUGAUAUUGAACGCAACGCUUGAAUAUCUUUUUUGACCUCUUCGUUCACCAUAACCUUUCAUAGUGGGAUCCAUCUUUCUUAAGCUUUGACACUUGGAAAUAAUACUUACCAUCAUAUUAAUCAAACCUUGCUGCAUCCACCGAUUUUUUUUCCAACUCAUGCAUGUGAAACCAUGGAUAUUUCAUCAGCAAAAAGUACGAAAAAGGACACAACUAUGCACUAUUAAUUAUGUCUGUGCUCAGACAUACCGCUCUCCUGCAGUAUCCACAAAAGGAAAACCAAGAUUUUCAGUUCUCACGCGCCUGACAAACAUCAUCUAUCUUCUGCUUGCAAUCUUUCCUGAUGAUACAUCAUGUCCGUUGGGGGUAAUAUGAAUUCAAAAGGAUGGAAAAAAGACCUGGAAAGAGGGGAAUUAGGGAUACUGUGCUAAAUUGGGACAGGAGAGGAGAGCAUUAUGCCCUUGAAUGGAAUCCAGGAUGUGAAACGUUGUGCCGCCAUAGCGAUGAUGGCCACAACCAUACUUGCACUAGUAGAAAACAGGGCAUUUGUCCCGGUUCGUAAGGGCCAUUAGUCCCGGUUCAUGAACCGGGACUAAAGGGUCGUUACUAAUGCCUCCCCCCUUUAGUCCCGAUUCUAACACGAACGAACCGGGACAAAAGGUCGCGGCCACGUGAAGCUCCACCUUUAGUCCCGGUUGGUAACACCAACCGGGACUAAAGGAAAUUUUAUGACUUUUUUUUGAUUUUUUUUUAUUUUUUUUUAAUUUUCAAAUUUCCGAAUUAUUUAAACUCUAAUCUCUAAUCACCCCUCAUCAUUCCAAAUCAUCUAACUUCCCGAACGGUCACCCACCCUCCCACUCCCCCAGCCUGAGCACGCUUAACUUUUGGGUUCUAUUCUCCCUCGUUUCCAAGUCUGCACUUGUUGUUUUCCUGACAAUAUUAAUAUGUCAAUCCUAUUAACCUUCAGGAAUUUUGCUUGAGCAUGAAGUGACACAUUUCACUGUUUGAGUUUGAAACUAUUGUUUUAAAAAACAAUAAUUAUUUGAUAACACUAAUAUUUCUUGAAUAAUUAGUUUGACCAUUGUUUGACCACUGUUUGACCACAGUUUGACCACAGUUUGACCAGAUUUGACCAAAAUUCAAAAUAACUGAAAUAAUUAUUUAGUAACACUAAUAUUCUAGAUUAAUUAGUCUGACCAUUGUUUGACCAUAGUUUGAAUUGUUUUCGAUUUUUUUCACUCUACAUCUUAAAAGCCCCGUAUCUUUUUUCUGUUAGGUUUUUGAGGAUUUUGAAAAUGUUUAACGGGGUUCCCCCGGUUAAAUUUGGAUGUAACUUUUCGAGUAGAUGAUUUUUUAUAUAAAAAACUUUUUCAUCCGAGUUAGUAUGCAAAAGUUAUCCAUUUUACUAAAUUCUAGAGAGAUUUUGCAAAUAAAGUCGAAAUUCACAUUUGCAAAUUUUCCCAACAACUAGACCACGUAUCACAUGGAAACUUGCUUUUUUUAUUAUUUUUUUGACAUUUUCAUCAUUUUCUUUUAUUUUUUUAAAACUGAAAAGGCGAUCCAGGGGGUGGAGUUUGAAAAUGGGACCUUUAGUACCGGUUCGUGCCAUGAACCGGUACUAAUGCCUCAAACCCCAUUAGUACCGGUUGGUGGCUCGAACCGGGACUAAAGAUCUAACCUUUAGUACCGGUUGGUGCCACGAACCGGUACUAAUGGGCAUCGCACACUUUAGUCCCGGUUCGUGGCACCAACCGGGACUAAAGGGUCCAGACGAACCGGGACAAAUGGCCCACGUGGCCUCUGGGCGCACGAACCGGGAUUAGUGCCCCCAUUAGUCCCGGUUCUAGACUGAACCGGGACUAAUGGGCUAAACCGGCCUGGACCAAAGCCCUCUUUUCUACUAGUGUUGCUUCAAAGAGGAACAUCAGUACCGUACCUCCUCCAAGCCUCGAGCAAGCAACACAAUAUUGUACAGGAGGCCCCAUGCCAGCGGUAGGGGCCGAUCGCCGUUCAAUUCCUGCAGAGGGCCUCUCAUCCUUCUAGUACUGAAUAUGCUAGCAGUCGACUAAAAUAGAUGAUUGAGCUGAUAGUGUUAUCAUUGCCAUCUGUAAUCGAUAUUGAAUACCUCCUCUUGCAUGCUAGAUCUAAACAUAAAAUUUAGCUCAACUGUACACAUCUGUUUUGACUCGACAGUAAGGAACCAUAAUAUUGCAACCCUGAGGAACAAAGCAAUGGAUGAGUACUUGACAACAAUUUAGCUCAAGUGUACAGCUAAAAAUUUAAUUAUGAAGGACAAAAUUGGUUGCGACAAAAUCAGUCACUUGACAACAAUUAUCACAUUUGUCUAUGAAUAUUUGAACCUAUGGUCUUUGUUGCGCCCUGGUCGGAUGGAUUAAAAAACGCAACCAUCUAGUACAUAGGGAGAUUGUGCAUAUUUCUUACCUCUAAUAAUCUAAUCAAGGCAGUAGAGGAGGAUUAUGUGCCCUGUGUAACAGGAACACGCAUCAGUCGGAGUAGGAUCCAGGAGGCCAUUAUUGAACCAAUUUUCACAUAUCACCAGCUAAUGAAAAAUAAUUUACAAAUAGUAACUCUCAUCGAAUGGAAAUAAUAUCAUGCAUGGUACUUAAGCCAGCCGUACCUGAAACUUGAUGAAUCUAAUAUUUGUUCAAGGAAGUGUCUCACGGCCUUUAACUAAAACUAACAAUUUACAGUUGACAGUGAUCUAGUUUCAUGAAACUAUAAUUAUUAGAAGUCACCAGAUGUCUGCCUCUCUUCGAUUUCUGCAAGUAGCACCUAGGUGAGCUCACCAAAUCACCCCAUGUUGCUUUAAGUAGGUAGAAAUUUGGCAGAUACACAAAUAUUAGUACGAUAUCCAUUAAUUCUAAUAAUUGAUAAAGAAGGACACUCCUCUCAUGUGUGUGUGUGUCUGUGUGUUUGGUGCUGUGUAUUUCGAUGUGAGAUCAGUAAUUCCAACUCCCUACAAUUAAGAUAUGAAUAGUCAGUGGAAACUUACCAUUGGAAACCAUGGCUUGGGGAGCAUGUUCAGACCUGCAAGUUGCUGCUCUCAAUCUAUUGCCCAUGUAUAUGGAUGAUUAUUAAUCUGCUCAUAUGUUUACACCUCCAGACAUUGCCACCGCAGGGAUUAUUAACAUGAACACAACCAUCAUCGCCAUUAAGUUAGCAAAAUAGAUCAACAUACUUGUCGCCAUGGCGGGUAGGAAAAGUUUCACGUGUGAUGUUCUCUAUUGAUAUCACGUAAUCCUUGUAACUAACAGUCAAACGACAUGCUAGGCAAUCACAAAGGGAAACGUUUCAGGCCGGGGAACCGGCCGAACCUUCGGCCGGUCGCGAGCCACGCUGCACUAGUAGAAAAGAGGGCUUUGGUCCAUCCCGGGUUAGCCCAUUAGUCCCGGUUCAGUCUAGAACCAGGACUAAUGGGGGCAUUAGUCCCGGUUCGUGCGCCCAGGGGCCACGUGGGUCAUUUGUCCCGGUUCGUCUAGACCUUUUAGUCCCCGUUGGUGCCACGAACCGGGACUAAAGGGUGCGAUGCCCAUUAGUCCCGGUUCGUGGCACCAACCGGGACUAAAGGGUUAGACCUUUAAUCCCGGUUCGUGCCACCAACCGGUACUAAUGGGGUUUGAGGCAUUAGUACUGGUUCAUGGCACGAANNNNNNNNNNNNNNNNNNNNNNNNNNNNNNNNNNNNNNNNNNNNNNNNNNNNNNNNNNNNNNNNNNNNNNNNNNNNNNNNNNNNNNNNNNNNNNNNNNNNNNNNNNNNNNNNNNNNNNNNNNNNNNNNNNNNNNNNNNNNNNNNNNNNNNNNNNNNNNNNNNNNNNNNNNNNNNNNNNNNNNNNNNNNNNNNNNNNNNNNNNNNNNNNNNNNNNNNNNNNNNNNNNNNNNNNNNNNNNNNNNNNNNNNNNNNNNNNNNNNNNNNNNNNNNNNNNNNNNNNNNNNNNNNNNNNNNNNNNNNNNNNNNNNNNNNNNNNNNNNNNNNNNNNNNNGCCUUUUCAGUUAAAAAAAAUAAAAGAAAAUGAUGAAAAUGUCAAAAAAUAAAAGAAAAUAAGUUUCCCAUGUGAUAUGUGGUCUAGUUGUUGGGAAAAUUUACAAAUAUGAAUUUCGACUUUAUUUGCAAAAUCUCUCUAGAAUUUAGUAAAAAUGGGCAUAACUUUUGCAUACUGACUCGGAUGAAAAAGUUUUUUAUAUGAAAAAUCAUCUACUCGAAAAGUUACAUCCAAAUUUAACGGGGGAACCCCGUUAAACAUUUUCAAAAUCUUCAAAAACCUAACAGAAAAAAGUUACGGGGCUUUUAAGAUCUAGAGUGGAAAAAAUCGAAAACAAUGCAAACUGUGGUCAAACAAUGGUCAAACAAUGGUCAAACUAAUUAUUCUAGAAUAUUAGUGUUACUAAAUAAUUAUUUCAGUUAUUUUGAAUUUUGGUCAAAUCUGGUCAAACUGUGGUCAAACAAUGGUCAAACUAAUUAUUCAGGAAAUAUUAGUGUUACUAAAUAAUUAUUGUUUUUUAAAACAGUAGUUUUAAACUCAAACAGUGAAAUGUGUCACUUCAUGCUCAUGCAAAAUUCCUGAGGGUUAAUAGGAUUGACAUCUUACUAUUGUCAGCAAAACAACAAGUGCAGACUUGGAAACGAGGGAGAAUAGAACCCGGAAGUUAAGCGUGCUCAGGCUGGGGGAGUGGGAGGAUGGGUGACCGUUCGGAAAGUUAGAUGAUUAGGAAUGAUGUGGGGUGAUUAGAGAUUAGAGGAUAAAUUGAGCAGUGAUGAGGGGUGGUGAUUAAAGAUUAGAGGUUAAAAAAAUUCAGAAAUUUGAAAAUAAAAAAUUUCAAAAAAAAAUUUCAAAAAAAAAAAUCAUAAAAUUUCCUUUAGUCCCGGUUGGUGUUACCAACCGGGACUAAAGGUGGAGCUCCACGUGGCCGCGACCUUUAGUCCCGGUUCCAGUUUGAACCGGGACUAAAGGAGGGAGGCAUUAGUAACGACCCUUUAGUCCCGGUUCAAGAACCGGAAAUAAAGGCCCUUACGAACCGGGACUAAUGCCCCCUUUUCUACUAGUGCUGGCGCCCCGCGCCAGCGCCCCGCGCGAGACUCCUGUUAUUGUUGGGCCCCACGUGGACCACCCCUCCUCCCUUUUUUAUCUUUCCCCUAACUGCUGCCUUCAUCCCCUACCUCCAGACACAUCCUUUCCCGUGGCCAUUUUUCUUCUUCCUUUUCCCUGCGCUGCUGCCUACCGGCGGCCGCUGCCGGCCGUGUGCUUCGCCGAGCCAGGGGGACUACCCGACUGCUGCUAGUCCUCCUCCUCCGCACAUCUUAUCCCCCAAAACAUCUCUCCUUCUCUCUCAAAUAAGCCAUGGUUCCAGACGAGACAAGGUCUGGGAAGGAGGCUGCAACCGGUGCCCGGGGAGCCUGCGAACGGCCAUGAGACGACGAGCAUGGUGACCUCAGGACGGCGAGGAUAGGGCAACGCUCCUCCAAGAAAACAAUCGAUGUCGUUAUUUUUUCUACAUGCUUCAACCUGCGUCGGAAUUUGCUACAAACGGCAUCCCAUACUGCUGCCACCGGUGUCACAUUUUUCUGCAAUACAGAAUCGACCUCGAAUCGAUGUCACUUUUUGCUACAACCGUUUUCAUUUUUUGCUACAUAUGUUCAGGCUGAGUUGUGACCCGACGACGGCGGCGAUGACUUUUUGGCUGCAACCGUAAUAGACUUUUGGUACAUCCAGCAACAAUUUUUGCUACAUCCAUUCUUUUUUUGCCGGCAACGAUCCAAUGGCGAGAUACAGCCGCCGGCGAUGAUGACAAGUUUUUCCGCCGGAUAAGCUGCAACGGGCAUCGUCAAAAGCUGGAACCAACCAUCAGCAGAGGUGCAUCUACUGUGGGUGGUGUCCCGGCAACCAUAUCGGGCACCUCUCGCAGAGCUCGACGCCCAUGGCCAUGGCGACAGCCCUCGCGGAGCUCGACGCCCAUGGCCAUGGCAGCACCCCUCGUGGAGCUUGAUGCCGAUGGCCAUGGCAGCACCCCUCGCGGAGCUCGACGCCCAUGGCCACGGUAGCAUCCCUCGCGGAGCUCGACUCCCAUGGCCAUGGCGUGCCCUAGCAGCCACGGCGGCAUCCCUCGAGCGGAGCUCGACGAACAUGGCCGUCGUGUCCAUCACCAGGCGUGGAAUCAUGCAUCUCGCGGGUCACAGGGGGGCGCGCGUUCCGCGCGAGGAAGGAGACGAGUUUGGGGGAGAAUCGAACGGUUACAAGCGCGCAAAUCUUACGGCUACCAAACGACCGGACAAACUUUCGGCCAGUGCGCCAGCGCCUAUCGUUGCCCAAUCACAAAAGACAAUCUGGAGGAAGGCAGCCGCUUGCACUGCUGGGGAGAGGGUCUAGAAAAUAUAGAACUUUCCCCCAAAAUAAGAAUCUCCUGAAAAAAACAGAGCAGGAGUAGAUGAUGAACCGCCGCCGACAUGUACCUGCCUUUACCUUCUCGCAUGUGCGCCCUCGAAUAUCAAUGGCGCACCGGCAUGUGCGCCCUCCUUCAAACUACCAUGGAUACACAUCCACAUAUGCAUAGGCCAUCUAGGAUUCAGAAACCUGAAAUAAAAGGAGAUAUCAAAACUCAAGUGGAAGGGCAAUGAGUAGAGAUUGAAUUGGUUCAUUUUCUUCUAGAUGGACUGCAUCAGGGAUCGUACCUUGCAGUAUAUAGGAGAACAUGGAGAGGCGGCAGAGGAGGAGGAGUGGCGCUGGCAGAAGAGAUGCGGCCAUGCGGGGAAACCUGUUUUUUCUUUGGGUUUCCAUACGAAGACCUAUUUUUUCUUGUAAAGAGAUGUACCUGUGGGAUAAUUUGCUAGGACUCUCAGGGAUUUCAUCUAACGGCUGCAGAUAUUUCAUACUGAUAUCUGAUGAUUAAUUUUAUUAGUUUUAUAUAGGAUUAACGUGACCCUUUUAUUUGGGUUCCACACAAAGAAUUAUUUUUCUUGUAAGGAGACAUACGUGUGGGAUAAUUUGCUAGGACUCUCUUAUCGAUUUCAUCCAACGGCUGUAGAUAUUUUAUACUGAGAUCAGAUGGUUAUUUUUGUUAGUUUUGUAGGAUUAACGUGAUGCCUCGUUUGGUGCCUUCAAUUAGUAAAUAUAUAUAAAAUAAGAUAUAAAAUAUAAGUUAAGAUUGUGAGGUACUAAAAUUAUUAUUUUUUGAAAGGAAAAGUUGAAACAGACGCUCACUUCCAUGAACACGUGGACACACAACCGGUGGCUCCAUGCAUGCAUGCAUGAUACAUCGCACGCAGUACGCAAGCGGGCUGUUGCCAAGCUAACUAAUGGCGCCCGGCCGACAACACAGUACAGCUAGUAGAGCACUCGCUGCCAAACGCCUACGUGAGAGACCCUCGUGAGCCCAGCUAUACAACCUCCUCUCCUCCACCCAUCCUCGUUCACUCCGCAUCUGCAGCCGAAUUCCCCCGUCUGCACCGCUCAGUCCCCCGGACAGCCGGACCUCUCCUCGCCUUGCCAUGGCAGCCGCAGCACUGAGGGCGCAGCUGAACGCCCAUAUCGCCGGCAUGUACACCAAUGUGAGGCCCUUCCCCUCCCCUCUAGUCGUGUGGUAUUGGAUUUUGGCUUGGCUGGACGACUAACUUGGCCUUUGCCUUUGCUUUGGCGUGGUCGAUGUCGAUGCAGGGUGUGGUGGACGAGGAUACAUUCGAGGAGCUGCGGGACGAGGGCACCGCCGCCGAGGUCUCCCGCCUCUUCAUCUACGACGCCUCCGAGAUCAUCGACGACAUCGACCUCCAGAUGUCCGCCCCCACGCCCUCUGUCAUCUCUCCGUCUGCUCUCUGUCUCGGGAACUGACUCAUCUUAAUUAUCUGCUCUGGAAAUCGCAGGGAGGAGCCUGAAUUGGACUUUGACGAGGUGGAAGCCCUGACGCAGCAGCUCAUGCGGUGCACCUCCAGGUGAUGACUAUCAUAAACCAUUUCUCUCUCUUCCACCUGCUUAUUUUUAACUCUAUGUUUGUUUGCCCGCUGCGUCAAUGUCGUGCGAUUCGGAUCUGUUUAUACUGGGCAAAGGAUUCUUAUUUGUCGGUUGCACUACCCCAUAGGCGUAAUUAGAAGAAUCAAGUUUAGUCGAGUUUAGUGUAACAGAGUUACCAGUAUCCCGAUUAAUAUCAUUGUUAUGAUGAGGAUAAAUUGCUGGCAUUUUUGGAAUAGUCUUGGUAUUAAUGAUCUGCUAUUCUGUGUAUUGCUAAUGGUGGUUUUUCUGGUAUUAAUGAUCUGCUAUUCUAUGUAUCUCUAAUGGUGUUUUUUCUAGUUUGUCCACAGCUUUGAUGUUGUUUUUUCAUUUUGAUGUGUCGGCACGGGGUGUGUACCUCAUGACACGGCCAGACAAUUGAGGUUUGUGUCGUUUUACAGGCGUCGUAUAGCCAUAGGUAGAAGAGCUGAGUUUAGUCAUAUAUCGUGUAACGAAAUUGUUGGUAUUCUUCCCAAUGUUAAUCAAAUCGUAUAGCUUGGCGAGGGGAAUUUUUGUCGUUUUGCAAACGUUUGUUCUACUAUCAUGUCUGUUCUUCGGGCAAUGCCAUUAUUCUAGGUUGAGAAUGAAAAAAAUUGUCGUUUUAUAAGCAUGGCUGGUAUUAAUGAUUUGCAAUUCUACAUAAUGCCAGUGGCCAUGUUUCACCAUUGGAACGGUGUUGUUUCUAUUCAGAUUUGUCAGGCGCAGGGUGUGUACGUCAUGGACGUCAUUUGGGUGUCGUAUAUCCAAAAUUAGAAGACCUCAUUGUAGUUGUGUGUCGUGUAGCGGAAUUGUCGGUAUUCAUGACAAUUUCAUGGUCCGGCAAGAAAAACUUUGUCAUUUUCUAAAUAUUUCUGGUACUACUGAUCUGCUAUUGCACAUAGCGGCAAUGGUGUUUUUUUUUCUGCUUCAUCAAACAAUUUAUGGAGUUGACAAUCAUGAUAGGAAAUGGCUCCUUGAGAAUAUUAUUGAGUUGACGUCUCAGUUUAUAAUAAGUUUGAUAAGUUCCUAGUUUUCUGAUCUGCAUUUUUUUUGCAUGUUUCAGUGUUGGUGCACAGCAAGUGAACCUCGCCUGCAUGCACUUCGGCAAUUUCUAUGCCAUACAAUACAAACAAGGGUCAAAACUUAGUAGCUUAUUUAAUACUGCUACACAAUAAUUAUUCGCAACAUUGUUUUUCAAGGUCUCUAUGUAAACCUGACAGCUCAUGUUGUCUUUUCUGUCGUUAUUUUCAGCUCAUAUACCAAUCUAACAUUGUUAAGAAGUAUCCUGAUUUGCUUUUUCACUUCAUCUGCAAUCACGUUAUUGAUAUUACUCGGUUCACUAUCUGAAUAUGCUACUCUUUGAUGGUUCUCUUGUAAUUUAUUGGCUCUAGACUUUUGUUUAUAGCACAACUAAAUUCUUAUAUGGCUAGAGAUUUUUCUUUUUGGAAAUAUAGGGUUACAAUUUUUGAACCAUUUCAUCUCAGUUCUGUUAACCUCUUCAGAAUUUGACAAUGUGGUAAUUUUGCAUUAUUUCAGGUCUCUCGUGUCAUUGGCUCUUGUUAGGAAUGAGUUCUAUAUUGUGCGACAUGAGUUGGAGAUCGUGAUGCAGGUAGCACCGUAUGUGCAUAAUGUUGGAUGUUGAUACCAACUUUCCACUAGUUUCAUAACCCAUAGAUUGGUCAUAUUAAGAUAGAGAAAUGGGAACAAUCUUUAAUCCUUAAUCUAAUUCUUUUGACAUUUAGAUUUGGAGCACUUAGUUUGAGGUACCGAAAAGUCUCCUUUAGCCGUUAAAUGAUUAUGUGGUAAUUUUGUCAUCAUGUUCGGUAGAUGCAUAGGGUAGCUAAAAAAAGUGGGAGAAAUUCUCUGUUUCCCAGCUUAAAUUAAGCUUCACCAAAUACCCAAAUAAGAAACUAGCUAACUUGUAACAUGGUGAUUAGUGAAACCAUGUGACUUGAGCACCAUUAUGUGCCAUAGACUUAUCUUAAUCAUUUUUCGGAAGGUACUUCUCUUAAUCAUUGACCUGUUAUUCAUAUUUUGUUGCAGCUCGAAGAGCAGAUCGCGGCAUGUGGUCCUGACUCCUAAGUAGCGGCAAGUGAAGGGGGAAGAGCCUGGCCCCAUGCAAUCCCUUGCAUUAUGCGGUCCAUGUGUCUUGGAAGAUGUAGCCAUUUUCAAAGGGUGUCUAGCACUAUAGGGUGCGCGUAAAACUUAGAUGAAUAUUCUCGCUUCGGAACUUUGGGCUCGUAACCCUGUGAAAGAAAACUGUUGUCGUGUGUUGAUGUCAGUGUGAAGUCUAUAUUCUAGAGUGUCGUGGAUGUGUUGGCCCCCGCCUACAGGCUGUUUAUAAAACAUAUACUUGGUUGGUUGGUCCUCUAGUGACUUUGUUUUGCUGUUUCUUCUGUUUGUUUUUCUCUAUAAGCAAGUCUUGUUGUUGGUUGUUGUACCUAGAGUUUAGCCAAUCACCAUAUUUGGGCAUAUUAAACAUGUCGUUUCGGUCUGAAAUUUCAGCAUGGCCUUCUUAUAAGAGUACGACGGCACUUCCACGAGCAGUAGCCGGAGGAGGGGAAAAACAGAGGGAUGGUCUGUGAGGUCACAUCCAUGAAUCACAAAGUUGUCGGUUCGCGAGACGACGUGAAGAGCAUCUCUAGGCUUGGGUAUGUUUGCAUUGGUAUGAAAAGUCUGGGCUAAUUAAGUCGCCAAUUACAGCUCCAACGAUGAUCGCUGGAACAUCAUACUACUCCUAGUCCACAUAGUUAUUUAGACUACCCUGACUCACCAACUGGGCAAGAGAACAUGUGGCCAUCUUUGUCUUUGUCCUGUAGUGGCUGAUCUCACCUAUUGCAAACCAUGUUCUGAUGUGAAACAUCGGGUCUUUGAUGGUAGUAGAAACUGGUGUUAUUCAUCACCAUGGCUAGCCGAUGCUCGUACGCCUCCCUUCCAUGACUACUAUCGCUUCUCAUGCUGGCUCGCCAACUAGGGUAUGGUUGGUUGAUGAAAGAAAAACUCUACCACACACCAAAUUUAGAUCCCGCUUUCUUAUAUAUGUGCAAAUUUUUUGGUACAACCAUGCUCCACAUCCAACUCUAUCUUAUUUUUCCAGAGUGGAGGAAGGGGACACUUUGCGGGACUUUUAGUAGAAAAUUUUCCAUACAGAUAGAAGCACCUAUUAAAAAGAUACUCCAAAGGCUUCCGGAUCAUAGUCUCAUUAGCUGAAGAACACCCAUGCUAAUCUAUAUUAAGUGCAUUCAAAUCAUGCCUUUAUUAAUUAGUCCAAGGCCUCAUCAGCCACAACAUCAUAAAUACAAAGAGGAAAAACAUGAAACCAAGUUUUACACAAAUCAUUGGGGCAACCUUCCCUUGCCAUGAUGGAAUUAGCCCUAUUAGUUGUUCUUCUACUCCACUUCACCCGAUGCUCUUCUAAAGCAGAUAACAAGUCCAUUAUGUCUUCACAGAGAGGCCCCAUCUUGGGGGAGGGGGGGGGGGUUAGUCUACAGAGUUCAACGUUAUAGCCACACCCUGAUUGUCAUUAAUGAAUACAAUUGUUUGGUCAAAUAUGUUGUUUGAGAGUAGUUCAUGAUGGCCUUUCUAGUUGGAGAGAAUAAUUCUUUCCUUGAUGAUUUCUCUUACAAAGAUCAAGCAUAUAUAUCGAGGGAGAGAGAACCCACUCCCCUGGAACAUAGGCAUGCAGGCCAUGAGAACUAGGAGAUCCUAACAAUGGUGCAUAGACGUCCUGCACAAACGGUUCUCCGUGUUAUGGCAGGUUACAUUCUCAUGUUUUUUUACUUUACAGUGCUUACAAGUUGAGAUUUGAAAAAAUCUAGCCUAGAACAUAAGUCAUCAAAACUCAUGGCAUUUUGAAACUUUAGUCAUAAAAAGAUAUCAAAUAUCAGACACAAAAAGGGAGUGCUAGACAAAAAUGCAAAAAGAAUGAAAAUAAAGAAGGGGCGCAAUAGUUACCGAGCGUUGAUAUGUCUACAACGUAUCUAUAUUUUUUAUUGUUCCAUAAUAUUAUAGCCCGACAGCCCCAUCCUCUACUCCAUUGAUGCGCCCACUGGGCGAGAUCGGUGGUGUGCCAUCUGAGGGAGUCCCGGAUUAGGGGGUGUCCGGAUGACCUGACUAUGACCUUUGGCCGGACUCCUGGGCUAUGAAGAUACAAGAUUGAAGACUUCGUCCCGUGACCGAAUGGGACUUUCCUUGGCGUGGAACGCAAGCUUGGCGCGGAUAUGUAGAUCUCCUCCCAUUGUAACCGACUCUGUGUAACCCUAGCCCUCUCUAGUGUCUAUAUAAACCGGAGGGUUUUAGUCCGUAGGACGAACAACAAUCAUACCAUAGGCUAGCUUCUAGGGUUUAGCCUCUCUGAUCUCGUGGUAGAUCUACUCUUGUACUACCCAUAUCAUCAAUAUUAAUCAAGCAGGAGUAGGGUUUUACCUCCAUCGAGAGGGCCCGAACCUGGGUAAAAACAUCAUGUCCCUUGUCCUCUGUUACCAUCAGCCUAGACGCACAGUUCGGGACCCCCUACCCGAGAUCCGCCGGUUUUGACACCGACAUUGGUGCUUUCAUUGAGAGUUCCUCUGUGUCGUCAUCUUUAGGCCCGAUGGCUCCUCCGAUAAUCAACAACGAAGCGGUCCAGGGUGAGACUUUUCUCCCCGGACAGAUCUUCGUAUUCGGCGGCUUUGCGCUGUGGGUCAAUUCGCUUGGCCAUCUGGAGCAGAUCGAAAGCUACGCCCCUGGCCAUCAGGUCAGAUUUGGAAGUUUGAACUACACGGCCGACAUCCGCGGAGACUUGAUCUUCGACGGAUUCGAGCCACAGCCGGGCGCGCCGCACUGUCACGAUGGGCAUGAUCUAACUCUGCCACCGAACAGUGUCCAGGAGGCCGCCCCAGCGUCCGCUCCAACCCUUAGCUCGAAGCCGACUGCGCCAAUCGAGGACGGGUGGCUGGACACCGCCUCGGGGGCUGCAAUCCCUACGGCGAUCGAGCCGAAUACCAGCCUUGUCCUUUACGAAGCUCGUGACUGGGCGCCGAUCAUGGAGUUCGCUGCCGCAGACAUCUUUCAGCACUCGCCCUUCGGCGACAUUCUGAAUUCACUAAAGUCUCUCUCUUUAUCAGGAGAGCCCUGGCCGGACUAUGGUCAGCGAGGUUGGGAUGCGGACGACAAAGAAAUUCAAAUCCCACCCACCACCCACUUCGUAGCCACUAUCGAUGAUUUAACCGACAUGCUCGACUUCGACUCAGAAGACAUCGACGGUAUGGACGCCGAUGCAGGAGACGACGAAGAACCAGCGCCUAUAGGGCACUGGAAGGCCACCUCGUCAUAUGACAUAUACAUGGUGGACACCCCAAAAGAAGGGAAUGGCGAUGAAACAACGGAGGUUAACCCCUCCAAGAAGCAGCCUAAGCGCCGGCAUCAGCAGCGCCGCUCUAAAUCCUGCCAAAGCAAAAACGAUGAUUCCGGCACGGGAGAUAAUAACACCCCGGAUAGUGCCGAAGACAACCCCCUCCAGCAAGAUUCAGCACAGGAGGAUGGAGAAACCAGCCCUCAUGAGAGAGCGGCAGACAGAGAGGUAGAGGACGAUAAUCACAUGCCUCCCUCCGGAGACGAGGCAAGCCUCGACGACGACGAAUUUAUCGUGCCUGAGGAUCCCGUCGAACAAGAGCGUUUCAAACGCAGGCUUAUGGCCACGGCGAGCAGCCUCAAGAAAAAACAGUAGCAGCUUAGAGCUGACCAAGACUUGCUAGCCGACAGAUGGACUGAAGUCCUUGCAGCCGAAGAGUACGAACUCAAACGCCCCUCCAAGAGCUACCCAAAGCGUAGGCUGCUAUACCAAUUAGAGGAGGAAGCACCUAAACCUACAUCAUCAGCGCACGACGCGGCAGACUGGCCACCUCGUGGCCGCGACAGAGAGGCCUCUCGGCCAUCCACUCAAGCCGCACCCCGGCGUCGCUCAAAAAAUACCAAGGCACGGGGAAAGGCGCCAGACCUGCGAGAUAUAUUGGAGGACAAGGCAAGGCAAACAAGAUCGAUCUCCGGAUCGCGUGGGCGCCCCACGACACGUAACGAUAACCGUCAUGCCGGAUAUGGCAAAUACGGCUAGGCCAAACACAGCAGACAAAGCUCAUUUGAGCUACGACGUGAUAUAGCCCAGUACAGAGGCGCCGCACACCCACUACGCUUCACAGAUGAAAUAAUGGAUCAUCAUAUCCCCUAGGGUUUUAAACCCGUAAACAUCGAAUCAUACGAUGGCACAACAGAUCCUGCGGUAUGGAUCGAGGAUUAUCUCCUUCAUAUCCACAUGGCCUGCGGUGAUGACCUACACGCUAUCAAAUACCUCCCACUCAAGCUUAAAGGACCAGCUCGGCAUUGGCUCAACAGCUUGCCAACAGAGUCAAUUGGUUGCUGGGAGGACCUGGAAGCCGCAUUCCUCGACAAUUUCCAGGGCACCUAUGUGCGACCACCAGACGCCGAUGACCUAAGCCACAUCAUUCAGCAGCCAGAGGAAUCGGCCAGACAAUUCUGGACACGGUUCUUAACCAAGAAAAAUCAAAUAGUCGACUGUCCGGACGCAGAGGCCCUCGCAACCUUCAAACAUAACAUCCAUGACGAAUGGCUUGCCCGGCACCUAGGACAGGAAAAGCCAAAAUCCAUGGCAGCCCUCACAACACUCAUGACCCGCUUUUGCGCGGGAGAAGACAUGACCAAGAGCCCUGCUAAUUCGGAUACCAAGGACAACAAUGGCAGGUCAUGUCGCAACAAAUACAAGCGCCGCAUUAACGGCGACAAUACUGAGGAUACGACAGUCAAUGCCGGAUUCCGAGGCUCCAAACCCGGUCAGCGGAAAAAGCCAUUCAAAAGAAGUACUCCGAGCCCGUCCAAUUUGGACCGAAUACUCGAUCGCUUGUGCCAGAUAGACGGCACCCCCGAAAAACCAGCCAAUCACACCAACAGGGAUUGUUGGGUGUUCAAGGAGGCAGGCAAGUUAAGCGCCGAAAACAGAGACAAGGGGCUGCAUAGCAAUGAUGAGGAGGAGCCCCGACCGCCGAACAAUAGGGGACAGAAGGGCUUUCCCCCACAAGUGCGGGCAGUGAACAUGAUAUACGCAACCCACAUCCCCAAAAGGGAACGGAAGCGUGCACUCAGGGACGUAUAUGCGUUGGAGCCAGUCGCCCCAAAGUUCAACCCAUGGUCCUCCUGCCCGAUCACUUUUGAUCGAAGGGACCACCCCACUAGCAUCCGCCACGGCGGAUUCACCGCGUUGGUUCUAGACCCAAUCAUUGACGGAUUUCACCUCACUAGAGUCCUAUGGAUGGCGGCAGCAGCCUGAACCUGCUUUAUCAGGAUACAGUGCGAGAAAUGGGCAUAAAUCCCUCAAGGAUUAAACCCACAAAGACGACCUUUAAAGGCGUCAUACCAGGUGUAGAGGCCCACUGUACAGGCUCAGUUACACUCGAAGUGGUAUUCGGAUCCCCGGAUAAUUUCCGAAGCGAGGAUUUAAUCUUCGACAUAGUCCCGUUCCGCAACGGCUAUCACGCGCUACUCGGACGAACCACAUUUGCAAAGUUCAAUGCGGUGCCGCACUACACAUAGCUCAAGCUCAAGAUGCCAAGCCCUCGAGGAGUCAUUAUGGUUAAUGGAAACACCGAACGCUCUCUCUGAACGGAGGAGCAUACGGCGGCCCUCGCGGCGGAAGUACAAAGUAGCCUCUCAAGGCAAUUCUCCAGUCCAGCUAUUAAACGUCCAGACACCGUCAAGCGCGCCCGGAGUAACCUACAGCAAGACCGCCUGGCACGUUCCGAGCAAGUGUAGCAGUGCGGCCCCAACCCCAGCCCUCGCGAAAUUGCGAAACCAGUACCACGCGUACAUAAUUACGCUCUGGAAAUAUCAUGGGCAUAGGGGGAGGGGCACAACCAUGGCACGCCCAAAAUGCGGCUCAACCGCAUUAGGGGCUCCCGAUUUUGUCAUUUCUUUUUUCUUACUUUGAGGACUCCAUUCUCUGGAAGGCCUGUCCGGCAGUACAAUCGCCGAACACACGAUGCAACAGCCAGGGAGGUAGCAAGCUACGUCAAAUAUCCAGGUGGUCUCUAUAACGAGCUAAAUACCUGUCUUACAUAAAGUCUCGCAGCUUGCCCUUGGAGGGGGACAUGUCAAAUAAUCCCAUCUCUUGCUUAUCGCACUAUUUGUAUCGUUCUGCUUUCACAGCAGCCUUUUAAUAAACAAUGCAUAGCUCUUGUCUAUUAUUGCAUUCAUUUUUUAUGUAAAUAUGUUCAGUCAUGACAUUAUGCAACCGUACACUUUGGUACGGCCAACACACCAGGGGCUUAAGUACUCCAGAAUAUGGUGUGAGAAGUCUGAACACUCUCACGAGUGCGGCACCCCGAACUUAUAGCAUUAUAUGCAUCGGCUCCGAAUCAUGUCUUGGGUCAAUAGUUGGGUUUGCCCGGCUCCCAUGUUUUGGUAGCUUACGUUCCAUUAUAUCGGCUAAGGUAGCGCUGGGAGAACUACUGCGAUUGUGCCCCAGUUGAGCUGGGUUAAGCACCUCAGUAGAGAAAGCUAAAACUGACCGUCAUGAUAGGGCGAGAGCCGAUCGCUGUUCGAGAGGUUUCGAGUCCCUAAAGACUUAUGCCGCUUAGAGCGAGGAGCUGGCUUUGUCCGGCCUAGGCGUGGAUAGCGCCCCGAACUCGGUCUUCCGAAUACUAGGGGCUUUGCCAAAAUUUAAAAUUAUAGAAUUCUAUGGCUAUGUGAGAGUGAUAAAGCAUUAUAGUCCGAUUGCCUUGUUCGUUGUGCUGAGCGCCUCCCUCGAAGGACCCAAUAAUGGGAACAAGAGCGCUCAGGUUUAUCCCGAACACCCCAGCACUCGUGGCAUGGGGGUAGAAGCCGACGACUCGCCAUCUCUCAGAUUUGAUAAGUGGCCGCACAGAAGGUAAUAUUGUAAAUUCAAAAAGCAUUGCUUAGCGCAUAUGAACAAGUCUUGAGCGCACAGGAUAACACGAGCGAGUUUACUCAAAUGUUACAUAUUUGGAACAUUCAUUCGCCACAAGGAGGGCACCCUUCAGGACGCCCUCAUAAUACAUCUCGGGCCUGCGAUGCUCCUUCCCCUCCGGUGGCCCAUCUGUCACCAGCUUCUCAGCAUCCAGCUUGCCCCAGUGUACUUUAGCACGGGCAAGGGCCCUACGGGCGCCUUCGAUGCAUACGGAGCGCUUGAUGACUUCAAGCCAUGGACAGGCAUCCACCAGCCGCCUCACCAGCCCAAAGUAGCUCCCGGGCAUGACCCCCCCAGGCCAUAGCCGGACUAUUAGGCCCUUCAUGGCCUGUUCAGCUACCUUAUGGAGCUCGACCAACUACUUCAGCUGGUCGCUCAAGGGCACCGGGUGUCCGGCCUCAACAUACUGGGACCAGAACACCUUGUCCGUUGAGCUCCUUUCCUCUGCUCGGUAGAAUGCGGCAGCAUCGGACACACUGCGGGGCAGAUCUGCGAAUGCUCCUGCAGAGCUCCGGACUCGGGUAAGUAACAAGUAAUUCACUUUCACGUACUUGCUUUGCAUAAAGAAUGCCUUACCCGCCGAUAUAUUCUUCAUCGCCUCAAUUUCCUGGAGGGCUUUUUGGGCUUCGGCCUUGGCAGAUUUGGCGCUUUCAAGAGCCGAGGCAAGCUCGGACUCUCGAGUCUUUGACUCAAGCUCCAAACUCUCGUGUUUUUUCACAAGAGCGUGGAGCUCUUGCCGCACCUCCUCCACUCGCGCUCCUCCUUUUUUUGCUCGAUGCGCACCAUGGCCGCAUUGUCUUCGGCCUUGGACAACGCUUCCUUCAGGGUAGCCACCUCGGUUGUGGCCCCUAUAACACUCACGUUGGUCCUGUCACUAUUUGCAACUAGGUAUUUUUAUAUACUUACAUAAGGUACUACUUACCUUCCUUGUCCUCGAGCUGCUUCUUGGCAAGACCGAGCUCGUUCUCGGACCGCUCGAGGCUCUUCUUCAAUGCAUCGACCUCCGCAGUCAGUGCGGCAGAGGUCAGCAGCGCAGCCUGCAUUCCCAUCUUGACAUAUUUAUGUUAGACUCCUGCGUAUAUCUUUUUAGAUCCUCAGUCCGGAUUUUCUUUCCUACCACCAAACUGAGCAUCAGGGGCUAAUGUCUAUGCGGUAAUAUUUUUACAUGUCUUAAAUAUAUACCUCAAAGCCUGUUAGAAGGCUGGCACAGGCUUCUGUCAGCCUGCUCUUGGCGGACUGAACCUUCUGGAUCACCGCACUCAUAAUAGUGAGGUGCUCCUCGUCGAUGGAGGCGCCGUUAAGCACCUCCAGCAAAUUGUCCGGUGCCUCCGGUUGGAUGGAGGACACCGGCGUCAUAGGCUUGCCCUUCUUAUGAGGGGGCCGCCUGCCGGACUCCGGAACCACUGAGGGUUCCGGUGCGGUGUCCAGCCCAUGGCCGGACUUAGAUCCCUCUGGGGUUUCAUCCCCUUUGCGCCUAGAUCCCGGGAGGUCGCCUUGCGGCGCCUCCAGGACCACCUCCUCCUGGCUUAGCCCCUUUUGGGACUUCACGUCGGCAUCGUCCGCGGGGCGAGGGGAGGUAGCAGUCGGGAGUCAAAGACUAUUCACAUCCGACCAAUCCAGGGAGCCGCUCGACGAAGCGUCGAGCCGGGCCUUGGGCGGACUACAUGAUUAUAUUCGGCGUCAGAAGAUACUGUGCAAUAAAGGAACGCCAUGAGUUAUUCUGGUAUCCGGAUACUUACGAUUUUGCCAGGGGCUUGGCCCUAGACGGCCACUCCUCUCCGCCGUCGUCGUCGCUGGUGGAGUAGUCCGGAAGAAGGGUCUUUCCCUUCUUGGACCCUCCGGCCUCCCCAGUUCGGGUGGCCUUCCUUUUCUUUCCUCCCCCCAUUGGAGGGGGAGAGGCUUCUUCUUCCUCCUCGUUUUCGGGGGAGGAGUGCGCUUAGGGGUCGUCAGGCGAUGAAUCCGACACCACCAGGCGCCAGGAACUCUUUCGACUUCCCGUGGACUUCUUCUUGGCCUUCUUCUUCGGCACCAUGUGAGGUGUCGGGUCCAGCAGCUUCGCCAAGCGUGCAUCUACUGGGCCUUCGGGCAAAGGAGCCGGGCAGUCAAUCUGUCCAGACGUCUUCUUCCAGUCCUGUCAAAGGAGCGGGAGCUUAGAUCCCGCGUAGAGUCAAACUAUGAAAAACAAGUAUCCUGCAAAGGGUAAAACAAGCUUACUGCGCUGGCUUGGCGCUUUGCGCAGAAUCCGCGAUCCUCGGUAAUGGGAGGGGAAACCUCGGAGCCCUUGAAUAGCACCUUCCAGGCGUCUUCGUGCGUUGUGUCAAAGAGCCUGGACAAAGUUUGAUGCUGGGCCGGGUCGAACUCCCACAAGUUAAAAGCCCGUCGUUGACAUGGGAGGAUCCGGCGGAAGAGCAUGACCUAGACUACGUAGACAAGUUUAACCUUCUUGUCCACCAGGUUUUGGACCCAGGUUUGGAGCCCGGUCACCUCUUCCGGAUUACCCCACGACAGGCCCAUCCCUUUCCAGGAGGUGAGCCGUGUGGGGAUGCCAGAUUGGAAUUCGGGGGCCGCUGCCCAUUCAGGGUCACGCGGCUCGGUGAUGUAGAACCACCCCGAUUGCCACCCUUUGAUGGUUUCCACAAAGGAGCCCUCGAGCCAUGUGAUGUUGGGCAUCUUGCCCACCAUGGCGCCUCCGCACUCCGCUUGCCGGCUGCCCACAACCUUCGGCUUGACAUUGAAGGUCUUCAGCCAUAAGCCGAAGUGGGGCUUGAUGCGGAGGAAGACCUCGCACACGACGAUAAACGCCGAGAUGUUAAGGAUGAAGUUCGGGGCCAGAUCGUGGAAAUCCAGGCCGUAGUAGAACAUGAGCCCCCGAACAAAUGGGUGGAGUGGGAAACCAAGUCCGCGAAGGAAAUGGGGGAGGAACACCACCCUCUCAUGGGGCCUGGGGGUGGGGAUGAGCUGCCCCUCGUCUGGAAGCCGGUGCGCAAUGUCGUUGGACAAGUAUCCAGCCUUCCUCAACUUUUUGAUGUGCCCCUCCGUGACGGAGGAGGCGAUCCACCUGCCUCCCGCUCCGGACAUGGCUGGAGAAGGUCGAGGUGGGAAGUGCGGACUUGGGCGCUGGAGCUCGAGUGCGCGGAAAUGGAUAAGCGAAGGAGGGAGAGGGCGUGGACGGAAAAGGUGGAUCCUUAUCCCCUUAUAUGAGCGGACGAAACUGUGUGCCCCCACCAGCCUGGUAAAACUCGCUUAUCUCCCAAGUGCCGUGAUUAAUGGCACGGUUGGGUUACCCACGCCCGUAUUGAUGAGAAUCCCGGAAUAAGGGGACAUGAUCUCUGCUUUGGCAAGACGUGCCAAGGAAACCGCCUCGCUGAACGCGCUGAGGUGGGACAGUAAAACAAUUCGAAUGAAGGCUUGGCCUUGGGAUGAUGUCACGCUACGGAAUACGUCAGCAGAUUAGAUUUGUACAAACAUUAUUCUCUCUACGGUGGUAUGUGGAACUUAUUUUGUAGAACCGGACACUAUCCUUCUGUUCAAAAUCUUCUAUGAAGUAUUCGGAGGAGGAACCCGCCUUGCAAUGCCGAAGACAAUUUCGCGCCGGACUCGUCGUCAUUGAAGCCUGGUUCAGGGGCUAUUGAGGGAGUCCCGGAUUAGGGGGUGUCCGGAUGAACGAACUAUAACCUUUCGCCAGACUCCUGGGCUAUGAAGAUACAAGAUUGAAGACUUCGUCCCGUGUCCGGAUGGGACUUUCCUUGGUGUGGAAGGCAAGCUUGGCGAUACGGAUAUGUAGAUCUCCUCCCAUUGUAACCGACUCUGUGUAACCCUAGCCCUCUCCGGUGUCUAUAUAAACCGGAGGGUUUUAGUCCGUAGGACGAACAACAAUCAUACCAUAGGCUAGCUUCUAGGGUUUAGCCUCUCUGAUCUCGUGGUAGAUCUACUCUUGUACUACCCAUAUCAUCAAUAUUAAUCAAGCAGGAGUAGGGUUUUACCUCCAUCAAGAGGGCCCGAACCUGGGUAAAAACAUCAUGUCCCUUGUCUCCUGUUACCAUCCGCCUAGAUGCACAGUUCGGGACCCCCUACCAGAUAUCCGCCGGUUUCACACCGACACAUCCUCACAUUAGGGGGGUCAACCCCCCAUCUCAACUGCGAUUCCUGGAUCAUCAGGGACACCUCCUCUCCACUCCAUCUCCCACAUGAUGGCCCCUCUAGCACUAGAUACUUAAUGAGUGAUGGUGGUUCACAUUUUAUUCAUGGUGCUUUUCAUAAAAUGCUUGCUAAGUAUGAUGUUAAUCAUAAAAUUGCAUCUCCAUACCAUCCACAGUCUAGCGGUCAAGUAGAAUUGAGUAAUAGAGAGAUUAAAUUGAUCUUGCAAAAGACUGUUAAUAGAUCUAGAAAGAAUUGGUCCAAGAAACUUGAUGAUGCAUUAUAGGCCUAUAGAACUGCAUAUAAAAUUCCUAUGGGUAUGUCUCCGUAUAAAAUGGUUUAUGGAAAGGCAUGUCACUUACCUCUCGAACUAGAACAUAUGGCAUAUUGGGCCAUUAAGGAGCUCAAUUAUGAUUUCAAACUUGCUGGUGAGAAGAGGCUUUUUGACAUUAUCUCACUAGAUGAAUGGGGAACCCAUGCCUAUGAGAACGCCAAACUAUUUAAAGAAAAAGUUAAAAGGUGGCAUGACAAAAGGAUACAAAAGUGGGAGCUUAAUGUAGGUGAUUAUGUUUUGCUAUACAACUCUCGUUUAAGAUUUUUUGCAGGAAAAUUUCUCUCUAAAUGGGAAGGUCCUUACGUUAUCGAGGAGGUCUAUCGUUCCGGUGCCAUCAAAAUCAACAACGCUGAAGGCACAAAUCCGAAGGUGGUGAAUGGUCAAAGAAUCAAACAUCAUAUCUCAGGUAAUCCCAUAAAUGUUGAAACCAAUGUUAUUGACACCGUAACCCCGGAGGACUACAUAAGGGACACUUCCCAAAAUGUUUCAGACUCCAAAAGGAAUAGGUAUGUGGUACGGUAAGUAAACCGACUCCAAAACAGUUAUAGUAGCAAAUUUUCUCUGUUUUGGAAUAUUUAAAAAAUUAGGAAAAUAAGAAGUAGUCCGAAGGAGACACGAGGCAUCCACGAGGGUGGAGGGCGUGCCCUACGCCUUGGGCGCGCCCCCUGCCUCGUGGACACCUCGUGUGCCCUCUGGAUUCCGUUUUCUUGCACGAUACUUCUUUUUGUCGGUAAAAAAUCAUUAUAUAAUCUCCCAAAGGUUUUGACCAUCGAACCAUGACAAAAUCAUAUGCUUUUGUUUCGAGCUGUUUUUCUGACAGAUCUAGAUCACCAUGACGUCUUCAGGUGCCCCCAAGGACAAGUUUUCAAGUAGCAAGGGAUGGUGGAACACGGACUCAACGCCAACCACAUGAUGGUCGCGGAGUUCACCAACAACCACAAGUUGGAUGCCAAGAACAUUGGGGAGACCAUCUUCAAGCUUCAUGAGAAAAUCGAGCACCUCCAAGCCUAGAUCUAUGACUUGCAAAACCAAAACUGUGAGUAUGAAUAUAGAUUCAAGAGGAUGAGUUUGGCUGCAGAUUUGAGGAUCCCGGAGACUCGAUCAUCCUUCUAUGAUGGUGAGCCUAUGCCCUGGAAGAUGGACCAUAAGCCUACAUCAUCAACAACUCCAUCAUCACCCCCCCAAGAAAGAGACAUAAACACAUGGGUAUGGGCACUCCCCUUGGCAACUACUAAGCUUGGGGGAGCUGCCCUGGUAUUGUAUCACCAUCACAUUUCUAUCUUUACCGUUUUUCUUAGUUCGAUCCUUUUGGUUAUAUCUUGAUCUAGUAGAAUAAAGUUUUAGUUCGAUCUAGCUUUGAUUUUUUUGUUGAUACCUAUCUAUCUAAUCGAGUACGUGAGCUAUAUAUAAUAAAGAUUAGUUUUGAGUUGAGGGCUUUGCUAUCUUGCUAUGAUAUUGAGGUAAUAAAAGAAAAAGAAAGAAUAAAAAUAAAUAAAAAGAUCAUAUUGACCUUUUGGAGAGUAAUGACUUUACACAUAAAGAGUAUGAUGAAUAAAAGUUGUUGAGAGUUGACAAACAUAGUUUUGGUCAUCGUGGAAAUUAAUAGGAAGUAAUAAACAAAGAGAGGUUUUCACAUAUAAAUAUACUAUCUUGGACAUCUUUUAUGAUUGUGAGCACUCAUUAAAAUAUGAUAUGCUAAAAAGUUGAUGUUGGACAAGGAAGACAACAUAAUGAGUUAUGUUUGCUUAUAUCCUAAAUAAAUUAUAUUGUCAUGGAUCAUCCAACAUGUUGAACUUGCCUUUCCCCCUCAUGUUAGCCAAAUUCUUUGCACCAAGUAGAGAUACUACUUGUGCUUACAAACAUCCCUAAACCCAGUUUUGUCAUGAGAGUCCACCAUACCUACCUAUGGAUUGAGUAAGAUCCUUCAAGUAAGUUGUCAUCGGUGCAAGCAAUAAAAAUUUCUCUCUAAAUAUGUAUGAUCUAUUAGUGUGGAGAAAAUAAGCUUUAUACGAGCUUGUGAUACGGAAGAAAUAAAAGCGACAGACUGCAUAAUAAAGGUCCAUAUCACAAGUGGCAACAUAAAGUGACGUUCUUUUGCAUUAAGAUUUUGUGCAUCCAACCAUAAAAGUGCAUGACAUCCUCUGCUUCCCUCUGCGAAGGGCCUAUCUUUUAUUUUUACCUUCUACCCUUAUACAAGAGUCUUGGUGAUCUUCACCUUUCCUUUUUAUACUUUAUCCUUUGGCAAGCUCUAUGUGUUGGAAAGAUCCUGAUAUAUAUAUAUAUAUAUAUAUAUAUAUAUAUAUAUAUAUAUAUAUAUAUAUAUAUAUAUAUAUAUCCAAUUGGAUGUGGGUUUUCAUAAAGGAUUAUUGUUGACAUUACCCUUGAGGUAAAAGGUUGGGAGGCGAAAGUAUAAGCCCCUACCUUUCUCUCUGUCCGAUUGAAACUUCAUACUCAUAAGUAUCGCGUGAGUGUUAGCAAUUGUGAAAGAUUAAAUGAUAAUUGAGUAUUUGGACUUGCUGAAAAGCUCUUAUAUUGACUCUUUCCGAUGUUAAGAUAAAAUUGCAAUUGCUUCAAUGACAGAGAUUAUAGUUUGCUAGUUUGCAAUGAAGUUUCUGAUUCAUACUUUACAUUGUGAAUGGAUUGUUACUUUAGCAUAAGAAAUCAUAUGAAACUAUAUAUGUUGCUGUUCUAAGAAUGAUCAUGAUGCCCUCAUGUCUGUAUUUUAUUUUAUCGUCACCUCUAUCUCUAAACAUGUGGACGUAUUUUUCGAUAUCGGCAUCUGCUUGAGGACAAGCGAGGUCUAAGCUUGGGGGAGUUGAUACGUCCAUUUUGCAUCAUGCUUUUAUAUCAAUAUUUAUUGCAUUAUGGGCUGUUACUACACAUUAUGUCGCAAUACUUAUGCCUUUUCUCUCUUAUUUUACGAGGUUUACAUGAAGAGGGAGAAUGCCGGCAGCUAGAAUUCUGGGCUGGAAAAGGAGCAAAUAUUAGAGGCCUAUUCUGCACAACUCGAAAAGUCCUAAAACUCCAGGAAAGUCAGUUUUGGAAUAUAUUAAAAAUAUUGGGCGAAGAAAGCACCAGAGGGGGGCCACCCACCGUCCAUGAGGGUGGAAGGCGCGUCCUACCCCCUGAUUGCGUCCCCUGCCUCAUGGGCCACCUGGCAGGCCCCCGAUACCCAUCUUCUCCUAUAUGGUGUCUUUUGCCCUGGAAAAAAAAUCAUAAGGUAGAUUUCGGGACGAAGCGCCGCCGUCUCGAGGCGGAACCUUGGUGGAACCAAUCUAGGGCUCCGGUGGAGCUGUUCUGCCGGGGAAACAUCCCUGCGGGAGGGGGAAAUCAUCACCAUCGUCAUCACCAUGGAUCCUCUCAUCGAGAGGGGCCAAUCUCCAUCAACAUUAUCACCAACACCAUUUCCUCUCAAACCCUAGUUCAUCUCUUGUAUCCGAUCUUUGUCUCAAAACGUCAGGUUGGUACGUGUGGGUUGCUAGUAGUGUUGAUUACUCCUUGUAGUUGAUGCUAGUUGGUUUAUUUGGUGGAAAAAUCCUAUGUUCAGAUCCUUUAUGCAAUUUAAUACCCCUAUGAUUAUGAACAUGAAUAUGAUUUGUGAGUAGUUAUGUUUGUUCCUGAGGACAUGGGAGAAUUCUUGUUAUAAGUAGUCAUGUGAAUUUUGUAUUCUUUGAUAUUUUGAUGAGACGUAUGUUGUCUCUCCUCCAGUGGUGUUAUGUGAACAUCGACUACAUGAUAGUUCACCAUUGUUUGGGCCUAGGGGAAGGCAUUUGGAAGUAAUAAGUAGAUGAUGGGUUGCUAGAGUGAUAGAAGCUUAAACCCUAGUUUAUGUGUUGCUUCGUAAGGGGCUGAUUUGGAUCCAUAUGUUUCAUGCUAUGGUUAGGUUUACCUUAAUUCUUCUUUCAUAGUUGCGGAUGCUUGCGAGAGGGGUUAAUCAUAAGUGGGAUGCUUGUUAAAGGAAGGGCCGUACCCAAGCACCGGUCCAACCACAUAUCAAAUUAUCAAAGUAACGAACGUGAAUCAUAUGAGCAUGAUGAAAACUAGCUUGACGAUGAUUCCCAUGUGUCCUCGGGAGCGCUUUGCUUUAUAUAAGAGUUUGUCCAGGCUUGUACUUUGUUACAAAAAGGAUUGGGCCACCUUGUUGCACCUUGUUACUUUUGUUACUUGUUACCCGUUACGAACUAUCGUAUCACAAAACUAUCUGUUACCAAUAUUUCAGUGCUUGCAGAGAAUACCUUACUGAAAACUGCCUGCCAUUUCCUUCUAUUCCUCAUUGGGUUCGACACUCUUACUUAUUGAAAGGACUACGAUAGAUCCCCUAUAGUUGUGGGUCAUCAAAUAGUACAUAACAUAACUUGAGCUUUAGAUUUGGCUCAUUAUCACACUGAUGUCAAAUUUGUCAUUUUUGUAUCUUAAAAAUGUUAUAAACUUUAAUACAAAAGUUUUGUGACAUCAUACAUUGAUGUGCGUUAAUGUGCUAGAUUUUUUUUUGACUUUUUAAAUUGUUCUAUAGCAUCCGGUGCCCCGGGAGCACCAUUACUGCGGGUGCAUAGGAUACAUCCCCGCGAGCGAUCCGUGGAUGGCUUGGUGCGGACGGGCGCGUGCGGUUGCCGAUCCAUAUAUUCCUGAACUCGGAUCUAGACACAAGAUCCUCCAUUGCAUGCCACAUCCAUGGCUCUAGUGAGCCAGAUCCGCACAUGUGAUAUGCCUCCAACAUAUUUACUUUUUGUUUUGGCCUCUAAUUUAUAUGAUUUGAAUGAAACUAACCCAAACUAACGUUGUUUUAAGUAGAACUACCUUGAUGUUAUUUUUUGUGUAGAAAUAAAAAUCUCAUAAUUGGACGAAACUUUGUAGAGAUUUUUUAUGGAAUAAAUAAAAAAUACCGGAGCCAUCGGCAUCCGUACCAAGAAAAUAAGAGAGAAAGUAAUUUGGGAGCUGCCACCAUCUCUUGUCUUCAUUGGGAGCCCUGAUCUGGAGUCCAUUCCUAUCUCCGGAGAGAGGGAUUCGUCGUGGUUGUAAUCACCAACCCUUCUCCAUCAAUAAUUUCCUGAUUCUCACCACCAAGAGUGUGUAAUCCCUUGCAGGCAUACUAGAGGUAGAGUAAGAUGAAUGAGAUUUCCUAUGUAAUCAUGUUAAUUUGUUAGGGCUUGAUCCCUAGUAUGCACUAUGUUUUGAGAUUGAAGUUGUUAUGACUUUCUUAUACUUAAUGCUUGUCAAUAGGGCCCGAGUGUCAUAAUUUCAGAUCUGAACACUUAUGCUUCUAUGAAUAUAUUUGACAUAAUGAUCUCACCUUCAAGUUGUAUACACCUGUUAUCAUUCCAAACCUUAGACUUCCAAGUUGACCAUUGAAAGUGCUAGUUAUCGACUAGAUGGGGGGGUGAAUAGGCAAUUUUUUAUAAAAGUCUUCAAAACAUGCAAUGUCUUCGAAAACGCGGAAGAAAAACAAUCACUAAACAGGAUACAUCGGAAUAUAAACCACACUAGACAUGUCGGUAUGUCAACAAAAAUUGAUGUAAGAUGCGAAGAUAGAAAACAACUAGGUAGUUCAGAACAAUGAGAAGAUAGUGUGAAGACAAAUAUGUAAUCAGAGGAAAUGUCUUCAUACAAUGUCUUUGAAUAGUAUGAGCAGGCAAAGGCUUCACGAAACUAAACAGUAAGUAAAGGAGUGAAGUGAUAGAACCACUUGCUCAUAGAAGACAUGUGAUUUGUUUGACCAAUUCCAGCUGCUGUGACAGCUAUAUGUCUGGUUAAGGAGGCUGAGAUUGAAAUCUGAAGACUUAGUCUUCACCUUAUUCCCCUUAAGCUAAUAUCCGCAAAUCUCACCCAAUCACUCGGGGAAGUCUUCAAGGUAAACUUCCAAACCUUCACAGACUUCGUUCACUAGCAAUCCACAAUGACUCUUGGAUGCUCAGAAUUCAACACCUAACCGGUUGGAAGAUCACAGUCUUCAAGUGUAACAAGUCUUUGGUUCACGCAGAACAGAAAGGCUUCAGUGAUGCUCAAUCACUUUGGGCUCUGGGUGUUCUGGGUUUGUCCUCGCAAGGAAUUUCUCUCAAGGCUUAAGAGGUGGGUUGCUCUCAAACGAUAACAACCAUGUAAUAACUCGAAACAACCACCAACUUAUGCUAGAGGUGGUGGGCUAUUUAUAGCCAGGAGGCAACCUGACAUGAUAUGAACAAAAUGACCCUGGGUCAAUGGGCAACCGACAUGUGUCCAACAACCGUAUUUGAAACACACGCGACAGCUUUACUUGAGCUCCAACUAAAGCUAACUCAACGAACCUUGGAAAAGGUGUUCUCUCACUGUCUACACUAGAAGACAUAGAGUUUUAGGUUCAACAUCAAGUCAGUUUCUAACUUUGUUUACCUCGACCCCAUUUAACAAUACGGUGGUUCCUAUGGCUCAAGAAAGGCGAAAAUGAAACUAUCAAAAGACUAUGUCUUCGUGCUCCAUUGUAUUCAAGCGAAAGUCCACACGUCCCAUUGUCUUCAAAUAAAUGUCUUCCCGUACCACCAUUAUCUUUAAUGUCUUCAUACAUGUUUAGGAGUCAUAUUUGAUUGGUAAGCCGAAUCUCUAGGGACUUCUAUCUGUGUUCUCCUGUGAAUCUCAUAAAUAGAUUAGUCCCUCAACCAAAUUUGUCGUCAAUACUCCAUAACCGAUGAUAUGUCCAUUUUGCAUCAUGUUUUUAUAUUGAUAUUUAUUGCAUUAUGUGCUGUUAUUACGUAUUUACGUACAAUACUUAUGUCUUUUCUCUCUUAUUUUACAAGGUUUAGACAAAGAGGGAGAAUGCCGACAGCUGGAAUUCUGGACCGGAAAGGAGCAAAUCUGAGAGACCUAUUCUGCAUAACUCCAAAAAUCCUCAAAAUUUACAGAGAAUUAUUUUGGAAUAUAUAAAAAAUAUUGGGCGAAGAAAAUACCAGAGGGGACCCACCAAGUGGCCACAAGGAUGGGGGCGCGCCCUACCCCCUGGGCGCGUCUCCCUGGCUUCAGGGCCCCUUGGCAAGCCUUUGGUGCCCCUCUUCUACUAUAUGAUGUCUUUUGACCUGGAAAAAAAUCAGAAGAGAGCUUUCAGGAUGAAGUGCCGCCGUCUCGAGGCGAAACUUGGGCAGAACCAAUCUAAGAUUCAGGUGGCUUCAGAUUGCAAGGUGGCGUUGCAGAUAUACAUUAGAAGAGCGCAACUACCUAUAGAGCAAUCAUAACUGAGAUCAUAGAUCGGAAGGCUACUUUUACUAAUUGUACAUUAGCCAUGAAUUUAGGAGCUUGAAUGUUGAAGCUCACAAACUCGUGAAGCAUGCUUUAUCCCUAGGGGUUGACCGCCAUGUUUGGUUAGGUAACCCCAUAGCUGAAGUUGUCUCGCCUUGCUUCAAAUCUACCGGGCGUGCGCUGCGAUUUUGACCUAACGGCCUCCAUUUGCUGGAAUUAAUUGGAAUAGUUGAGAAGAAAGUGACAAACGAAUGUGUAAUGCGUGGGAAUCUGCCGAAUAGUUCAGGCCGAAUCCCGAAGAAAGUUCGUUGGUCAGGUAAAGGUUGGCCAGCCAAUGAUGCUUAGCUGGUCUUUUUGAAUGUUUAGCCACACUGGGACUGAGACAUAGCCCAGACUCCCAUGGGGGGCAGCAGAGGGGAAUCUUGGACAAUGGGCAAAAGCCCGAUCUAGCAAUAUCGCGUGAGUGAAAAAGGUCAAUGCUCCUUUUAAAGCUCUUACGUUGAGUGCGCGAUCAUGAAAUAUCUCGAGGAAGAAGCCCCGGCUCACUCCGUGCCAGCAGCCGCGCUAAGANNNNNNNNNNNNNNNNNNNNNNNNNNNNNNNNNNNNNNNNNNNNNNNNNNNNNNNNNNNNNNNNNNNNNNNNNNNNNNNNNNNNNNNNNNNNNNNNNNNNNNNNNNNNNNNNNNNNNNNNNNNNNNNNNNNNNNNNNNNNNNNNNNNNNNNNNNNNUAAGUACUCUUUGGAAUGACUGGGUGUAAAGGGCAUGUAGGCGGCGGGUUGAAAAUGAAACUGUGAAAAUCAUAAAAAGUGGCGGAAUGCUCUCGAAACCAAUUCACUUAAGUGAGACAGAGGAGAGUGGGUGAUUUUCUAUUCGUCCCUAUAAACACUACUCAUCAAUCCGUGCAGGUGCACGGGCUAGAUAUACCAUCAUAGAAUCUUGUAAAUAUACUUUGUAAGCCUAUAACUUGAGACAUAAAACAUGGAACAUGCUUUUCAGUUUUUAUUUUAUAGUGGUGUUUAGUCAUCAAAUUUCAGGCAAAAUUAAAAGUGGACACGUAUAAAUUCUCAAGUUCAUUGAUCAAGCGCAUGCAGUUGUUAUGGUAUACAAAAUUGAACAUGCUGAAGACUCACAUGCAUAUUUGUAGGAAGACUAAAAAAAAUUGUAAUUAUUUCUUACAUCAUUACAUUCAAACCCACACAAAGAAAAUAGUCAAAUAAACAUCAUUUUUCUUUAAACAGAAGGAUCCAACUGACGCCAUAAAAUGUAUCUUUUCCUUAUAUUGGCCAAUUAUUGCUCAAAUAGCUGUGCAUGUGCUGUGUAAAUAAGAUUUAGAUAUGGUACAUAGAACUUUUGUUAGAUUUAGAUCAUAGCUUCAGUGUGAAUGUUGCUGCAAUGGCACAGAAGUAUGAUCGGUUUGGCAUCAUCUGCUUUGCGAUGAUCCACUCCCGUGCACAGGCUCUAUCCUACGGAUCGUCCUAUCGGACAGCUAGCAGUAUAUGUUAUGCCAAAAGCUUCUUGACCAACAUAUGUGCUAGUAAAUCUAAUUACUCUAAAUUAUGAAAAUAUAGUUAUUCCGAAUUAUGAAAAUAUAAUUACCCUAAACUAUAUAUGUACCUUAGAUCGUAGAGCCACCAUCGAACAGAACUAUAUAGGGAGUAGUUGUGCGGUAGUACUGUUGAGAUGUAGAAGUGGAAAAGCAAUAAUGCAUAACAAAAUCAUAUUCUAUCACACGCUUAGCUUAUACUAUAUAUAUUGGCACACAUUUUCUUUGCAUAUGCACCUGGUAGAUUAAACAAUGGAAGCAAACACAGUAGGGCAAACCAAUUUCAGAUUUUUAUCUGAAAUCAAAAGCCUAGAAAAGGUGAAUCUGCCGAAUAGUUCGGGCCGAAUCCUGAGGAAAGUUCAAAGCGCUGUUUGACGAGCCUACGUAGUAUUAGUUAGUUGGCCAGGUAAAGGCUGACAAGCCAAUGAUGCUUAGCUAGUCUUUUUGAAUGAUUAGCCACACUGGGACUGAGACAUGGCCCAGACUCCCAUGGGAGGCAGCAGAGGGAAUCUUGGACAAUGGGCGAAAGCCCGAUCCAGCAAUAUCGCGUGAGUGAAGAAGGUCAAUGCUCCUUGUAAAGCUCUUACGUUGAGUGCGUGAUCAUGACAUAUCUCGAGGAAGAAGUAACUCCAUGCCAGUAGCCGCGCUAAGACGGGGGGGGGGGAGGGGGCAUGUACUCUUUGGAAUGACUGGGUGUAAAGGGCAUGUAGGCGGCGGGUUGAAAGUGAAGCUACAAAAAUCAUAAAAAGUGGCGGAAUGCUCUUGAAAUGAAUUCACUUAAGUGAGAUAGAGGAGAGUGGAUGGUUUUCUAUUCGUCCGUAUAAACACUAGUCAUCAACCCGUGCAGCUGCACGGGCUAGCGACUUGAGUCUGAAAACUUUGUGUUUAAUAUACUUUGGAAAAAGAAUAAACAUUGAAUAACAUUCAUAAUUUCUAAUUAUAAGUGUAGUUUUUGAAAUCACGGUUACAUUGUUUAGCCUUUCAAGCAAUGCACAACAAUAAUUAGUGGCAAUGCACAACAAUAACAUUCAUAAUUUAUAAUUUCAACCGUGGUAUUAUAGGAGCAUACCACAUCACCUUGGCAGGAAUCUUCUUCCUGGAGCGCUCGCCCUCGACUUCUCCAGGGUCAUCGCGGCUGAUCUUAUAGCGCAAUGCACCGCAUACGGGGAACGCGUUCAAAUCCUCGUACUCACCACAGUAGAUGAUGCAGUCAUUAGGGCAUGCAUGUAUCUUCUGCACCUCUAAUCCUAGAGGGCAGACAACCUUCUUUGCUUCGUACGUACUCGGGCAAUUUGUUGUCCUUUGGAAGCAUCUUCUUUAACAUUAUCAGCAACUUUCCAAAUCCCUUGUCAGAUACACCAUUCUCUACCUUCCAUUGCAGCAAUUGUAGUGUGGUGCCCAGCUUUUUCUUGUCAGCUUCACAAUUUGGGUACAACAAUUUCUUGUGAUCCUCUAACAUGCGCUACAACUUCUUCUCCCCCUUUUCACUUGUGCAGUUUCUCUUUGCAUCAGCAAUGGCACGACCUAGAUCAUCAGCGGGCUCAUCUGAUGCCUCUUCUUCAGCUUCUUCCUGCAUUCCCGGCUCAAUUUCUUCUCCCAUUGUUGUACCAUCGUAUUCAGGGAACCCAUGGCCAGGAUAGCUAUCGUCGUCCUCUUCUUCUUCACUGUCUUCCAUCAUAACCCCUCUUUCUAUGUGCUUAGUCCAAACAUUAUAGUGGGGCAUGAAACCGGACUCAAACAGGUGGACGUGAAUGGUUCUUGACUUAGAGUAAUUCAGAUCAUUCUUACAGUUAGCACAUGGACAAGGCAUAAAACCAUCCGCCCACUUGUUUGCCUCAUCUGCAAGCAGAAACGUAUGCACACCAUUAAUGAACUGGGGAGAGCAUCGGUCAUCGUACAUCCACUGCCGGUUCAUCUUCAUUUACACAACACCGAAAAGACCAAAUUAAUACAAGUUCAUACAAAACAACAUACAAAUAACUCUGUAGCUAAAGUAUUUAAAUGCAACAACAAAUGCGAUCAAGAUCGCAAAUAAGGUAACAAUUGAUCCAACAACAUAAUGAUACCAAGCCACACUAUCGAUGGCAUAUUUUUUAAUCUUUCUAAUCUUCAAGCGCAUUUUCUCCAUCUUGAUCUUGUGAUCAUCGACGACAUCGGCAACAUGCAACUCCAAUUCCAUGUUCUCCCCCUCAAUUCUUUUCAAUUUUUCUUUCAAAUACUUGUUUUCUUUUUCAACUAAAUUUAACCUCUCGAGAAUAGGGUCGGUUGGAAUUUCCGAUUCACAUACCUCCCAGAUAAAAAUAUCUGUCAACUUGAUGGGCAUAAUUUGUCAUAAACACGAAAUGCAACAAAUAGUUAUAAAAGGGAAUAUACCACAUCCGAAUCAUAACCCGGACGAGGGCCGACGGGGACGGAUAUCAAAACCAUGACACUAUGUAUAACAAACAACAUACAUGUAAGAUAAUUAUACAAGUAACUAUAUAUCUAAAUAACAAAAACAUGAUUUUUCUUAUAUUAAAAAGAUAAGAACAAGAGACUCAUCACAAGGUGGUGCCGGCGACGGGACGGUGCGGGCGGUCGACGGUGGUUAGGACGGAGACGGGAAGGCACUAAGUAAACCACACCUACAUAUGCAAACUAAGAGUUAUUUUGACCUCAAAUUGCAUAUAAAUCAAAUAAACUACAACAUAUAUAUAAUUCCUCCCAAACUAAAAACCCACAAAUCACUAUACUUAUAGAGCAUUGCAAGAGCUAAUGUAACAAUGAGAGAUGAAAGGACAGAGUUGCUAACCUUUGUGAUCACUUGGACGGAUGGGGUGCCUUCAAAUGUUGGAAAAUUUUGGCAAAAAUGGAGGUGGGAGAUCGAGCAAGAGGGGAAGAAAACAAAGAGGAGGGGAAAAGUAGAGGGCUUCGGCUCGGACUGGAAGAAGCACUAUAUAGAGUGAUAUCUGUAGUGUUGGUUGGUUACACGAACCGAGACUACAGGUCAACUUCUAGUCUCGGUUCAUGGCAUGAACCGGUACUAUAGGUCAUGGUGCGGCUGCAGCCUGCCGCAAGCCUGCAACCACCUCUUUAGUACUGGUUUGUGGCACGAACCGGUACUAAAGGUUCGCCAUGAACUGGUAGUAAUGAGAGCAGCCCAUCUAGCCGUUGGAACCGGCAGUAAUGGUCACAUUAGUGUCGGUUCUAUUAAAAACCGGGACUAAAUAGUUGAACAUUAGGCCCUUUUUCUACUAGUGGUUACUUGACGGGCACUAUUUUUGUAAGGCAAAUGCCAAAUAAUUGGUCGGUAUUAAAUGUUGGUUGCCUAAACAAAAUAUUGUAAUUUUUUGGUCGGUGAAACAAACUCCCAUCUGACCGUCGGUCGAGAAAUGUCCAUGGCAACCCUAACUAAUUGUUGGAUGGGAAAAACACUAUUUGAUAGUCGGUCGGGAAAGGACCAUAGUAGCUCAAAUGGACUGUCGGUCGGGAAAGGUCCGUGGCAGGCCCAACAGAAUGUUGGUCACGAAAGAUAUACUAUAGCCGACAAGCAGUCGGUUCGGAAUAACAUGUCGGUCGGGAAAGGGUUUUCCUGUCUGGACUUUCCCGAAGGAUCUUUGCCGUCAGCCAGCUCACGACAAAGAAAUUUUUUGCCAUCAGCUUACAGAAAACUGACGGCAAAGAAAGAGCCAAUGACAAAGAGCAUGUUUGCCGUCCGGCAUAGCAGCCGACAAAGAGGGAGGGUGGUCCACUAAGGAGUACCACCUAACGACCACUUUCUUUGGCGUCUGCUAGCGGACGACAAAGAUUGCAGCUAAUGGCUACAUAUGGCCCACCCCACACCUCCCACUCUCCAUUUCUCUUUCUCUCUCACUCCACCGUGCCGACCCCGACCCCAACCGCCGCCGCCGCUCCCGACCCCCACCUCNNNNNNNNNNNNNNNNNNNNNNNNNNNNNNNNNNNNNNNNNNNNNNNNNNNNNNNNNNNNNNNNNNNNNNNNNNNNNNNNNNNNNNNNNNNNNNNNNNNNNNNNNNNNNNNNNNNNNNNNNNNNNNNNNNNNNNNNNNNNNNNNNNNNNNNNNNNNNNNNNNNNNNNNNNNNNNNNNNNNNNNNNNNNNNNNNNNNNNNNNNNNNNNNNNNNNNNNNNNNNNNNNNNNNNNNNNNNNNNNNNNNNNNNNNNNNNNNNNNNNNNNNNNNNNNNNNNNNNNNNNNNNNNNNNNNNNNNNNNNNNNNNNNNNNNNNNNNNNNNNNNNNNNNNNNNNNNNNNNNNNNNNNNNNNNNNNNNNNNNNNNNNNNNNNNNNNNNNNNNNNNNNNNNNNNNNNNNNNNNNNNNNNNNNNNNNNNNNNNNNNNNNNNNNNNNNNNNNNNNNNNNNNNNNNNNNNNNNNNNNNNNNNNNNNNNNNNNNNNNNNNNNNNNNNNNNNNNNNNNNNNNNNNNNNNNNNNNNNNNNNNNNNNNNNNNNNNNNNNNNNNNNNNNNNNNNNNNNNNNNNNNNNNNNNNNNNNNNNNNNNNNNNNNNNNNNNNNNNNNNNNNNNNNNNNNNNNNNNNNNNNNNNNNNNNNNNNNNNNNNNNNNNNNNNNNNNNNNNNNNNNNNNNNNNNNNNNNNNNNNNNNNNNNNNNNNNNNNNNNNNNNNNNNNNNNNNNNNNNNNNNNNNNNNNNNNNNNNNNNNNNNNNNNNNNNNNNNNNNNNNNNNNNNNNNNNNNNNNNNNNNNNNNNNNNNNNNNNNNNNNNNNNNNNNNNNNNNNNNNNNNNNNNNNNNNNNNNNNNNNNNNNNNNNNNNNNNNNNNNNNNNNNNNNNNNNNNNNNNNNNNNNNNNNNNNNNNNNNNNNNNNNNNNNNNNNNNNNNNNNNNNNNNNNNNNNNNNNNNNNNNNNNNNNNNNNNNNNNNNNNNNNNNNNNNNNNNNNNNNNNNNNNNNNNNNNNNNNNNNNNNNNNNNNNNNNNNNNNNNNNNNNNNNNNNNNNNNNNNNNNNNNNNNNNNNNNNNNNNNNNNNNNNNNNNNNNNNNNNNNNNNNNNNNNNNNNNNNNNNNNNNGAUCCCCGAAACGACACUCGAGACCCCGACACGGCACCCCCAACCUCGACACAGCACCCCGACCCUAACAUGACACCCCCGACACCCCGACCCCCAGAGGCCGACGGGGUCAUAUAUUUCUGAAUUAUGAGUUAGGUCAGGUAUUCAAUUAUUAUUAUGUAUAUAUACAUAUAUAUUAUUAUUAAUUAGUUCAUGUUAUUAGGUAUUCAAUUUUUUAUUAUGUUCAUGAUGAUGAUACACACUUAAUUUUUUUAUUAUGUUUAUGUUGUACUAACUUCAUUUACUCUUUGUCAUUGUAGGUGUUGACAGAUGGUGGGCGCGGGUCGAGAGCGCUCCGAGCCUCCUUCUUCGGAGCGUGCUAGGAGGUGUGUUGUUAUUCACUCCAGCACCUACGGAGAGCGCUGAUAGACAGCACACAGACACUAGCGGGCGCUUCUUCUUCGACCGAGAGAGGUCGGGGGAAGACGAAGAGGGGUACAGCUAGAGGUGGACGUGGCGGCGGGAUAGGUAGGAAGGCUGCUACGCCUUCCUCGCCGCCACCCCAGCUGAUUCUUUGGACCACUGUAGUGCUUCGUCCUAGGUGGACCCGUCUGACUUGGACCCUUCUCGGACUCCGGUCCACAAGCCUCGGGCCAACGAGCCUACAUCCGACGAGACUCGGGUCCUAGAGUCUUCGUCCUAGGAGACUCGGGUCCCAGAGUCUUCGUCCCGCGUGACUCCGGAGACUAGUGGCCAUGCUGAUGGUGGCGAGGACACCUUGUCUGACGAUAGCUACAAUGAUGGCGAGCUAGUUGAGGGGGGCAAGAAGUUCUACCAGCGUGGUGGUACAGAUCUCCCAUCCGUGUCGGCGACCCGCGACCAGAGGUGGUUGAUUGAGCCUAAAGGGGAGAAGUAAGUGCAUUUACUCCUUUAUAACCUUUUGCCUUCAUGUUUCUUCAAAUUAAUAUCUAAUGUGUUGGCCUUGUCAUACUGCAGGGGUUGGAUACGUGCCUCUGAUGUCCGCAGGCCCAACCAGGUCCUUGGUGUGAUUUGCCGGCACCACUUCCCGGGAUGGGUCACAUUGCCCGAUGAGGGUGAGGUUCCAUAGCUAGCACUGACCUGGGAGCUGCACAAGGCUGCCCCGGCCCCGCCGAGGGAGAUGGUCGACGGUGUCAUGUGCGAGACGGUGGCCGACAUUGUGAGACGACGGUUUUGGGUAAUUUCUCCUUUAAAUUAAAAAUCAACAAUACUUAGUGAUUGUACUAAUCAGUGUUGUCUUGUUUGAUUGCAGACCUUCUACAGGUGUCUUGAGGAACACGAGGCAGACACGGAGGCAAACAGGUAGUUGACGCAGAGGGAGAGGGAGUUGGAGGAGAGGACAGCUAGUAUGUUGGAGGCGGAGAGGAACCGGAACGACGCGGGUCACCGGGCCUUAUACGAGCUCCUCGUGGUAAGUUUCUCCUGCAUAUUAGCCAAAUCAUGUACGUAAUGUUCGUUUCAUUACUAGCUAAUAUGACUGACUCGUGAAAACAAAAUGUGCAGUCCGUUUGCGAGAAAAACGACCAGACCCCUCAGCCGAUGCACCAGCACUAGUGCAGAACCGGGCUAUAGCACUUGUUCGUAAGGGCCUUUAGUCCCGGUUCUGUAACCAGCACUAAAGGGUGGAGACUAAAGGCCCCCCUUAGUACCGCUUCUGCACGAACCGGGGCCAAAGGCCCACCAUGUGGCACAAUCUCGCGUGGUGAUCUGGGGGAUCUUUAGUACCGGUUGGUAACACCAACCGGUACUAAAGGAUUUUUUAUUUUUGAUUUUAUUUUUUUCGAAAAAAUUGAAUAUUUUUUCCGAUUUUCAAAUUUCUGAAUUAUUUGAUGAUUUUGUCUCUAAUCACCGCUCAUCAUUGCUGCAAUCACCCCUCAUCAAUCCAAAUCGUCUAACUUCCUGGCCAGUCACCCAUCCUCUCACUACUCCAGCCUGAGCACGCUUAACUUCCGAGUUCUAAGUCUGCAUGUGUUGUUUACCUGAUAAUAGUAAGUUGUCAAUCCUAUUAACCCUCAGGAAUUUAGCUUGAACAUGAAGUCACAUGUUUCACCUUUUUAGUUUGAAACUAUUAUUCUGAAAAAUAAUUAUUAGUAACCGAGAUACUUCUUGAAUAAGUAGUCUGACCACAGUUUGACCAUAGUUUGACCAAAAGUCAAAAAAACUAAAAUAACUAUUUAUUAACACUAAUAUUUCUUGAAUAAUUAGUUUGACCAUAGUUUGACCACAAUUCGACCAGAAUUAAGAAUUUUUUUAAAAAAAAACUGAAAUUGGAGCAAAUCUUUUUUUCCUUUUAGAAUUUGAGGAUUCUAAAAAAUUGCAAACAAGCAGUAGGUGGUCAAAAUUGGAUGCGGAUUUUCGUGCUGAUUUUUUUGAUAUAUUAUGCAUUUUUUUACAUCGUAUGCAAAAGAUAUGGCCGUUUUACAUUUUCAUAACACUUUUUUUGCAAAGCAUGUCCAAAUUUAAGUUUUUUAAUUUUCCUAACUAGUAGAUUUAGUAACAUAACUACAUCUCGAACGAUUUUACUUUUUGAAGUUUUUAUCAUUUUCUUUUGCUUUUUACAAAAUUGAAAAGGUGGUCUGGGGGGGGGUAGAGUUUGAAAAUGGGUCCUUUAGUCUCGGUUUGUGUCUCCAACCGAGACUAUAGGUCAGACCCCUUUAGUCCCGGUUCGUGGCACAAACCGGUACUAAAGGUUAGCCCUGUAGUACCGGUUUGUNNNNNNNNNNNNNNNNNNNNNNNNNNNNNNNNNNNNNNNNNNNNNNNNNNNNNNNNNNNNNNNNNNNNNNNNNNNNNNNNNNNNNNNNNNNNNNNNNNNNNNNNNNNNNNNNNNNNNNNNNNNNNNNNNNNNNNNNNNNNNNNNNNNNNNNNNNNNNNNNNNNNNNNNNNNNNNNNNNNNNNNNNNNNNNNNNNNNNNNNNNNNNNNNNNNNNNNNNNNNNNNNNNNNNNNNNNNNNNNNNNNNNNNNNNNNNNNNNNNNNNNNNNNNNNNNNNNNNNNNNNNNNNNNNNNNNNNNNNNNNNNNNNNNNNNNNNNNNNNNNNNNNNGCCACGAACCGGGACUAAAGGGGCUCGUGGGGCCCCGCUUGACGCCAGCCUGCCACCACCCCUUUAGUACCGGUUCAACACGAACCGGCAUUAAUGCAUAGCCGUUUGAACCGGGACUAAUGGUACCAUUAGUACUGGGCCAACAUUGAACCGAGACUAAUGUGUCUCACAUUAGGUCCUUUUUCUACUAGUGCAGAUUGGUAUAGCGGACGCGGUGAGUUUCAUUUGAAUGGUCAUUAGUUACUAGUAUUCACAUUUCAGUUGCAUCAUGCUAACUAGACAUUGCAAAUGAUCUUUGGUGCAGCAUGCCUCCCGGCAAGCAUCGACCGAUCCUUCUUCAUCUCAAACUAGCGCAACCCCGACCAGUCCUUCUCCGCCUGGCACUGGCGCAAGCCAAACCGUUCCUUCACCUCCAUGAUGAUGGUAAGUGUUUUGCUUAACAAAUGCAUACUUAGCUUAAGAAAUGACCUACUUAGCUCCAAAAUGACCUAUACUUAUCUUAUUUUCCUCAAAAAUGACAUAAUAACCUUACUUAGCUCCAAACUGACAUAUUCUACCUAGGAUAGCUAUAAAAUGACCUAUACUUAGCAUUUUUUUCCUCCAAAAUGACUUGAUAUGCUUAGUUAGCUAGAAAAUGGCAUAACUACCUAGGAUAGCUCAAUAAUGAUCUACAGCUAGCUUAGCUAGUUCAUUUAUGACAUAAUUAGCUCACUUAGGUAAAAAAUGGCAUAACUACCUAGGAUAGCUGAAUAAUGAUCUAUAAUUAGCUUAGCUAGUUCAUUUAUGCCAUAGUUAGCUCACUUAGGUAAAAAAUGGCACAACAACCUUGGUUUAGCUCCCAAAUGACCUAUACUUAGCUUAUUUCCUUGAAAAUGACAUAACAACCUUACUUAGCUCUGAACUGACAUACUUUACCUAGGAUAGCUAUAAAAUGGCCUAUACUUAGCAUUUUUUUACUCCUAAAUGACUUAUUAUGCUUAGUUAGCUAAAAAUGUCACAACUACUUAGGUCAGCUCCAAACUGGCCUACACUUACCAUUUUGUCCUCCAAAAUGAAUAAAUUUGCUUAGUUAGCUCAAAAAUGGCAUAACUACCUAGGUUAGCUCCAAAGUGACCUAUUUACCUAGCUUAGCUCUAAAAUGACCUACACACUUAGCAUUGUUAGCUAGCUAAAGCUAAAAAUGGCAUUUUUACCUACCUUAGUUAGAAUAAGAAGAAGAUAAAGAAGAGGAGAGGAGAAAAAGAAUGAGAAGAUGAAUUCUUCUUUUUCUUCUUCUUCUUCUUUUUCUUCUUCUUUUUCUUCCUUUUCUUCUAGCUAGUCUUCUUCUUCUUCUUCUAACUUUCAUCUUUCCUAAUUUGUAGAUUUGCUUUAGAUGAGGAAGCUUGCAUUGAUGGAGUGUACUCUUCUACUUGUGCUUCCUUUUUGUUUAUGGAAACUUGUUUUGGAUAUGUAUGUAUAUAUGGAUAUGUUGUUGGAAGCCAUUGUAUGGUGGAUAUGUUGUUGGAAACUUGUAUGUUGGAUAUGUUGUUGGAAACUUAUUGUUGGUAUGCUUGUUGAAAUUAUUUUGAAAUGUGUGUGUAUAUAUAUAUAUAUAUCUGUGAAAUUCUGUCAAACUGAAUGAAUUUAAGAAAAAACAGAAAAAACAGGGGCUAUACAGUCUCUUUGUCGUCUGCUGGCAUAUGGCAAAGAGCUUUGCCAUCUGCCGGCAAAGCUGCCACAUGGCAGCUACCUGUGCAACUUGGGGUGCUCUGGGCUGACCUAUUUGGCAGCUUUGCCAUCAGCGGCAGAUGGCAAAGACCUUUGCAUCUUUGCCAUCCGCUAGCAGAUGGCAAAGAUGCAAAGGCCUUUGUCGUCUGCCAGCUGACGGCAAAGCACACCCUUAACCCCUUAACGGACCUAAGCUGCCACGUGUGGUGUCCAGGCUCUUUGCCGUCUGCCAGUAUACGGCAAAGAGGGCUUUGCCGUAGCUUAUUUAGCCGGACCUGUUGCCAUUUGUUGGCUGAUGGCAAAGGCCUUUGCCAUACUCCAGGCAUGCCUUUAUCGUCAUCCAUGGCUGACCGCAAAGUGCCUGAUUCCUUUAGUGUUGGCACAACUUGUAUUCCCGACCAAUCUGGCUUUUGGGGAUGUAGUGCAGUGGUGUACUGAAUGCAGUGUCGUGGUGUAGUGCGGGAAAGUUAAGAAAAAAAUGGACACAUGCAAGGCUAGCACCAUGAUGAACACUACUGAGGUAGAGGAGAUGAUGAAGAAGUUGGGGAUCACGGAGGAUGACUUUGAUGAUGUGGUAGUAGAGGAAGAGGAGGAGCUCCCUGCUGAAGCAAUCCAGUGGAUGGCAAUCAUGCGAGUGCACAUAGAGAAAACUUAUGCUCAGUACUGGUUUUCAGAAACAUGAGGGUGGCUUGGGACUUGGCGAAAGAGGUGAAGAUCUGGCUACUCAACAAUAAUAUGUACAUGCUGCAAUUUUCUUGUUUAGGCGACUAGGAGGGAGUCAUGGACGAUGGGCUCUGGACUUACCGAGGCAACACGGUGCUUUUGGCAUCGCAUGAUGGAUUCACUAAACCAUCAACCAUAGCCUUGGACACAAUUGAGAUGCGGAUCCAAUUCAUGAUCUACCAGAUAGCUACCCCUACCCCCAAUUGAGCCUGGCGCUUGCUAGACCAUCCCGGUUCUCUGAGUUCCAUUGAUCUUAAAAGUUCUAAACUAUCCAAAUAACCCUCUUUCCGAUGCAACCUUGGGACCACAUCCAUCACAUAUAUGGCCGACUAUUUUCCAUGGGAAAGACAUAAUGACUUAGGGUUUGAUAAGGAGAAUAGGAGACGGAGAAUCCCCUGAUAUUUGGAACAAUAAUAGGAUAACUAGAGAGCAUAUAAAGAGGCCGAGAACUUCACAAACACCACAGCCACCGACAAGCGUCGCUGAACACAUUGAUCACACUGUGUCAUCAAGGGCUGAACAACUUAUUCAAUCGAUACUUAUUCCCAUUGAUGCCGAGACUAUAUUGAAGAACCCUCUUUGCACGAGACAAAUAUCUUAUUUUUGGUCUUGGAUUGAGGAUAGAAGGGGCAUGUUCACUGGGCAUUCUGCUUACAAGAUGAUACAGUGAACCAAGAUCAGUAGAGAAUCAUGGCUGUAUGAGCAGGGUGGCCGAUCAAACUCAGAGGCUGAUUGUCAAGGAUGGAUAGACUUAUGGCAUAUAAAAGCCCCCCGAAAAUCAAGGUGUUCAUGUGAAUGUUAGCACAAUACUCACAAUGUCCUUCUUCAUCAUAGAAACAUGUCGAUGACGAGUGCUUGUUGUUUGUGCAGGUCUAACGAUAUGUGCAGGCACGCCCUGCUGAAUUGCUUGGUUUCAAGGAGCACUGAGCACUAUCAUACGAGCAAAUUGUCGAGCUAUUGAGUCUGAAUGUAAAUGAUGACGCCAAACAGUGGCUAUUCACCAUGCAUGAGGUUUUAUCACAUGCGGACGAUUUUAUCAUGUUUACGAUCACUUUUGUGGACGAUAUGGGGAGCUCGGCACAAAGCUAUACAUGAGGAGAUAUAUAAAAGCCCUUUCACUUUUCAGGCUUUUGUGCAGAGUUACUUAACUGAGCUGAGAGCUACCCAAAGCACUCGAAGUCCAGUUCCAGGGGCACCCGUGAUUAGGCCAAGUCAAUGUAUUGCUCCUCGGGAUGAUAUGGUGAAGGUCAAUGUGGAUGCUGCGGUUGGACCAGGCGACACUCGAGGCGCAAUGGGAGCUAUAUGCAGAGAUCAAGCAUGUAAUUUUCUAGGUGUGUCGGCCAUUGUGUUUCCACAUAUAUCAGAUCUUGUUACUGUCGAAUCUUCAGCAAUCAGGGUGGCACUUGCACUUGGUGAUAAUCUCUAUGAGAGGAAGAUUCAGGUGGCUUCAGAUUGCAAGGUGGUGUUGCAGAUAUACAUCAGAAGAGCGCAGCUAUCUACAGAGCAAUCAUAACUGAGAUCAUAGAUCAGAAGGCUACUUUUACUAAUUGUACAUUAGCAAUAAAUUUAGGAGCUUGAAUGUUGAAGCUCACAAACUCGUGAAGCAUGCCUUAUCCCUAGGGGUUGACCGCCAUGUUUGGUUAGGUAACCCCAUAGCUAAAGUUGUCUCGCCUUGCUUCAAAACUACUGGGCGUGCGCUGUGGUUUUGACCUAAAGCCUCCGUUUGCUGGAAUUAAUUGGAAUAGUUGAGAAGAAAGUGACCAACGGAUGCGUAAUGCGUGGAAAGCUGCUGGAUAGUUCGGGCCGAAUCCUGAAGAAAGUUCAAAGCGCUGUUUGCUGAGCCUACGUAGUAUUAGUUCGUUGGUCAGGUAAAGGUUGGCAAGCCAAUGAUGCUUAGCUGGUCUUUUUAAAUGUUUAGCCACACUGGACUGAGACAUGGCCUAGACUCCCAUGGGGGGCAGCAGAGGGGAAUCUUGGACAAUGGGCGAAAGCCCGAUCCAGCAAUAUCGCGUGAGUGAAGAAGGUCAAUGCUCCUUGUAAAGCUCUUACGUUGAGUGCGCGAUCAUGACAUAUCUCGAGGAAGAAGCCCAGGCUAACUCCGUGCCAGCAGCCGCGCUAAGACGGGGGUGGGGGGGUGGGGGGUGGGGGGAAGUACUCUUUGGAAUGACUGGGUGUAAAGGGCAUGUAGGCGGCGGGGUUGAAAAUGAAACUGUGAAAAUCAUAAUAAGUGGCGGAAUGCUCUUGAAACCAAUUCACUUAAGUGAGACAGAGGAGAGUGGGUGGUUUUCUAUUCGUCCCUAUAAACACUAAUCAUCAACCCGUGCACCUGCACGGGCUAGAUAUACCAUCAUAGAAUCUUGUAAAUAUACUUUGUAAGCCUAUAACUGGAAACAUAAAACAUGGAACAUGUUUUUCAGUUUUUAUUUUAUAGUGGUGUUUAGUCUUCAAAUUUCAGGCAGAAUUAGAAGUGGACACGUAUGAAUUCUCAAGUUCAUUGAUCAAGCGCAUGCAGUUGUUAUGGUAUACAAAAUCGAACAUGUUGAGGACUCACAUGCAUAUUUGUAGGAAAAACUAAAAAAAAAUUGUAAUUAUUUCUUACAUCAUUACAUUCAAACCCACACAAAGAAAAUACUCAAAUAAACAUCAUUUUUCUUUAAACAGAAGGAUCCAACUGACGCCAUAAAAUGUACCUUUUCCUUAUAUUGGCCAAUUAUUGCUCAAAUAGCUGUGCAUGUGCUGUGUAAAUAAGAUUUAGAUAUGGUACAUAGAACUUUUGUUAGAUUUAGAUCAUAGCUUCAGUGUGAAUGUUGCUGCAAUGGCACAGAAGUAUGAUCGGUUUGGCAUCGUCUGCUUUGCGAUGAUCCACUCCCGUGCACAGGCUCUAUCCUACGGAUCGUCCUAUGAGACAGCUAGCAGUAUAUGUCAUGCCAAAAGCUUCUUGACCAACAUAUGCGCUAGUAAAUCUAAUUACUCUAAAUUAUGAAAAUAUAGUUAUUCUGAAUUAUGAAAAUAUAAUUACCCUAAACUAUAUAUGUACCUUAGAUCGUAGAGGCCACCAUCGAACAGAACUAUAUAGGGAGUAGUUGUGCGGUAGUACUGUUGAGAUGUAGAAGUGGAAAAGCAAUAAUGCAUAACAAAAUCAUAUUCUAUCACACGCUUAUCUUAUACUAUAUAUAUUGGCACACAUUUUCUUUGCAUAUGCACCUGGUAGAUUAAACAAUGGAAGCAAACACAGUAGGGCAAACCAAUUUCAGAUUUUUAUCUCAAAUCAAAAGCCUAGAAAGGGUGAUCCAGGAAAAACAUUAAUCGCUGCAUUGUUGAGAGUCUCAUAUUUCAAUUUCACCAUCCAAUCUCAUAGAAAAAUGUAGGCAGCCGGUGAGGAAUCAGCAGAUGGUUGCCAUGUGCUUCUCGAUAUUUCUUUUCCCUAAUCACCAAAGAACACAUAGGCGAGCCCAGCAGUAACUUGAUAUACAGGAGGCUUCUUUGGUUUGCACCAGUGUAACACGAAAGAACAGAUACGCAGCCGUGAAAGUCGCUGGCUGCAUGAUGGAAGACGCCAACCACAUAUCGUUGAUAUUGAAGGCAACGCUUGAAUAUCUUUUUUGACCUCUUCGUUCACCAUAACCUUUCAUAGUGGGAUCCAUCUUUCUUAAGCUUUGACACUUGGAAAUAAUACUUACCAGCAUAUUAAUCAAACCUUGCUGCAUCCACCGAUUUUUUUCCAACUCAUGCAUGUGAAACCAUGGAUAUUUCAUCAGCAAAAAGUACGAAAAAGGACACAAGUAUGCACUAUUAAUUAUGUCUGUGCUCAGACGUACCGCUCUCCUGUAGUAUCCACAAAAGGAAAACCAAGAUUUUCAGUUCUCACGCGCCUGACAAACAUCAUCUAUCUUCUGCUUGCAAUCUUUCCUGAUGAUACAUCAUGUCUGUUGGGGGUAAUAUGAAUUCAAAAGGAUGGAAAAAAGACCUGGGAAGAGGGCAAUUAGGGAUACUGUGCUAAAUUGGGACAGGAGAGGAGAGCAUUAUGCCCUUGAAUGGAAUCCAUGAUGCGAAACGUUGUGCCGCCAUAGCGAUGAUGGCCACAACCAUACUUGCUUCAAAGAGGAACAUCAGUACUGUACCUCCUCCAAAGCCUCGAGCAAGCAACACAAUAUUGUACAGGAGGCCCCAUGCCAGCGGUAGGGGCCGAUCGCCGUUCAAUGCCUGCAGAGGGCCUCUCAUCCUUCUAGUACUGAAUAUGCUAGCAGUCGACUAAAAUAGAUGAUUGAGCUGAUACUGUUAUCAUUGCCAUCUGUAAUCGAUAUUGAAUACCUCCUCUUGCAUGCUAGAUCUAAACAUAAAAUUUAGCUCAACUGUACACAUCUGUUUUGACUCGACAGUAAGGAACCAUAAUAUUGGAACCCUGAGGAACAAAGCAACGGAUGAGUACUUGACAACAAUUUAGCUCAAGUGUACAGCUAAAAAUUUAAUUCUGAAGGACAAAAUUGGUUGCGACAAAAGCAGUCACUUGACAACAAUUAUCACAUUUGUCUAUGAAUAUUUGAACCUAUGGUCUUUGUUGCGCCCUGGUCGGAUGGAUUAAAAAACGCAACCAUCUAGUACAUAGGGAGAUUGUGCAUAGUUCUUACCUCCAAUAAUCUAAUCAAGGCAGUAGAGGAGGAUUAUGUGCCCUGUGUAAGAGGAACACGCAUCAAUCUGGAGUAGGAUCCAGGAGGCCAUUAUUGAACCAAUUUUCACAUAUCACCAGCUAAUGAAAAAUAAUCUACAAAUAGUAACUCUCAUCGAGUGGAAAUAAUAUCAUGCAUGGUACUUAAGCCAGCCGUACCUGAAACUUGAUGAAUCUAAUAUUUGUUCAAGGAAGUGUCUCAUGGCCUUUAACUAAAACUAACAAUUUACAGUUGACAGUGAUCUAGUUUCAUGAAACUAUAAUUAUUAGAAGUCACCAGAUGUCUGCCUCUCUUCGAUUUCUGCAAGUAGCACCUAGGUGAGCUCACCAAAGCACCCCAUGUUGCUCUAAGUAGGUAGAAAUUUGGCAGAUACACAAAUAUUAGUACGGUAUCCAUUAAUUCUAAUAAUUUAUAAAGAAGGACACUCCUCUAGCUUCUUAUGUGUGUGUGUGUGUGUGUGUGUGUGUGUUUGGUGCUGUGUAUUUCGAUGUGAGAUCAGUAAUUCCAACUCCCUACAAUUAAGAUAUGAAUAGUCAGUGGAAACUUACCAUUGGGAACCAUGGCUUGGGGAGCAUGUUCAAACCUGCAAGUUGCUGCUCUCAAUCUAUUGCCCAUGUAUAUGGAUGAUUAUUAAUCUGCUCAUAUGUUUACACCUCCAGACGUUGCCACUGCAGGGAUUACUAACAUGAACACAACCAUCAUCGCCAUUAAGUUAGCAACAUAGAUCAACAUACUUGUCGCCAUGGCGGGUAGGAAAAGUUUCACGUGUGAUGUUCUCUAUUGCUAUCACGUAAUCCUUGUAACUAACAGUCAAACGACAUGCUAGGCAAUCACAAAGGGAAACGUUUCUGGCCUGGGCACCGGCCGAACCUUCGGCCGGUCGCGAGCCACGCUGGCGCCCCGCGCCCGCCCAAGCUGCGCCCCGCGCGAGACUCCUGUUAUUGUUGGGCCCCACGUGGACCACCCCUCCUCCCUUUUUUAUCUUUCCCCUAACUGCUGCCUUCAUCCCCUACCUCCAGACACAUCCUUUCCCGUGGCCAUUUUUCUUCUUCCUUUUCCCUGCGCUGCUGCCUACCGGCGGCCGCUGCCGGCUGUGUGCUUCGCCGAGCCAAGGGGACUACCCGACUGCUGCCAGUCCUCCUCCUCCGCACAUCUUAUCCCCCAAAACAUCUCUCCUUCUCUCUCAAAUAAGCCAUGUUUCAAGAUGAGACAAGGUCUGGGAAGGAGGCUGCAACCAGUGCCCGGGGAGCCUGCGACCGGCCAUGAGACGGCGAGCAUGGUGACCUCAGGACGGCGAGGAUAGGGUAACACUCCUCCAAGAAAACAAUCGAUGUCGUUAUUUUUGCUACAUGCUUCAACCGGCGUCGGAAUUUGCUACAAACGGCAUCGCAUACUGCUGCCACUGGUGUCACAUUUUGCUGCAAUGCACAAUUGACCUCGCGUUUUUGCUAGAAUACAUGUCGCUUUUUGCUACAACCGUUUUCAUUUUUUGCUACAUAUGUUCAGGCUGAGCUGUGACCCGAUGACGUCGGCGAUGCCUUUUUUGCUGCAACCGUAAUAGAUUUUUGGUACAUCUAGCAACAAUUUUUUCUACAUCCAUUCUUUUUUUGCCAGCGACGAUACAAUGGUGAGAUACAGCCGCCAACGACGAUGACAAGCUUUUUCGCCGAAUAAGCUGCAACGGGCAUCGUCAAAAGCUGGAACCGGCCAUCAGCAGAGCUGCAUCUACUGUGGGUGGUGCCCCGGCAACCAUAUCGGGCACCUCUCGUGGAGCUCGACGCCCAUGGCCAUGGCGACAGCCCUCGCGGAGCUCGACGGCCAUGGCCAUGGCAGCACCCCUCGUGGAGCUCGAUGCCGAUGGCCAUGGCAGCACCCCUCGCGGAGCUUGACGCCAAUGGCCACGGCAGCAUCCCUUGCGGAGCUCGACUCCCAUGGCCAUGGCGUGCCCUAGCAGCCACGGUGGCAUCCCUCGAGUGGAGCUCGACGAACAUGGCCGUCGUGUCCAUCACUAGGCGGGGAAUCAUGCAUCUCGCGGGUCACAGGGGGAGCGCGCGUCCCGCGCGAGGAAGGAGACGAGUUUGGGGGAGAAUCGAAUGGUUAGAGGCAUGCAAAUCGUACGGCUACCGAGCGACCGACCGAACUUUCAGCCGGUGCGCCGGCGCCUAUCGUUACCCAAUCACAAAAGACAAUCUGGAGGAAGGCAACCGCUUGCACUGCUGGGGAGAGGGUCUAGAAAAUAUAGAACUUUCCCCAAAAUAAGAAUUUCCUGUAAAAAACAGAGCAGGAGCAGAUGAUGAACCGCGCUGGCAUAUACCUGCCUUUACCUUCUGGCAUGUGUGCCCUCCUUCAAACUACCAUGGAUACACAUCCACAUAUGCAUAGGCCAUCUAGGAUUCGGAAACCUGAAAUAAAAGGAUAUUGUUAGUCUAAUAUGUCACGUUUCGUGACAUAUCUCCUAAUCCCCUAAAUCGAGGAGAAUCGAUAUUGUUGUGAUCUCCCAUUUAUGGUUAGGAUUGUAAAUCUGUCUAUAUAUUGACAUGCAAUGGAAAAGCCGAAGUGUGGCAACAAUUCCUAAAUCUUUCAUGGUAUCAGCCUAAGAAAAUCCUCUCGCUUCCGCUCCCUCCAACCCUAGCGCCGUCGACCCUGUUCCCACGCCGCCGGCCAACACCUCCCUCCCCUCCCCUCCCAUGACGCCCUCCGAACCGCCUGCUCCCCAUCCCAACGCCGCCCUCUGGGUGCAGGCCACCGCCAUCCCAAGCGUCCGCUCUCUCGUCCCCAUCGUCCUCGAGUUCAAGAGCGCCGUCUUCCCCAAGUGGAGGACCUUAUUCAACAUCGCUGUCACCACCUACGCCCUUGAGGACCACCUCACCGCCGAGACGCCCUCCACCGAUCCAACAUGGCGCCGCCUCGACGUCUUGGUGCUCCGCUGGCUCUACGGCUCCAUGGCCAUGGACAUCGUCGACGUCGUCAUGCCCACCGACCCUGCCACCACCACGGCCUACAAGUUCUGGACCUCCGUCCUCGCUCUCUUCAACGACAACCAAAAGAGCCGCGAGAUUUAUCUCGCCGAGGAGUUCCACAACAUCAAGCAGGAGGAUCGGUCCAUCACCUAGUACCUUCACCUGCAAAAGACGGUGGCUGACGCUCUUGCCGAGGUCGGUGCCCCCGUAUCCGACCCCGAGCUCGUCACCAACGUCAUCAAGGGCCUUCACGAGCGCUUCGACAGCGUUGCCGACAUCGCCCCCUCCUCACGCUGUUCCCUACCUGCCUCAACUUCCACAACAUGCUGCUGCUCCACGAGAUGAAGACUUCCCGGCGCUCCACCAACACCUUAGCCUCCGCCUUCUACACCGCCAAAGGACCAGUCCCUGCUCCUCCCAGCGGCGGUGGGUCGUCCUCCGGCGGCGGUGCUCCUCCAAUGCCCACUCCGUUCAACCCUUGGACAGGAGCCAUCCAGAUGUGGCCCAUGCAGUCGCACCCCAACAGCACCGGCGACAUCCUUGGACGGGGUCUGGGAUCACGCGCCCACGCCUACAUGGCCGCUCCCCCGGCUUCUCUCGGCGCGCCCUACGGUGGCCAUAGCGCAACUCCGUUCGGUGCCGUGCUGCCCUACGCCACAACACCGACGCCGGCACCAUCAUGGGACACCGCCGCUCUCGCUCAACAGUUCACCAACAUGACGUUCAUCAACCCUCUCCUGAGUGGGUCAUGGAUAGCGGCGCGACCGCCCACCUCUCCUCCGAUGCCGGUAUCUUAUCAUCUCUUUCUCCCCAUCCUAUAUAUCGUCACGUGGUGGUCGGCGACGGUUCCACCGUUCCCGUCACCACAUCCGGUCAUUCCUCCCUUCCCUCCCUCUUUCCCAAUAGACCUCUUCACUUACGUCAUGUCUUAGUCACACCUGACAUUAUCAAAAACCUUAUUUCCGUUCGUCAAUUCACUACUGAUAAUCAUUGCAUCGUCGCUUUUGACCCUUUUGGUUUCUCUGUGAAGGACCUUCAUUCCCGGCGCGAGAUCCUUCGGUGCAAUAGUAUAUGGGAGCUCUACACGUUCACAUGUCCUCCGCCUCCUCGCACCCUCGCCACGCUCACCGCCCCUCAUGACCUGUGGCACCGUCGCCUCGGUCACCCCGGCCAUGAUGCCUAUAGUCGCCUCUCGCAACAUAUUUAUCUUCCUUGUAUUAGACAAAUAAAUCAAACCACUUUAUGUCAUGCUUGUCAACUAGGAUGUCAUGUACGUUUACCUUUUUCCUCUUCCACUACUCGUACAACUCGUCCAUUCGAGUUAGUCCAUUGUGAUCUUUGGACUUCACCGAUCUUGAGUGUUUCUGGCGAUAAAUAUUUUUUAGUCAUUCUUGAUGAUUUCACUCAUUUUCUAUGGACUGUUCUGCUUCACCAAAAAUCUGAUGCUUACGCCUCGCUCUCCGCUUUUCGCGCGUUCGCUCACACUCAGUUUGGCUUAUCUCUCGUGUCCAUAGAAUGUGACAACGGUCGUGAGUUCGACAAUAACAAACUUCACUCUCUCGCCGCCACGCACAACAUUCACAUUCGCUUCUCUUGCCCAUACACAUCCCAACAAAAUGGUAAAGUUGAAUGCAUUAUUCGCACUGUCAAUGACAUUGUGCGUUCUCUCUUAUUUGAGGCUAGCCUACCACCUCGUUAUUGGGCCGAAGCACUUCACACCGCCACUCACGUCCUUAACCAUCUUCCUACAAAAACAAUUAGCGGCCCCUCUCCAUACUUUGCCCUUCACAACGCCCAUCCCGAUUACUCGUCACUACGCGUCUUCGGCUGCCUAUGCUAUCCCAACACCGCCUCCACUAUGCCACAUAAAUUGUCGCCGCGUUCGAGUGCUUGCGUUUUUAUUGGCUAUUCCUCUCAUCAUAAGGGAUAUCGGUGCAUGGACCUCACUACCCACCACAUCAUCAUCUCUCGUCACGUCGCAUUCGAUAAGAUGACCUUUCCCUUUGCCUCCCCACAGCCUACCAACGCCGCCACGUACGACUUUCUCACCGCCGACGACAACCUACCCAUAGUUGUCCCACCCCUUCCGAUUACUACCCCUCCACCCACCCCACCACCCUCCCUCCUCCCGCCCCUCCCUCACCACCUGCACCACCCUCACCACCUGGACCUCCCUCACUGGGCGCCCCUCCUGCAAACACUCAUCGCACGCGCAACACCUCCGGCAUCCACAAGGGGCCUCGCGAGCGGCUUAACCUGCAUGUUUCGUCUGUCAGCAGGUACUCACCGGUUCCCACCUCCGCCUGUGCAGCUCUCAAGGAUCCCAACUGGCUCGAUGCUAUGACUGCGGAGUACCGCGCUCUCCUCAACAACAACACUUGGGAUCAUGUGCCUCCUCCUCGGGAUGCUAACAACGUCUCCGGCAAGUGGGUUUUUUGCCACAAGCUCAAGCCCAAUGGCUCCCUCGAUCGCUAUAAAGCUCAUUGGGUGCUUCGAGGUUUCUCUCAGGAGCCAGGUGUCGACUUCGACGAGACAUUCAGCCCGUUUGUCAAACCAGCCACCGUGCGUGUCAUCUUCUCCAUCGCGCUCUCUCUUAAUUGGGAGACUCGUCUGAUCGACAUCAAGAACGCCUUUCUGCAUGGCACUCUUGCUGAGGUUGUCUACUGUCGUCAACCCACUGGCUUCAUCGACUCCAGUUGCCCCGACCACGUCUGUCGGCUGAACCGUUCACUCUACGGUCUCAAGCAGGCUCCUCGUGCGUGGUACCAACGCUUCACUGCUUUCACCACUUCAACCGGCUUCAUAUGCUCACGCUCAGACACUUCGUUCUUCGUCCUCCGGUGUGCAGAAGGCACGGCCUUCCUCCUACUCUAUGUGGACGACAUCAUCCUCACCGCCUCGUCGACUCGCUUGCUCGACAUGAUCACGUCCUCUCUCCAUGCCGAGUUCGCCAUGACGGACAUGGGCAUCCUCCACUACUUCCUCGGCAUCGCGGUUACCCGCGACUCCUCCGGCAUGCAUCUUUUGCAAGCUAAGUACGCCACGGAGAUUCUGGACAGGGCCGACAUGACUGCUUGCAAGUCGGCCACGACACCUGUUGAUACAUCACCGAAGCUCGCUGUUACUGCCAGUCCUUCAGUGGCCGAUCCCACGGAGUACCGGAGUCUUGUCGGCGCUCUCCAUACCUCACUUUUAUGUGCCCAGACAUCGUGUAUGUCAUUCAACAUGUUUGCCUUCAUAUGCACGACCCGCGUGAGCAACACCUCGCCGCCAUCAAGCGCAUCUUGCACUACGUCAAGGGCACGCUCUCUCAUGGCCUUCAGCUCUACUCGACUUCACCAAGCUCCAUGAUCGCCUACACCGAUGCCGACUGGGCCGGCUGCCCCGACACUCGGCGGUCAACGUCAGGAUUCUGUGUUUACUUUGGAGAUAACCUCAUCUCUUGGUCCUCCAAGCGGCAACACACAGUCUCGCGUUCGAGUGCUGAAGCCGAGUACCGUGCCGUGGCAAACGCCGUGGCUGAGGCGAGUUGGCUUCGGCAACUUCUCUAGGAACUUCAUCGACCAUCUCCUCCUGCGACAAUCGUCUUCUGCGACAACGUCAGCUCUGUCUACAUGUCCACGAACCCAGUACAACAUCAGCGUACCAAACACAUCGAGAUCGAUCUCCACUUCGUUCGCGAUCGUGUUGCCAUGGGUCAGGUCCGAGUGCUUCAUGUUCCUUCGUCACGACAGUUCGCCGACAUCUUGACGAAGGGUCUUCCGUCGCCGUUGUUUUUGGAUUUUCGGUCCAGUCUCAAUGUCCGUUCUCCUCCUGUUGUGACUGUGGGGGAGUGUUAGACUAAUAUGUCACGUAUCGUGACAUAUCUCCUUAUCCCCUAAAUCGAGGAGAAUCGACAUUGUUGUGAUCUCCCAUUUAUGGUUAGGAUUGUAAAUCUGUCUAUAUAUUGACAUGCAAUGGAAAAGCCUAAGUGUGGCAACAAUUCCUAAAUCUUUCAGAGAUAUCAAAACUCGAGUGGAAGGGCAAUGUGUAGAGAUUGAAUUGGUUCAUUUUCUUCUAGAUGGACUGCAUUAGGGAUCGUACCUUGCAGUAUAUAGGAGAACAUGGAGAGGCGGCGGAGGAGGAGGAGCGGCGCUGGCAGAAGAGAUGUGGCCAUGCGGGGAAACCUGUUUUUUCUUUGGGUUUCCAUACGAAGACCUCUGAGAUAAUUUGCUAGGACUCUCAGGGAUUUCAUCCAACGGCUGUAGAUAUUUUAUACUGAGAUCAGAUGGUUAUUUUUGUUAGUUUUGUAGGAUUAACGUGAUGCCUCGUUUGGUGCCUCCAAUUAGUAAAUAUAAGAUAAGAUAUAAGAUAUAAGAUAAGAUUGUGAGGUACUAAAAUUAUUUUUUUUGAAAGGAAAAGUUGAAACAGACGCUCACUUCCAUGAACACGUGGACACACAACCGGUGGCUCCAUGCAUGCAUGCAUGAUACAUCGCACGCAGUACGCAAGCGGGCUGUUGCCAAGCUAACUAAUGGCGCCCGGCCGACAACACAGUACAGCUAGUAGAGCACUCGCUGCCAAACGCCUACGUGAGAGACCCUCGUGAGCCCAGCUAUACAACCUCCGCUCCUCCACCCAUCCUCGUUCACUCCGCAUCCGCAGCCGAAUUCCCCCGUCUCCACCGCUCAGUCCCCCGGACCGCCGGACCUCUCCUCGCCUUGCCAUGGCAGCCGCAGCACUGAGGGCGCAGCUGAACGCCCAUAUCGCCGGCAUGUACACCAAUGUGAGGCCCUUCCCCUCCCCUCUAGUCGUGUGGUAUUGGAUUUUGGCUUGGCUGGACGACUAACUUGGCCUUUGCCUUUGCUUUGGCGUGGUCGAUGUCGAUGCAGGGUGUGGUGGACGAGGAUACAUUCGAGGAGCUGCGGGACGAGGGCACCACCGCCGAGGUCUCCCGCCUCUUCAUCUACGACGCCUCCGAGAUCAUCGACGACAUCGACCUCCUGAUGUCCGCCCCCACGCCCUCUGUCAUCUCUCCCUCUGCUCUCUGUCUCGGGAACUGACUCAUCUUAAUUAUCUGCUCUGGAAAUCGCAGGGAGGAGCCUGAAGUGGACUUUGACGAGGUGGAAGCCCUGACGCAGCAGCUCAUGCGGUGCACCUCCAGGUGAUGACUAUCAUAAACCAUUUCUCUCUCUUCCACCUGCUUAUUUUUAACUCUAUGUUUGUUUGCCCGCUGCGUCAAUGUCGUGCGAUUCGGAUCUAUUUAUACUGGGCAAAGGAUUCUUAUUUGUCGGUUGCACUACCCCAUAGGCGUAAUUAGAAGAAUCAAGUUUAGUCGCGUUUAAUGUAACAGAGUUACCAGUAUCCCGAUUAAUAUCAAUGUUAUGAUGAGGAUAAAUUGCUGGCAUUUUUGGAAUAGUCUUGGUAUUAAUGAUCUGCUAUUCUGUGUAUUGCUAAUGGUGGUUUUUCUGGUAUUAAUGAUCUGCUAUUGUAUGUAUCUCUAAUGGUGUUUUUUCUAGUUUGUCCACGGCUUUGAUGUUGUUUUUUAUUUUGAUGUGUCGGCACGGGGUGUGUACCUCACGACACGGCCACACAAUUGAGGUUUGUGUCGUUUUACAGGCGUCGUAUAGCCAUAGGUAGAAGAGCUGAGUUUAGUCAUAUAUCGUGUAACGAAAUUGUUGGUAUUCUUCCCAAUGUUAAUCAAAUUGUAUAGCUUGGCGAGGGGAAUUUUUGUCGUUUUGCAAACGUUUGUUUUACUAUCAUGUCUGUUCUUCGGGCAAUGCCAUUAUUCUAGGUUGAGAAUGAAAAAAAUUGUCGUUUUAUAAGCAUGGCUGGUAUUAAUGAUUUGCAAUUCUACAUAAUGCCAAUGGCCAUGUUUCACCAUUGGAACGGUGUUGUUUCUAUUCAGAUUUGUCAGGCACAGGGUGUGUACGUCAUGGACGUCAUUUGGGUGUCGUAUAUCCAAAAUUAGAAGACCUCAUUGUAGUUGUGUCGUGUGUAGCGGAAUUGUUGGUAUUCAUGACAAUUUCAUGGUCCGGCAAGAAAAACUUUGUCGUUUUCUAAAUAUUUCUGGUACUACUGAUCUGCUAUUGCACAUAGCGGCAAUGGUGUUUUUUUUUCUGCUUCAUCAAACAAUUUAUGGAGUUGACAAUCAUGAUAGGAAAUGGCUCCUUGAGAAUAUUAUUGAGUUGACGUCUCAGUUUAUAAUAAGUUUGAUAAGUUCCUAAUUUCCUGAUCUGCAUUUUUUUUGCAUGUUUCAGUGUUGGUGCACAGCAAGUGAACCUCGCCUGCAUGCACUUCGGCAAUUUCUAUGCCAUACAAUACAAACAAGGGUCAGAACUUAGUAGCUUAUUUAAUACUGUUACACAAUAAUUAUUCGCAACAUUGUUUUUCAAUGUCUCUAUGUAAACCUGACAGCUCAUGUUGUCUUUUCUGUCGUUAUUUUCAGCUCAUAUACCAAUCUAACAUUGUUAAGAAGUAUCCUGAUUUGCUUUUUCACUUCAUCUGCAAUCACGUUAUUGAUAUUACUCGGUUCACUAUCUGAAUAUGCUACUCUUUGAUGGUUCUCUUGUAAUUUAUUGGCUCUAGGCUUUUGUUUAUAGCACAACUAAAUUCUUAUAUGGCUAGAGAUUUUUCUUUUUUCAAAUAUAGGGUUACAAUUUUUGAACCAUUUCAUCUCUGUUCUGUUAACCUCUUCAGAAUUUGACAAUGUGGUCAUUUUGCAUUAUUUCAGGUGUCUCGUGUCAUUGGCUCUUGUUAGGAAUGAGUUCUAUAUUGUGCGACAUGAGUUGGAGAUCGUGAUGCAGGUAGCACCGUAUGUGCAUAAUGUUGGAUGUUGAUACCAACUUUCCACUAGUUUCAUAACCCAUAGAUUGGUCAUAUUAAGAUAGAGAAAUGGGAACAAUCUUUAAUCCUUAAUCUAAUUCUUUUGACAUUUAGAUUUGGAGCACUUAGUUUGAGGUACCGAAAAGUCUCCUUUAGCCGUUAAAUGAUUAUGUGGUAAUUUUGUCAUCAUGUUCGGUAGAUGCAUAGGGUAGCUAAAAAAAGUGGGAGAAAUUCUCUGUUUCCCGGCCUAAAUUAAGCUUCACGAAAUACCCAAAUAAGAAACUAGCUAACUUGUAACAUGGUGAUUAGUGAAACCAUGUGACUUGAGCACCAUUAUGUGCCAUAGACUUAUCUUAAUCAUUUUUCGGAAGGUACUUCUCUUAAUCAUUGACCUAUUAUUCAUAUUUUGUUGCAGCUCGAAGAGCAGAUCGCGGCAUGUGGUCCUGACUCCUAAGUAGCGGCAAGUGAAGGGGGAAGAGCGUGGCCCCAUGCAAUCCCUUGCAUUAUGCGGUCCAUGUGUCUCGGAAGAUGUAGCCGUUUUCAAAGGGUGUCUAGUACUAUAGGGUGCGCGUAAAACUUAGAUGAAUAUUCUCGCGUCGGAACUUUGGGCUCGUAACCCUGUGAAAGAAAACUGUUGUCGUGUGUUGAUGUCAGUGUGAAGUCCAUAUUCUAGAGUGUCGUGGAUGUGUUGGCCCCCGCCUACGGGCUGUUUAUGAAACCUAUACUUGGUUGGUUGGUCCUCUAGUGACUUUGUUUUGCUGUUUCUUCUGUUUGUUUUUCUCUAUAAGCAAGUCUUGUUGUUAGUUGUUGUACCCAGAGUGUAGCCAAUCACCAUAUUUGGGCAUAUUAAACAUGUUGUUUCGGUCUGAAAUUUCAGC
rnacentral:lncRNA from 1 species